rnacentral:lncRNA from 1 species
ACUUUUUUUUUUUUUUUUUUUUGUGAAACAGGGAUAACAGUUGUUGUGGUUGGAACUUUAUGGACCACUUUAGUACAUACUUGGACUUCAGGGACAAAAGUUGCAUUUUUUUUCACAUAGUGCGUUAGCCGUUAAGAGACUAUCUAACAAUCAUUGAGAGCUGUAUAAAAUUCGUAUCAGAAAAAAGAAAUAUAAAGAAGGAAAAUUUUAAGAUGACAAAAAAAAUACAGAAAUUGCCAAUUAUUUUUGAGACGUAUGUAAUCGUGUUACUCAAUUAUAGAUAGGGUGGAGUCUACACCUAAUUCCGCCCCUCUAAGGUGGUUUAAUUUUGAUUAAAAAAAAAAAGGAAUUUCACAUGACUCCUGCCAAUAGGAAUUUGUAGAUUUGUCAAUUACGCUUUCCUGUUUCGAAUUGGAAACAAUAGGAGAGUCCAAUUCGAACUGUUUUGGGUUAUGGAAACUGGGAACCAAUGGCGGUGACAAAUUACUCCAUAGUGCAUAAAAGGAGCAGUAUCUUCAGAUUUCCCUAGUGCAAAUUGCUCUGCUUCAUCAAUUCACGCUGACAACAGUACUCUAGCGUAUAACCUAAAAAGUUGUCUAUUACAAUGGUGGAGACAGAAGCUUUAGAAGAUUGCACGGCGAAAUUGCCUCAACAUAUUAUGCAUCACAUACUCUCUUUUCUCCAAAUCCCAGAACAGGCAGCACCAAUGAGUUUGUUGUCGAAGGCAUGGUUGCAGGCAUGGCGCACGCGCCCCAAUUUGGAGCUUUUGUACAAUAUAUAUUCAGAACCGACUGAUAAAGGCAUUCAAAAAAGGCGAAGUGAUUUCGUAAAUUGCAUCAACACCACCUUGCAACGGUACCGUGAGCACAAGAAUGGUAUUGAUCGUUUAAAUCUUUGUAGCCCUCCAUCUGUAUCGCCUGAGGAUUUCAAUAGAUGGAUCCAAAUUGCUGUGGAAAACGGAGUCAAAAGUCUUGAUAUUGCUGCCCCUUCUGGUUCUGAAUAUUUUGUUUUGGCUCCAACUGUUUUUGAAGCUAAGUCGAUUGCAGAAUUGGAUCUUUGCCAUUUCCAGUUGAAGCCCCAAGUGAUUAAGACGAUAAGGUGUCACAAUCUCCACAAACUUCGGCUUAUGCAUGUGAAAUUAGACGAGGUAUUGUUCCAAAGAAUAUUGUCCAGCUGCCCGUUGAUUCAUUUGUUGACAAUUGUUAACUGUGCGGGUCUUGCCAACGUUAAGGUGACCAAGCUUCAGAAGCUUGAGCAUCUUGAUAUUGUAGUAAAGGGAAGUUGUUCUGUUGAAGUCGAAGCACCAAGUCUUCUGUACUUUAAGUAUGGCAAACUACUUUCCUUCGAGAUAGAACGAACAUCAAGACAUCGCAAGCUUCGGAUGCAUGCCUGUCCAAAUCUAAAGCAUUUGCUGUUGGACGAAAUUGGCAUCACUGACGAGUUUUUCUUAGAUUUCGCAGAAAAAUUCCCACAUCUCGAAGAGUUAGAAAUCACAAGCUGGGGCGGCGAUUUGGAAAGAAUCAAUAUUUCCAGCCGCUCCAUUAAGCACAUAAGUUUGGAAUUGCACUUGGAACCAGUAGAAGAGGUCCAAAUUGAUGUUCCAAGCCUUGAUUGGUUUGAAUACACAGGAAAAUCCAUAAACCUGUUUUCUUUCACAGCUCCCUCUGGUCCUUGUGUUUCUACAAUUAAAUUGCAGUGUCGGGAAUGGCCCUUACCAGUGGCUUCGUGGUUCUCCAAAUUGAAGGACAUGUUGACAAAGCUAAGUCAAUCUAAAGUUUCACUCCAUUUAGACAUUGAUCAACUUGUGUCCAGGUCCACUGUUUUUGAGGUAAGAAAUAGAUCCAUUCUUCCACUGCCUCAAGUUCAAAAGUUGUCCUUAUGUUUUCACAAUAGAUGUUUAGAUACUGCAGACUCAAUUUUAGAUGCUAUCUUCUGGACUUGUCGUCCUAAAACCAUUGCUCAAAAGUGGAACAAGUGCCUGAAGCCAAACAAGAUUCACCUCGCAAAGGUAAUCUAUGAGACGUUCCUUCUGGGAGGAGAAAAUAUUAAGCACACCAACGUGCAGAAAAGGAAGCUUUGGCAGAAUGAUCUGAGGGAUGUAAAACUCGUGAGAUUUAAAAAGGGCCAAAGAGUGCACUUGUCUAGUUCUCUGGACUGGGAUACUUUUUUGGAAGUAUUCCCGCGUAAAGGGGACUGUCGACGUUUUCGCUAUGAGCUAGAGUGGGAACCAAUAGACGUGGAUCGGAAGCAAAAAGUUUCAAACCCAAAAAGAAGGAAAUUAGAGGAGAGCAGGAAAUAGCAGAAAGCGGUAUCAAGAAGCUGAUGAAUAUGAUGUUCAAGGGCUUUCCGAAUGCAUUUAAUCGUCUUAGUGACAGGCUCAAAUAGUUCCUGGGCAGGAGUUAAGUAUUUUGAUCCUGAUAUUCCAUGCCAAAAUUGAAGAUGAAUACCUAGACAUUAUUUAGAGUUUAAAUACCCUUUUACGAUCAUUAUUCACCAAAAUAUUGACCCUUUUGUCAAAAUUAAAAAAUCUUGACAUUUUUGUCGGCAAUCCAUAACUAUAUAAAGAAAUUUAUUUGUAGAAAAUUGACGUCUUAUAUAUAUAUGUCAAACUUUUCAUGGGGUCGAUCUUCCACUUAACGUCUGAACAAAACCAAUACAGAGUCCUACAAUCCAGAACAGCCGUGGCUUUUCCUUUUGCUCCCUUGCCAUGUUUUCAAAUUCUUUAAGAAUUUCUUCAUGCAGCAGAAGGAUGAUUUAUGAUGUUCCUGCUUUCACAUAAAUUUAACAGUAAAGAUACAAGAUAUGUUGUUCCUUCUCUUUGUAUUUAACUCUCUUCUCUAUGAACACACAUGAUCAUGAUACAGUUCUCGUUCCUACGUCCUUGCACAUGUAUCUUGUGCUUGUACAUUGGAAAUAUCAAACAGUAGGAGGAGCCAAAAAAAGAGCAAGAGAGGGCUAAGAAUUCCUUCGUGUGCUUCCCAGACAUUUUGAUACUAUCCAACAUUUUUGACAAAAAAAAAAAAAAAAUCCACGAGGCCAAGUCCCUGUGCGAUUGUUCGACAGUCAACAUGUUUUAUCUCUUGUUUACCAGUCCAAGGCUUGUUUCAGCGAGUAAUUCUCUACUAUCAAUCUUGGAAGAACUCAUGCUCAAUAAAAUCCUAUGAAAUUGGUCUAAAACUGGAUAGGGGAAUUCAAUGCAAACUGAUGCCACACACAGAAUUUCAGCUUUACUGUAAGAAAACUUUGUGGUACACCAAUUCAGUUCCAAGUGCAAGUACAUUAGUAAGGACAAAGAUGAUACUUCAACCAUUAUUGUUUAAGGGCAUGCCCCAAACACUGAGAACGGAUUACUUGGCAUAGUACAUUUGUUCCACGACAAAAUAUAUGAAUAACUUCUGACUGGCACUGCAGCAAUGGUUUGCUUAAUUUCCUUGUAAUGUCAACCUUGACAUCAUGUGUUCAGAUUUCUGCCCCGCAAAAGAAGUUAAACAACAGUUAGUAAGGUAACACAGAUCAGUUGAACAGGAUAGACUAGUAAUAGUGCUAAUCUCUCAACUUGUGGCUCAUCAACAAGGACAUGAAGGUAUUCCAACCGGCCAUUGCUUUCCUGGCUUUAAUUGAAUGGCAGCUACUCUUAUGAAUGAUGUGAGUAGGUAGUUCGAUGAGAACUAUUUUAUAUUUUGUUUCACUCAAGAGAAUUCUAUACCUUGUAUAUAAUUCUGGCCAAAGAAAGGGAGAGAAAGGAAGAGAGAUCCUGCUUAAUAUAUCAUAAGCAUAUGAAAUGUCUAAGAAAACAGCAAAUUUGAUCCGAAGAUUGGGUCACCUUUUUCUGUACUAUGGUUGCUUAAAGAAAGAAUAAGAAGUAAUUACAUAAGAUUGUAUGAUAUACUAAUUACACAAUAACACAAGAUGAACUAAUUACAUAAGAUUGUAUGAUAUACUUAGGACCGCUGAAGGUAAGGUAUAAAUCAGCAUUUUAUAGCCUGAUAUGUAUAUGAAAGCCAAAGUAAUUCAUUAGUGCUGUGAGCAGCCUAAAUUUGCAGACAAGCAGAACCAGAUAACCUUUGUGUCAUCCCAUUCCUCUCUCUCUCUCUCUCCCCCCUCCCCAAUCUGCCCCACUACCUGCCCCACCCCCCGUGCGAACCCACAGAAAAAGACAAACAAAGACUAAGUUAUUUUCUCCAAGUCAUCAACUCAGUUACAUUCAGCACAUUCAUUAAAGAUACAAAUGAAGAUGCAAGAACCGACCUGCUCAGAAUGUGGCAAGUACUUCCCAUCAAAAGUCACAACAACACGCUCUUUUCCAUCCACACCUUUAAUUUUGUCAACAGAACAAUAGAAGUCUAUAGCAGACAUGCUGAAAAUAAGAAAGACAAGAAGAGUAAACUGAUUAUAUGACCAAAAAGUUCAGUUGAAAUCUGUUCAUAAAAAAGGAGAUAGGUUAUAAACCCUUAAAUAUGUAUGAACCACCAUGGCGCCCAUUUCCUAUCACGACAUGCCAUUAGAAGUACAGAAAGCGAGGAACAGAUAUCUAGGUGGAUGCAUGUGCACAAAUCGGAGAACAAACUAUUAGAGGUAUAAUAAAAACUAUUAACGCAAGCUAUAGAAACCAGCUAGUAUUAGAAAAAUGUUCUAAACCUAAUCCUCACAAGGCCAUCAAAAGGGUUUGGUGCAACAGAUGAUGGACUUCUGCUCAAACAUAGCUAUCAAAAAAAAAAGUUUCAGAAUUCUCCUGGGUACUUAGAAGAACCACCAGUAGAGAAUUUAGAUAUUCAGGAGUCAACAUAGCAACUUACAUGCCAUCACCAAAUUCCUCAUUGAUAAUUUCUUUAAUGCUCUCACCAAAAUGCAUAACAGCUUCAUUGAGCCUGCAAAAACAUGAAGGGAGACAAGAUCAGCCUAAACGAAAGUCAUUGAUUCGUAUACAAGUGAGAGUGAGAGACAAGAUCAGCCUAUGAGAAAGUCAUUGAUUCCUAACUAAUAGCUCUCCGUAGAUACUUCUGCAAGCAUUUGGAUUCAACUUUCAUCUUUCUUUAGAUACAAUAUCAUAACAAGAUAAACUUGAAGAAGGGAACAUAAUCACAAAAGGACUUCAGUCUCAACUCACUUGGGAUUGAAAUGACAAUAUUACAAACUUCAGAUAAUCUUUCCUAAUUAGAUAGGAAAUGCAACAAGCAAUUGCACAAGCUUGAAAUUGCUGCAACCUUUACAAUAAUGCAGCCAAGAUUGCUUUAUUUCUCUCACACUUGCAUCUUGAUUCUUGCAAUUCAACAAAUGAAAUGACUUUCCUACCAUGCACUUUCCUUGAACAUCCAAAGAUAGGGAGUUUAUACUACAAUAGUUCAUGGACAAAAAUUGGAGCGUGUCAAAUAGUACACUGAAUUUACUACAAAUUCUUGUCAAUUUCUCUCUUCAAAUACCAUUUCUUUUCAACAAGCCGAUUCGAUGCGGAUCAUCGAAGAGCUACUAUGUAAUCAACUAAAGCAAAAGAAGGCUAACUAGUCACUUUCUUAACAACUUUGUCAUUUUCUGAAAAUUGAUACUAAUACAGAUUGACUAUAGAGGACAAAUAGAACACAAGAAACAAUCCAACAAUAUCCAAAAACUCAAGGUACAUACCAGAAAAAGGACCCAUAAAAUACAAUAAAAUAAAAUAAAAACACAGAAAACAAGAAUUUCAACCAGCCCACAUAAAAAUGUUCCACAAAACAGCAAGAAAUUAAAACACGGGCUAAAACGGUUUACCUAUAAACAGUUGGGUCUUGAAUUAAAUUAGGAUCAUAUGACCUGAGAGGUGGCCGCAUCAUUUCUUGAAUUAACUCCUCAGGCAGCUCAGGCAAGGAUGCUCGUAAUUUAGGGACAGUAUCAGGCUUCAACUGGGCUUGCCUCUUGAAUAGCUGAGCAACAUAAACAUUCGUCAAUCCAGUUUCUUCAGCAAUCUGACCAUAAGUCUUGCCUGACUUGUGCUUCACUGCUUGAAGUUCAGCUGCUAUGCUUAGUUUCUUGCUCUGUUCUGCCAUUUUUGACUUGACAAGAAAAUCGUGAAUCAGCAGCGUUAUAACCACAAGAAAGGCUGGCGGCUACCACUGAAUCAUUUAAGGCGUGGUGGGCAAAUUUACCUCCCAUCAAUUGUCAUAUUAAGUGAUUUCUUAAAAAUACAGAUGAAUACAUAAUAUAUUUAUCUGAUGCAUUUAUUUGAUUCGAUAGUAAUUCGAUUUCCAUCACACUUCUAGAUGCAGAUAAAAUUAACGAUUGAUAAAAAUAAUUAAAAAAAAAAAGAAAAUUAAGCAGGCCAUCAGUUUUCUAUCCAAAGUUGUUCAAAUGGGGCUUGGGGCUACGAUGGGUCGAAUCCAAGAGGAGGACAAGACUCUAAUGUUGGAUGGUCCUUUACUUUUAAGAUCUUCACAUUUGGGCAGUCCAAUUUCAUUUGCUUUAUGGACUUUUGGGCAGUCCAACUGCUUGGGGCGGUUACAUUGAAAAAAAUAUGUUUAAAUAGUAAUUAAAGAAAUGCUUAUAGGUAAUUAUUUUGACAAGACAUGUUUAGGUAAUUAAAGUAAAGUUAGUUUUUUACAAGGACAAAAAUGAAAGUACAUAGAGUGCCAAUAAAAUGUUUACGCCAAACCCCUUCCUCUCUCUUUAUAUAUAGUAUAGAUAUCAUGGGAAUUUUGGUUAGACAUUCAGUUCAUUUUUUCCUCUACCAUUAUAAGAGUUAGAAAAUCCGUUUAAAAUGAAAAGAGGAGAAAAGAAAAAAAAAAAAAAAGGAAAGAAAGAACAAAAGACCUUCGAAACCUAAUACCUUGUUUUUGGUUUGUCUGUACUAGGUUAUUGUAAUCUUUCCCAAGCAACUUAAUUGGUUGUUCCCUAAGCAACUUCGUUGCUUGUAACAGGUUACUUACUACAAUCGUCAAGAGUUGCUUUGUGAAGUAUUUUUACUGCAUGAAAUUGGAAUUGGUCUACAAGAAACUGAAUUCCAGAGUCCCAUAUUUAAACUGAAUUCUUUUGUUAUUGGAGGAUUCCUUAGUCUUUAAACGUUCAUUUUGGUUUUGGUCUUUUGGGCUGUCAGAGUCGAACCAACUCGUGUACUUAACCUCUGCUAUGAAUAAUUUAAAACCAUGUGACAAAUAUAAAAGCUUCUCUGUUCAUAAAUUAACAAAAGGGAGUAGUUUGCACGUAAGGAAUUGUAAAAAUCAAUUCCUUGUUGCAUAAGUAUUUUGGAUAAGAUUCUAGAUUAUCAGCUGAAGGAAAUUAUUCUGUUUUUCUUUUUUUUUUUUACUAUCACUACUAUUUUUUCUUUUCGUGAUAUAAUUUGGUAUUCUGUUUUCUAACAAUUCAUUUUUUCUCAUUGAGGUUGUUGUACAUUUUAUUGUUCUUUUUAACACGUAAAACCAAUUUGUCCAUGUAACAAAAUUAUGAUUGCCAAAUGAUAUGAGAAGUGUGUAGAUACUCUCGCAACUAUUUAUUGUCCUAAACCGAAGCAUCAAUUAUUCAAAGAACACCUGCUUUGCUAUAUCCAUCUUUCUGUGUGAAAGAAAGAAAGUAUGUAUGAAACCGCCGAGCUUUGGCUCUGUGGUCAUAAAAAAGGAAUUAAGUUUCUCUUUGGACUGUAAGUUUGAGAGUUUAAAUUCCACCUGCGGUAAAAAAAAAUCCAAAUGAUGUGCCAGAGCACCUCCUUAUUCUAGUCGAAUCUGUAUACCUGUUAGUCCUUAUGUAGCUUUUUAGGCUCUUCUUCACUGAAGAACAUGAUAGAUUAUGUUACAGAAAUGUUAUCGUUGCGACUAAAAAGGUAUCUGGAUUUUCUUUUAUCUUUUUUUUUGGCAUAUUUUGACUAGGUCGAGAUAAUAACCGGACCAUAGGAAUGAGAGGAAUCCGUCUAGAAGCUUGAAAAAUGCAAGUCAAAGUUGAGUGUAGAAACUGCGGUCAUUGAUGGCAGACGACCAUACUGGAUGAAGAUGAAUAAGAAAUAUAAUAAUGACCAAAAGACCACUAGGAUUUUUUUUUUUUUUUUUGGAUUCCUUGAAGAAUCUAAACGAAUGAUAUAUUUGAACAGAAUUUUAAUUGCUGCUAGUGCUUUGCUUGAUUGAUUCUGGUCUGACUUUCACUGUGUUUAUGUGAUCAUAUGCUACUUUAGUAGGGUAUAUUUGCAUUCUUUCUGGUCUAAAGUGUGCCAUUUUGGCUUCACACAUGCAGAAACUAUGAUAUGAAAUGAAAGAUGUUGGAAAUUGAUACUUUGCAAUUUGUGCUCGUUUGUUUAGUGUUAGGUACCUCAAUCCCAUCCUUUUCACCAGCUGUAAGCUUUGAAUUGGAAAAUUAAUCUCUUCCCUAAAAUCCACAUGUUAUUCUCAUCCCAACUCUAGUCCCAACUUCCUUGUCGUUCUUAAGCAUAUUCAACUCAGACUCAGAAAGUGGCUGCAACUCCCUUCCCCCCCCCCCCCCCCCCCCCCCCACUUUGAGACAUGGUCGGAAAGUUAUGAAAGAACCCCAAACAUAGUAAGCAGAGACAACAUGGUACUCAAAAGUUAAACCUUUUUGUUUUUUUCAAGGUGUCUUUUCCUAAAGCAAAAAUAAAAAGAAGAAGAAAUUACUAUUAGACUUUUUUUAUUUUUGGAAAAAUGUCUGUGUGAUGAAAAGUUAAUUGAAAAUUGAAUUUGAACUUUUCUUAAAUAUCUAAAAUGGCAUGGUCUAGUUAGUGAACUUCUUUUUUUUUUUGUGAAAAAGUUCACUCAACUCCAUGAAACGAGCAUUUUGAAUCAUUCUUUACUAAAUCAAUCGAAAAAUGACCUACAAUUUAAGACAAUUUUGUCCCUGAAAACCUAAAACAGUAGGUCAAUAUAUGCUUCUUUUCCGUUGGUUUACUAGUUAAAUUAGCAAACACGACCCAAAAAAUCCCAUUUUAAGGAGUUGAUCAGUGAUCUUUUUUAUCAAAACAAAAAAGUUUAGUGAUUGGAUUGUGCCAUUUUAAUUAAUUUAGCAACUAUUUUUGCCAUUUACUCAACUUAAAAAAAAAAAAAAAGAAGGUUCUAAUUAACUAGAGCAUUAAGUCCUUGCUCUGACUUUUAAUGCAGAAAGGUUUCCAAAUAUUUCAGUAUUCAUCAUUAACCAACAAAAAGUAAAGCCUUCUUUCACAUCAUUGAUCUAGCAACUGGCUAUACAUUUCCCGCAUGCAAAAAUUGAUAGCAACCUAAAAGGGUGUAAAGUACAAUGAACAUAUACAUUUAUUUCGUAAAGUCAUUUUCGUGAGAAGAUUUGCAUCUGGUAUUCGUAUAUUUGUAAUCAUCACCAUACUUGAAUUUUCAUAAUAAUGUUUCUUGCUUAUCUGUGCCGAUUCUUGUCAAAUCUUUAUUGCAUUCCUUGAAACCAACAGUUACCGACCUCUCACAAAAGAAUAAAGGGAUAUCAUAGCAUAAAACAAAAAGGGCAAAACAAAUAAAUUCUUUUCUGCUCUUGUAAAUGUCAAAUUACGUUAAUACUACUAUAAGAUUGAGGAAAACGACACCGCAUCAUUGCAUGGAAUGUGGUUUGUGAAAUUUUAUUCUCUUAUUCUUCGUAACGGAAUAAUCUUCCACUGGAGCUAAAUCAAGAUUAAAUCCAAAGAGGAGGAUCCGUUAAUCAAGGAUAAAAAAAAACGUGAAGAAAAUUGCCGUAUAUCAAUCAAAUUCAUCUUGGCAUUAUAAGCGUGUUUUUCACUUUUUAUGCCGAACACAAAAGGUCAAAAUUUCUAGUGUAUGGUACAUCUUCAUUACAGAUUUUGCUGACAAGGAAAUACUUCAUGAAGAGUCUUUGCUAGUACACAUAUUGUUCUUUAUGGUUUCCACGGACAGAUCAAAGUUUUAUUGCAAUUGCAAGGGUUUGAAUCUCAAAUCUACGGUCAGACUUGUAUCUUAUACUCGUAUAUAUGAUGGCCAACUCUAUUAAAGCAAGUUGUUAUAGUACAUAUAUCGUUCCUAUUAAUUUUGUUUGUACAUUUUGCGGCAAGUUGUACAAUUUAUCUGAGAGAAAAAGAUCAGAAAUUUGACUUGUCAUAGUGAAUAAAUGGUAUGCAUAAAUUUCUCCUCUUUGAAAUUUGAUUAUAUGUUCAUUCCCUCUCAAAAGUCUAAUGUCGAAAUAAUUUUAGGGUUAAUUACAUGUUGGCCCCUUGAGGUUUGGGCAAGACUAGUGAUAUACCUUCAGAGAAAUGCUGAAAUGGUAGUUUGACUAAAUCUUGAUUUUCUUUCUUUUUUUAAAUAAAAGACGUAAUUAUGAAGAUGGUAGAAAAUACAUCAAUAUGUUAGAGAUACAUGGGGAUUUGAAAAUCAUAAGAUACAAAUUUGUAAUUUCAAAAAUAACUUCAAUCCAGAUGAAUUGUCGUAGUCCAGUAGAUAUGCGAAUGGUUGCUUAUAGUAAACAUUGCUUUAAAUCUAAAGAGAAAUUUAGAUAUGACAAAAUAAAUUUGAAAAAUUUCAGAUUUGUGAAAUCUCAGAUCCUAUAGAAAACUGUCAAAAAAAAAAAAAAGAAAACUCUCACGACGAAAUCUUAUCUUCUUACGAGAGAAUAAAACUUCCACUAAAAGAAUUUAGGAGAGAAAAAACUCCCACUAAAAAAAUCUUAGGAGAGAUUUUAUUCGAAUACAUGGGAAAAAAACUAGAGAGAGAGUUUUGGACUAACAAUCAUUGUCCUAAUAAUUAAAUGCCAAUUUGUACGCCCUUCUAUUGAAACUCUGAUACUUUUUAAAAGUAUAACGGCUAAAGGUUUUCAAUCAAAUGCAUGAAAAUUGUUUUUCAUGCUCCCUUGAGAGGAAAUGAUUGGUCAAAUUUCCACUCACCCAAGAACAUAUCUUGCAUAUUGUCCACGGCAACAUAUUCAAAAUCGGUACUCGUGUUCUUGAUUUCACGGUGUUCAUUUGCUGGUUUAGGCUUUUCAAUUACCCAAGAAAGAGCUUACCAUUUACAUGGUAUAAAAGAAGUAUUGCAUUAUCAUAUAUACCUCGUAGUUCAAAAUCUCUUACACGUAUUCUUCUGUGAUUAGUUUAAAGUUGACUUAAAGUACUUUUUUAACAGCCAUGCUUCUCUGCUUCUUAUAAAAUUAAAUAUAAUAUUUUGGACAAUUUAACGAUCCACAAAUCAUUUAAUCUCUGAAAACUAUUCAAUUUUUUUUUUUUUGUUAAUCAAGUACAUGGUUAAUUAGAAGAUCCAGGUACGUGCCAAAUUAAAAUCCUUGAAUCGAAAUGGAUCUUCAUAAUUCUGUUAAUAAGUACACGGUUACCUUGAAAAUCUAUCAUAUAUAUAUAUGUGUGUGUGUGUGUGUGUGUGUCAAAUUAAGUAAAGCUUGAUCCUAGAAUGUCUGAAAUUUUGUUGAAUUAGUAAGCAGUAAAUGCAAGGUUGCUGAUCAACGUCAUCAUUGCAUCUUAUUUUGCUUGUUCAAUCUGCAAAAGGCCAAUCUUGUCAUUUCAUUAACGAGAAUUUUCUCUUUAGGUUUUACUUCAUUGGUCAAAGCCCGCAAGAAUAUCCAAUUUAGAAUGCAUCUUAUCAUCAUCUUACUCCAAUACUUGGACUUGCUACUAGCUUACUACUCCUCCUAUCCAAAAUUGUUUUUCGCAUUCGAGAUUUCAACUUUUUAGGAGUAGUUUGACGACAACGUCAGUGGAUUUGCUUUCAAAAUUAUCCGUAAAAAUUCAAAUUUUAAAUUUAAAUUUAAUAUGAAAUAUAGAUAAAAAUGAAAAUAAUAUUAAAAAAAUGAUAAAUCUUUUAUACACUGACAAUAUAUACACUGGCAGAUCUAAAUGCAUGCCACAUAUACAAAAUUUGAUAUUUAAAUUCAAUUUUAUAUGAUAUGGCAUUCAUCCAAUUCCGUCAGUAUAUUCAGCGACAGUGUAGGAAAGAUUAAUCCUUCAAAAAAUAGAUUAAAAUUAAUUUUGACUUUAAUAAAAUAAUAAAAUAUUUCAAAAUAAAAAAAUAGCACUUUCAACGUCACAGAGAGCGGAGCACCAUACAGUAAGAUACCCUCGAGAGAAUAUCAUUUCACACUUCACACUUUGACUGAGACAAGCCAUAAAAGAAAAGGUAAGAAGGAACCACGGUACGGGUGCAGGGCGGCUCUAUAAAUGUGGGCGCUGCUUCAAACAUCAGUUGCCAACCAGUACAACUUGAAAAAGUAUAGAACCAAGUUUACCAGCUAGUAGCAGUACUAAUCCAGUUACUCCACCGGCCAGGACAAUAGCAACUACUACUUGAUUUCUUUCAUGGCCUCACUAGAGCUAGCAGAAAAUGGCUCUGAUGGAUACACUCAAGAUGGUACUGUUGAUCUCAAAGGGAAACCUGUUCUUAGAUCGAAGAGAGGAGGAUGGAGAGCUUGCAGGUUUGUUGUUGGUAAUGUCUCUGUAUCCUCUUUUGCUUCCUUCCACCCCAACUGUGUUGCUGUGUGUGCUAAAAUGUUCAUCCAGAUCCUAGAAAUGCAAUGUUCGUUUAGUCUGAAGUAUGUAUCCCCAUGCUUGGCUACAUAGCUCCCUGUGAACUGGGAAGAUGUUCCUGAAAUUGUUCCCUCAUCCUUGCUGUCUUUCUUCUGCCUUCUGUACGAGGGGGAGAUCGGAAGGGCAUAUUCAGGAAUGGAGAAACUGGAAUAUUGGCAUAGAGCAUAUUUUGCUAGAUCAAAAAACCACGAUCAUUUUACUAGAAAUAAAUAAAGCAACUUCUCUUGAUAACACGGUAAACAUUUUUACCCAUUUUUUCUUUUUCUUUGUUCAAAACUCUUUUUUCCUUAAUCUUUUUGCAACUUAUUUCUCCUCAAAUGUCUACCGGAAGAUGACAGCAGAAAAGAACAAGAAUGAAGUCAAAGUCCGAAGCCAAUAGAGUUGAGCUUUAUAUGCAUCACGUUUAAUUAUAUCUUAUUCUUCAAAUAGUACUAAGAUGUAAUCAUGUGUGGACUUGUUCGAUGCACAUUUAUGUUGUUGAUUGGCUACUGGGAUUUAGCUCAGAAGUCAGAACUUCAAAACCAUGAAACUAAUUGCCUGAUUGUUAGCUGUAUCUAUCUAGUUGAAUUUUCAAAUGAUUUUGUACCAUAAGCAGCUUAUCUUUCUUUGUCGAAAAAUUGAUCACGUAAUCUUUUCGUAUAGUAUUUUUUUUUUUUUUUUUUUUGCGUUUAAACAUAGAAUUGGGAAAGUUUUUAUUAUGUCCUUCCAAAGGAAUUCGAUCACGUCAAUGCAUGUUGUUUUGUAUCAUCUGUUUCAGUGAGUUGAUUCCAUUUUUUUUAGUGCUCCUAUAUUGUUUAUUGUCCGACUAAAAGUGCAAUUCGGCAAAACUCUCUUUUUUUUUUUAAAUAAGUGAGAGGUCUUGGAUCUACCUCGACAUUUCUCGACUUUCUACUUACAAUUUCUCUCAUCUUAUAAUUCAAUCCAACCUCCUCACGGCAAAACUCUUUUCCAACCAAAAUUUCAAAAUCAACAGGUUCUUUUAGACUUUCGAACCACAAUCUUAUAAGUUAUAAGAUACAAAGAUUACAAAAAAAAAAAAAAAAAAACCUGCCAAUCCAAUUAUUCACUUAUGAUAUCGUCAUAAUGAUGACUGCCAAGAAUGAAUUCUUCUUCCCUGGUUGCAAAAUCAUACGUACAUACGUACAAGAAUACAUGAGCAUAUAUAUACAUUUAUAUUGUGCUACAUCAUUGGCCACCCUCCAACUAACAUGGCUUUAAUUAUCAUAUACUUAUUACAUACUUUAUCAAUCAGUUAUUUCUUCCAAUUUUUUGCUUAUAUAUCCCAUACUUUUUCGUUUGUUUUGAUGUUUCCUCGUUUUAAUCGACUUUGUACAGUGUACGAGGUGUUCGAACGUAUGGCAUUCUAUGGAAUAUCUUCGAAUCUCUUCAUAUACUUGACCAAAAAGCUCCAUCAGGGCACAGUUACAUCAGCCAAUAAUGUCACCAAUUGGGUAGGAACCGUCUGGAUGACUCCAAUCUUGGGUGCAUAUUUUGCUGAUGCUGUUCUUGGCCGCUAUUGGACGUUGGUGAUUGCAUGUGCAAUAUAUCUCUCGGUAAGGCUGCAUGUACAGCAUCAUCAUUUUGUUCAUAACAUAAAAAAAAAAAAAUUGAAAAUUUUUUUUAAGGUGCCACGGUUCUAAAAAUGUGCCAUAAUAUGAAAUGAAACUUCUAUAAGUUAAAAGAAAGAUCAUAAUCCACAGCUUAUCUAUUCUUUGAUGUGAACUCCCAAAAUUACUUCAAGUUUGACAUUUAUUCAAAAAAAAAAAGGUAAUACAAAUUAAAUAAGAUAGGAAAGAAAUAUUAAUAUUGUCUUUCACAAAAGAAGAAAAAAAAUGACUAGUAUGCAAUUACAGUACCUUUGUCCACCCUGAAUCUGAAAAGAGGUCGGGAUUCAAGGAAUGGAGAUUGACUUAAUUAAAGUUGUAGUUUGAGUUGGAAGUGAAUCAAGUGAUUGAGACUCAUCAAUAAGCAUUUUUCAAAGUGAUGAUUGAGCAUUUUUUAUUAAACAGGCUGGCAUGGAUAGACUUUGCUAACGUAUUGUUUCUCUGUUCUAUAGUACCCUAGUUAUCAAGACCACUUUAAUAAUCUAGCUAGAAUAAUUAUUUAAGCUUCUAUCAAGACAAAAAAAAAUAAAUUAAUUCAGAGUGUUAGAAUCAAGAUCUAUCAAUUUUUUUUUUAAAAAAAAUUGUAUUUUAUCCGUAGCCGUUUUGUAUCUUCUGAAACAAUCUGAUCCCAAGAAAUUAUUGUAUACGACAAAUUGAAAAAAAUUGUAUUUUAUCCGUAGCCGUUUUGUAUCUUCUGAAACAAUCUGAUCCCAAGAAAUUAUUGUAUACGACAAAUUGACCUCAACCUCUUUGGAUAUUCGUGUAUGAUGUAUGCAAGACAAUACAACUUGUGGCAUGCUGGUCCAUGAUCUGGAACUUAAGGUGAAAAGACUUUCUUAGCUGCUACUACUAUUAAAUAUGGUCAAUUUUGAAGCUAUCACUUUCUUGAAGAAAAGUACAAAAUGCCGCUAUGAUAAUUAUGCAUAAGCUGUAAAUUAAUAUUUAUUUCUUACUUGAAAAAUCACCACAAUUCAAAGAUUCUUUCAACGUUCAAUAUUGUCUCCCCAAUUCAAAGAUUCAGCAUCAAGUAGGCAUACUUUAUGUUCAAUUAUCUUGAACCCGAUGGAUCAUUCCUUUUUUUUACAAUAUACGAAUUGGGAAUUUCACCAAGUCGAUUGCUUAACGUGACAUCGCAUUAAAUUGUCACAGUGUCUGGCUUAAUUUUAACUCUUUGGAUAGGUCAUCUUGUUUAUAGUAAUAAGCUUGACCACUUGGCAUCUCUUAUACUAGCUGAUUUUUCUGUUGAUGAUUUGUUAAUUAUUUACAUGCACAUCUACUUUCAUUAGUUAAUCAUCAAGCAAGCAUGUUUUAUUUUAUGUUUUCGGUCAUUUUCUAUAUACCUUGUCUGACUUCCUUGGUCAUUGAGGUCUUUCAACCUUAUCUAGAUGGUAACUUGUAGUUUCGUUUGUCACGUAUUUAUUAUUGACUUGUUAUUUCAACGUCCAUUUUCCUAAGCAGAUAGGCCAUAGAAAAAGGGGUAGGAUGUAGUAUUUAUAUUGAAACUCUUUUUAUGGGAAGCAAUUACGUAUAUGGAUUGAUGUUAACGUAGUCAUUUGACAAAAGUGUUUGAGAAAUUAAUUGGAUUUGGACCUUAAUAAAAAGUAAUGAGACGGAUAAUGAAAGGAAGGUAGGAGUUUGUCGUUGAGAUGAAAAAUUAGUCCACUGGAUUAUAUCAAUUUAUAAAUUCUUCCGAGUCUCUUAUUAUUCUGGAAUGAUGAUUUAAAAACUAAUCAGAAUUUUUCCACCCCCCAAAAAAAAAAAGAAGAAGAGAAUAAAGGGUCAAUUUGGCCAUAUAAUUUCAAUUGGCAAGGUAUAUGUUAGGGUACAACUCCAGUCUGUAAGAUUGAUACUAGAGAAACAUUGAAUGGUACAACUCUAAUGGAAAUCGCUGCUCUUCAAGAACUUAAUUUUAGUGAUUAUUAUCUCAUUUAUCUGUUACUGCAUACUAUCAGGGAAUGUCUUUAUUGACACUAGCAGUUUCAGUCCCCAGACUCAGGCCGCCCCACUGUGCUGAUCCAAAGGGCAUCAAUUGCCAGAAGGCCGACAAAUUGCAAUUAGGAGUAUAUUUCGCUGCCCUCUAUAUACUUGCAGUUGGAACUGGUGGCACAAAACCAAAUAUUUCAACAAUUGGUGCUGAUCAAUUUGAUGAAUUUGACCCCAAAGAAAAGCUUCACAAGCUUUCCUUCUUUAAUUGGUGGAUGUUUGGCAUAUUUCUUGGGACACUUUUUGCCAACACAGUUCUUGUUUGGAUUCAAGACAAUGUGGGAUGGACUCUCGGUUACGGCCUUCCUACGACUGGACUUGCCAUUUCUAUACUGAUAUUCUUGGCAGGCACACAAUUUUAUAGGCAUAGAAUUCCUACUGGAAGUCCCUUUACAAGAAUGGCCCAAGUCAUAAUUGCUUCCCUGAGAAAAUGGAAGGUUUCUGUCCCUAGUGACCCUAAAGAACUAUAUGAGCUUGAUCUUGAAGAGUAUGCGAAAAAUAAGAAAGUCAGGAUUGAUUCUACACCUUCAUUGAGGUUUGCACUACUCAAAUCUAUUAUCCCAGUAUUGGAAUUUGGCUAAAUAAGGAGCUAAAUAGGGAAAAAGAUUAUUGCAUUUUUUUUCUAAUAUAAAGUAUUCGGGCUUCUUUCUGCUGAUCUAGUGCAUUGUUGAUCAUGCAGAUUUCUAAACAAAGCUUGUGUAAAAACAACUUCCACCAAUCCAUGGAUGCUCUGUCCAGUUACCCAAGUGGAGGAAACUAAACAGAUGCUACGAAUGAUUCCCAUCCUAAUCGCUACAUUCAUUCCAAGCACAAUGAUUGCACAGAUUAACACACUUUUUGUCAAGCAAGGUACAACUCUCAACAGACGUCUUGGUGGCUUCAAUAUUCCACCAGCAAGCUUAGCAGCAUUUGUAACAUUAAGCAUGCUGAUCUCCGUCAUAUUAUAUGACCGAUACUUUAUGAAAAUCAUCAGAAGAUGGACUAACAAUCCUAGAGGAAUUACUCUGCUUCAGAGAAUGGGAAUUGGAAUGAUUCUGCAUAUUGUUAUAAUGACAGUGGCAUCGCUAACUGAGAAAUACAGGCUUUCCGUGGCCAAAGAUCAUGGCCUAGUGCAAAAUGCAGGUCAAGUGCCUCGGUCCAUAUUGCUUUUGCUUCCUCAAUUCGUUCUUAUGGGAGUAGCUGAUGCAUUCCUGGAGGUAGCAAAAAUCGAGUUCUUCUAUGAUCAAGCACCAGAAAGCAUGAAAAGUCUUGGAACAUCUUAUUCCAUGACUACCUUAGGAGCUGGAAAUUUCAUCAGCAGUUUUCUUUUGUCUACAGUUUCUCGUAUCACGAAGAGGGAUGGGAACGAAUGGAUUCAAAACAACCUUAAUGCUUCUCAUCUCGACUAUUAUUAUGCAUUUUUUGCAGUAUUAAACGUCUUGAACAUUAUCUUUUUCUUGAUUAUGACCAAGCUUUAUAUAUACAAGGCAGAAAUUUCGGAUUCGAUGGUUGUGCUCAGAGAAGAACUUGGGGGAUUGAAGAGUAAGGUAACCGAUGAAGAGGCAACAACAACAUAGGUUGGUGGAUCUGCAGUUAUCAAAGGGAUGUAUAUUGUUAUGUCUGUAAUUUAGAGAUAAUGAAUAUCAUUUUUCUUUUUCAUCUCGAGGGAAAUUUUGUGCUAUCACUAUAAUUCUUCGUUUAGUAUUGCUACUCUUCUGAUCCUCAGUCCAAUUUGCAACUCGUAACAGAAAAUGCUAGUAUUAGGUGACAGGACUCAUUAACUACUAAUUUGUUUACUACCUUUUUAACUUUGCAGCCAGCCAUUUACAACUCUUCUAUCGUUUAAUUCACCAUAUUACUUGCAUUAUGUGAGAAUGUUCUCUAUAGAUACUUCACAAGAUACAGGUUUUAGGUUGGUAAUUGCUUCUGAAGUUGCUUAAUUUAAGUCUUCUGACUCCCUUUGAUCGGGCAUCAAGUUCUGGUGAUAUGAUUCUUGAUUUACUUUAUACUGUAUCUUCAUUCAAAUAUUAACACUGUUUCUAUCCUUAAAUUAAUUCUCAUAUAGUAGCUUUUUAAGCAUGGGGAAUGGAAUAUUAGAAGCUAUGCUAUUCCACUUCAAAACAUGAAAAAAGCCAUCAAUUUUGAAGGCCAGAAACCUUCAUUUAGAAAGCAAACUCCUUCCCUUCUUCCUUUUUUACUUUUCUUUUUGGUUUCUUUUGUAUCAUUGUUCGUGGCAUCUCCGUGGAUGGAGAAAGUAGAACAUUUUUUUUUCCACCUUUGUCGCUAAGUUAAAAGAACCCUUAGUGCCUAGACUUUACAACAUUCAAUGUGCUCAUGACUUCAGCAUUUGUUCUAUCAGUAUUAGACCUAUCUGUGUUCACUACUUUCACAAGCUCUACUUAAUUAUUAGCUUUGAAACAAAUUAGCAAUUAUUGAGAUUCUACUAUGGUAUUCAAUCAUACUUUAAAUCAUGACUAGUGAUUUCAGAAGGUACUAAACAAGGUAGAAAUUGGCAUCAUGUACAAGAAGCCUAUGUAUUCAAAGCUCUUAACUUUGCCUUGUUUCAGUUUUCAGGGGCCUCACUGAACUGAAUGCAAACUUGGUUUAUAUUCAUUGGUUGGUUAAAAAAUCAACUUCUAAUUUGAUUUCACAACGCACUUUAUCAGUACAAAUUGAAUUUUUAUCACGUAGAGCUCCUUGACUAAGGUAAAAAUUUCAGUUUUCUCCAUGGCAUAGUAUCAAUAUUCUUUGAUUUUCCACAGCAAUUAGAAUUUUAGAGCUGGAAAAAUUCUUUGAUUGUUAUUCUUUAUGACGUUCAAACUACACUGGAAAAGCAGUCUUGGUGUAGAAUAGUCAAAUUAUGUGUAAUUUAUAAUCCCAUUAAUUAGUGGAUCAUGUGAAGCUGAUGGGAAUUAAUUUUACUAAAGUUGGAAUAAUGUGCCACGAAAUCGCAACCUCCAGUUUGAACAUAAAGCUCUUUGAAUAAGAUUAACCAGCCUAACUCAACUUUUUCUAGUACAGCACUAUUCUACUGUAAAGUGAAUCCAAAAUUAUUUUAUACAAAAUCCCAAAUCUGAUGAUGCCUUCUGUCCCUCCAAUGAAUAGCUAUAUAAAUGGGACAACCCCAUCCUUGCCCUACAAUUCCCCCCACCCUAAAUGCUUAAUCAUCUUCACUUUUGACUUUGCAAUACUAAAAAGGCAAAGGUGUCACUUACUCACCUAAGGAUAUAUUAUUAUUACUACAAUGUACUCCCCAUAACAUUCAUGCUAGUUUUAUUUUUCUAGUUUUGAGGUUUAAGAAACACCAAGAAGAAGAAACCAAAAUGGCUUAUUGACUUUAAAUGGACCACUGCCUCAUGUGUGUAAUCCAGUAUAGUGAAGUUGAAAGGCAUGAUCAAACAAUUGGUAAAUAUGGCUUUUAGCGGUUUCAUAACAUAUUAGCCACUAAACCUUUCUUAUUCACAAAAACAAUUAUUGUGAUGCAUGCAAGUGAAUGAACAAAGACAUAUUUGCUGUUUUUCUAAUUUAUGCUUGGCGGAAUCCAAGAGUCAACCUCUAGAGCCAUUUACCUAUAAUUCAUGGUCCUAAUGCUGCUAGAACCUGGGAUACAUGCAAUAAUAAUACCUACAAUUACAACAAUCAGUAUUCCGAGGAUCGCUAAUAUGGGCUACGUACGCUAGUAAGUUGUGUGAUGAUUAUCACUCCUACCUACUCUUAAUACAGGACUAUGGAAAAUCAGAUUUCUUUGUGCCAAACUGAAAAUUAUCAUGAAUUAAAAUUACUAAGAUCACUGGCGGAGAGAGAGGGGUGGUCAUCCGCGAAGAUCUUAGGAAUCCCUUUCUAUUCCCUUAAAGGAUUAAUAGUUUGGACUUUUAUCCUUGUAAAAUUGAGAUCUUGGCGAAACCCAUCCAAGUUCUUCACAAAAUUUCUAAGGGUACACCUUCAAUAAACAUCUUUCCUAGUUUUGCCCUCAUAACUCUCAACCUUUGGUUCUGUCAAUGAGUCAGUCGAAUCAACUUCAAAAGUAGAGAAAAUGAGAAAAAAAAAAAGGAUUCAUUAGAUUAUUCAUAAUUUCUUAGUUUGGUCAUUAAAUUAAACUUUUUAUUUAGUUAAUUGUCAUUCAACUAACAAAACAAUACAUUUUCUGUCACUUAAUUAAUAAAAACUUGUGCUUCUGAUCAUUCAACUAAUGAAAAUAUACACUUGUUGGUCGCAAGAAGAAUGUUUUAAUUAGCUCAAUUACCAUUUGGCUGAAUAAAAUGUUAGGUGACUAAAAUAGGGAGUCGUGAAUAGUUUAGUAGCAAUUUGUAUUAUUUGCUCUCGGAGGUAAUGCUUUCCAAAUCUUUCAUGCUCUUUCUGGAUUCCCUAUCACAAGACUUUCACGAUAAAUUCAUCAAGCUAUUUCAACGCUCGAGUCCAUUCAAAUGAAUAUUAAUCCACUCCAAUGAAAUCAUCAUGAUGUCCUAAAGACAGCUAGAAAUCCCACUAGUGCUAUUCAAAGGGCCGAAAUCCCUUCUUUGAGGACGUUGAAGAUUCAUCCCUUUUUUUGGUUUUUUUCUGACGAAUCUUUGUACUUGCUUGACAGCUUUUAUCAAUUGUUGAGCAUGCAUUCUGGCAAUAUUGCAAGCAGCAUUGAGAUGAGAUGAGAUGAGAUCUUCUGGGGAUAAGAUUGGCUUCACCUUCAGAAGUGUGAAGCAACCACUUUCGGUGACCAGUCCUUUUCUACAGCAAAGAUUCUCUUUGUUUCAGACUUUCAUUGCAUUCCAUGACAGAAUCCAUAAGUUGCUUUUGAGAAGGUUGUUUACCAAUCAUAUUUGAAAGUAAGGCAAUAAAUUUGCUUCACAAUUUUUGCUUUCCUACCUAAUGUGAUAAAAGGGAUAGUAAUAGACUGAUAGUUACAAAUCAUAAUUAAAAGUCCAAAACCUUUUUGCCAUUCCUCAUAGAAGCUUCUCAUAGUUACGUGACAAGUUGACUAUUUCAAUAAAAUGAUAAGGUUGGUUCUUAUUCUCUUUCUGUCAAAAAGGGUAAAUUUGUAGCUUCGGAUGCUGAAACAUAUUGCCUGCGGGGAAGAAUUAAUCAUAGUAGAGGAUAAACAUAUGACCAAACUGAGAACUGAUUCUUUUAGUCAAACUUCUUUGCUGCUAUUUAUCAGAGGCAUGCAUGAGGAACAUAUCCUGAUAAACUUAUUGGAUGUGCAAAGCACAGAAAGAGAAAAAGAGAGCAAAAAAAAGGCCUAUUUUAAUCAAGGAGAUAUUGUAAUAAUUUCGUGGCUAGGUUCUCCUUGUCUGAACUUGGACGUAUGAAAUUAAUUGUUAUAUACUGUGUUUAAGGUAGUGUAAUGAAACUCUUUUAAGAUGUAAAUUCCAUGUGUAAUAGGACAAUAGUGUACAACUUUAUCAAUUUUAUUCCAAGGUAUCCGUGAGCUGGUUUACCAAUGGUCUCCUGACUAGAAUCUUAAGAAUAAUUAGGCCAAGGCCUCGCAAAACAUGUCAAAUGUUUAAUUGCUUAAUGCAAUUAACAAGCCGAAGAAAAUGACCCAAUGUAAAUAUCAACUAAACAGACAUAUAAUAUAAGAAAACAACAACUUAGAAACACUAAGAACUGCUAAUAGUUCUUCAAUACAAGAUAACUAGUAUUAAAUGGUGGCCAUUAAUAUGUAAUUAUUUGUUACCAUCCUCGUGGAGUGAAAGCCCUUUAUACCCCCAAUAUCAGGUAAAUCCUUGUAUAAACCAGCUGCCUUAGCGUACUAGUUAACAAUUUGAGUGCUUUAGUCAGUACAUGACAGUUUGUUAAAAGAGUAAAUCUUAUAUAUACUGACAGUGUAUACAUUAUCAUGGCUGGAUGCACGAUAUAUAUGUAAAAUUUGGGUUUUAAAUUCAAAUUUGAAUUAUAUAUCAUGCAUCCAAUGAUGAAAGUGUAUACACUGUCAAUGUAUAGAAAAUUAAUGCUUGUUAAAAGCUUAAUACAUGAGAGCUUAAAAUGCUUAAAUUUAAAAUAAUAUACAAGCAUUUCACUAUAUGACACUCAAAACAUUAUUUACGUAUCUAAUAAGGGCAAGGUGUUACAAGAAUUGCAGUAAUCGAUCCAUUCCCGUGAUGUUUUACAACUUGGCUACAUGGCAAUUGACAUGCUUAAACCAAAUUAGUGACAUAUGAUCCAUUAAUUAUUCACUGACCAAAAUAUUCAAAUAAUGAUGGACAAAUUCAAAUUGUUACAAGAUGUUCAUACUUCACAGGCCUCGUUUUUAUUGCAUAUUAUGCAUGCCUUGCUCGGGUGAAAUUUGAACACCAUCAGAGUGAAACUAAUUAAGAGCAUACAUCCGAAUUAGAGAAACAACAGGUGACUUUUUAAAAAAAAAAAAAAAAAAUUUCCAACAGUUUUUUUUGUGGGGGGGGGGGGGGGGGGGUGACACUGAAGAAGUGGGGAUAGGGCAUGAGGAUUUAAAUUGGUCACGUUAUGACAUGGCAAAUCUAUAAUUGAUUUUGUAUGCCUUGUUGGUGGUUUUGUGGACCUCUUUUGUGGGAAGUUGAGUUGGGGUGGGCAGAGCACGUAUGGACGGUUGCUCUUUCUUUGAUCCUUUUUCUUGGCUGUUGAGAAGGGGACAAAGAGAUGAGAACUGAGAAGUAACAAGAAAGUAUCCGCAAUGAGUCCCCUUGGCCGUUUGUCAACUCUCACGAUCAACUAGAAUGAUAAUGACCCUUUGUUUAGGGUGACUUCAAAAGAAGCAAGGAAUCCAGAGAAGACCCUUUUUCCGCCGCGACAAAGGCUAAUUUGACAGGAGUUGAGGUUUGGCAAUAGUAAUCAAGCAUAAUUUUCUCACUUGUAAGAAAUGUAUAAACUUUUUUCAGUAGAUAAGCUCAACGUGUUUUCGUGCUUGGAUUUUUCUGAGGGGGAUUGCAAUGGAAGUGAAGAUUUUGGUACCUAAUGAUUGCUCUUGAUUGAGAGAUAUGAUAACGACUUCUAUGAACAUGAGUUUUCUAUAAUUAUCCUUUCUGUCUAAAAUUUCUUUGUGAUUCUCUAAAUGUUCCUAGAUUGUCCUUCAUCUCCUCUCUUUUUUAACUAUCUAAAACUGCAGUCUUAUAAGAGGCAACAACAGCAACAGUCUUAGAGGACAUUGAGGAGCUGAAGAAAGAAUUUCAAGAGUGCAACUUUUCUUUUGUGUAUAGAACAGGCAACACGUGUAGCCAUACACUAGCUCAAAAUGCAAUUAAGCUAGUACAUGACAUAGAAUGAAACAAUGAGUUUCCGGUAUGGCUGAUGGAUAUGGCUCGGAAAGAUAUGAGGGCAAUUGCCCCGUUUUGUAACUAACUCUUGUAUUAUCAAGUUUAAUAUAUGAAAGUACUAAUUCCGUUUGUUGAAAAAAAAAAAAGAGGCAACAACAGCAAAAAUUAAAUAAAAACAAUACCAAAAUAAACAAAAGAACCAAGCUUGGUUAUUAAGUUUUUUUGGGGUAAAAAAAUAGGAAUAAUGUCAUUUUGAGGUCUCAAAUGUUCUUAUGCUAAGACCCUUAUGAUCAUUCAACAAAAAACUGGCUGGCCACUUUUGUUUAUCAUUUCAUUUAUUUAGUUUAGUCACUGUGCUUUCAGUGAAUAUUCAGUCUUGCAACCUCGCUAGCAAAUCAAACAGCUCUGUUUGAUAACAAGACUAUCUAGAAUGUAGCAAAAUAAUUUUAAUGUAAUGAACUUCUAAAGAUACAAAAAUAAAAUGAUUGUGGAUUAAAAUUAUAAAUUAAAAAAUAUAAUCAAAUAACUUGGCAUUUGGAAUAUCAUAAAUUUGUUAUUUUUAUUUGUUUUGCACCAAAAUGAUAUCCAAUAGUAUCAUCUUAGCUGUAGUGGGACUUAUGAGUGGUCUAAUCUUCUACAUGCAUAUUAGCUACAGUAAUUUGCUUUAAGGUUUUUCUGCAAUACGACAAAAUACUUGGGCUUGACAUCCAAAUCUCAGUCUUGUAAUUGACACCAAUGCAGAAGCACAAAGUUGACUACAGACUAUACUGAAACUCUUGGAAAUGUCGAGGACCCCAAGUUAUGGGGCUAAUUUGCCGAGUUUCUUAGAAAAAGUGUUGUCUCACGCCCCUAUGUAUUCUCUGCCUACCCACUAGAGCUGUUAAGUCAAUCGAGUAGCUCGAAAGCUCGUUAGAGCUCGACUCGUUAAGGCUCGAGCUCGGCUCGUUAAUUUUGGUUAACGAGUCGAGCUCGAGCUCGAAACAUGCUCGUUUAGUUAACAAGCCGAGUAAGCUCGGCUCGUUUGAUACUCGAGUAGCUCGUUAGAACUCGUUAAUGAAGGGCAUAUUUGUCAUUUUAGAAAUUAAAAUUAUAAAAAUUAAAAAUUAUAGGUUUUUAUUUAGGUUAAUUUGCACGAGCUCGUGAAGCUCGACUCGUUUGUGAUAAACGAGUCGAGCUCGAGCCACAUGUACACUUAACGAGCCGAGUUCGAACACAUUUUAAAGCUCGUUUUCCUAACGAGCUCGAGUCGAGCUCGGCUCGAAUUAAACUCGAGUCGAGCUCGGCAGCCAAAUACUCGGAUCGACUCGGCUCGAUUAACAGCUCUACUACCCACCUGUGUCGAUUUCGGGUAUAAGAAGGCUAUAUCCACCCGUGUCGAUUCCUUAGAGAGAGUUGUCUCGCACCCCUAAGUAUUCCUUCUGCAUUUUUUCAAGCAAGAAGGAAGCUAAAGAAGGUUUAACUUCAUCAGAAUCAAAGGCUAAAGAAACACCCAAUGCCCAACAAAAAAGACAGAUUGUUUUUGGAAAAAAAAAAAUAAAAAGAAAGAACACAAAUAAGAAGGGAGACAUCUAAUGAUUAAUGAACCGAGUGGCCAUGGCCAACCACAUCAUGCACCAGUGUCAUGAUCAUUGACGAAGUUAAAAAAUUCAUUUCGAGGGGGCAAAUUUAAAUAUACCUAAACUUAUAUAUAAUAUAAUAUAUUUUUUAAUUUUUAUGGGAUAAAAUUUUAAAUUUAUAAAAAAUAUUCUAAAAAUUUCUAAUUUUAUAAAAGAUGAAAACUUAGGCCCCAUUUAGAUUGCUAUUUUUUGAAAUUUUUGUGAAUUAAUAUAUUAUAACGAUUAAAUAUAUAUGAGAUAAAAUGAUAAUUAAUAAAUAUGUUGACUAAAAACGUACAAAUUUUUCUACAAAAAAAAAAAAAAAAUCACACUCCAAACAAGGCCUAAAUCAUCUAAAAACUUUGGGGGCGGGACAUUCCAUCUUUGGCCAUGAUAGCAACAUUCAAACAGAAUUAAUGUGUUGGUUGACACAUGGGAGGUUAAGGUUUCAUUUGAUAAAACUGAAUCUGAAUUCUGAAAUCUGAAUACUGAAACAAUUAAUUUGCUGAAUUUUAAGCACUGAAAAGAAAUAUAUGAAUGUCUAUAUUUUAAUGCUAAAUCUAUUUAUACUGUUUAUAAAUAUGUAUAACUAAAUGUUUAAUAAGUUAAAUUUGACAAUUUUGCUCUUAUAUCUUUUCAUCCAAAAAGAAAUAGAACCUAUGAUUUAAUUAACUAAAAAUGUUAGGUAUGAAAAUUACAAUAUUUAUUUUUAAAUCAAAUUAAUAUAAAAGAUGAAAUAUAUUACAUGAGGAGUAUACAGAAGAUGUGAAAGUCAUUCAAAAGGGAGAAAAGAGAAAUAGAAAAUCAUUAGAUAGAGAAUAUUAGGUUAUUUAAUUAGAUAAGAAUUUUGAACAUAAUUAACAAAUAAGGGUAGAUUUGGUAGAUAAGAUAAGGUAAUUGAAGUAAUUUUAUUGAUUCUUAUCAGAAUUAAGCAUUCAGUUAGGAUUAAAAAUACACACAAUUUCAACACUACUUAACAAGUUCAGCAAAUGAAUUUCCAUUUAUCAAAUACUCAAAACAUCUGAAUGUCUGAAAAAGUUCAGAUUUAUCACUUGUUUAUGUUAUUAAACAGACCCUAAAAGAAUACUACAACUGUUGAUUCGGAGCCCACCAUUUGGAUUCCUAACGAUUGUUUUCAUUGUUGUUUGACAUAGAAUUGCGUGAGUGACAGUUGAUUUUAGUUAAAAAAAUUUCUGUCAACAUAAAACAUCAAUGAUCAAUCGAUAUUGAUAUUUGGGAAUUCCGAAAAAAGGUUCAAUUAGAAGCUGACACUAUCCAUCUCUAGUGGUGUGAUGAAUGAUGAUAACUACACAUCAGUGUGUAGGAGGACAAAUUAAGUAUCCUAGUAAAUUGAGCACCACAAGAUUCAAGAACACCUGCAUCAAUUGGUAUUUGGGACUAAUACGUUUUUUUAAUACGCUAAUCCCAUCUACAACAAGGUGAAAGCAUUAUUAUGUGGCUAACUCCACUUAAGAUUAUAUUCUUUAGUAGAAUUCAUUCUCAAUGAAUUCUUCCACUAAUAACAGUCAAAAUGAUGCUUUUUGCCUCUAAGAGUUAGUUGUCUGAAUGAUGCUCAAUUUGGUUAAUGUGGCUUUCAUUUAGUGGUCAAAAGAAUCCAGAGGAUGUGCUUGAAGAGUUGAAAGUAAAAUGCACGGCGGGAUUCUAAUUCGAGCUCUCUCUCUCUCUCUUUGAUAAUAACAUUAUUAUUAUUUCUCUAACAUUGCACUAAUAACAAAAAUUACCUCAAAUAUAUACACAUACAAACAGAUCUUAAUAUAAACUGACUAGUUAUCAGUUCAAUCCCAGUAUGUUUGCAGUUUAAGUUGUACUUUAACUAUAUAUAUAUAUGUGUGUGUGUGUUGCUACUCAUGGUUGGCUAACAACAAUCCACAAGACCUAACAAGGAGCCGUCUGUUCAGACUUGAAAGGGCGUUUGAUUGUGAUAAAACAAUCUCUCUUGUCCUGUUGUAAAACGAGGGUUCAAUUUAAUUCCAUUCCGCCUUCCUCAUCCUUCUUUCGUACCCCAAAAAAAAAAAAAAAAGAAUAGCAUAUAUUUUGGUCCACACUGCGAAAUGGUCUCUUACCCUGAUCAACUUCUCCCAAAAAAAAAAAAAAGAAAAGAAAAAAAAGUGCAACUUGAAUAAUAAAAAGAUAACAAAUUACUUGAUAGAAUUUCAGGAUGCAACGAGUUCAACAAAAAGUUUCUACUUCCCAACAGGCAACAGGCAACAGGCAACAGGCAAUGGCGAGAGAGCAACAGGAGAUCUAAGACAGGAGAGCUUAUUUGAUAUUACUAAUAACUAAUUGUCCAAGGAGCAGCCACUUGAGCUUCAGCGGCAACUUUUACUUGAAAAUCUAGCGUACUUCAAAUCCUUCAAUUAGUAAUUGAAUAUGAAAUAGAGAUCUUUGUAUCAAGACAAAACGGAAAAAGUAAAUAGCCAAAUUUGAUUUAAAAAACUAAAAAUUAACAUCAACAUCGGAACUGAUACUUAAAGAAAAAAAAAAAGUCAGCAUUGGAGCGCACAGCAAUCUGCCGGCAUAAUUGAAGUUUUCACGAUCUCAAAUAGCGCUUAAAUGGAAAAGGAAAAGAUGAACAAAGAGGCCGAGGGAAAAAUGGAACGGUGUGAAAGAAAGAGAAAAUAAAAAGAAGAAGAUAGAGAUGGAGGCUAAUAAGGAGGCGAGGAAUUAUCUUUAGAGGGCUGGAAAGGUCCUAACUUGGAGAUGGUUGUCUACACCAUAGUUAUUAAACCCGGCCCGGGGAGGAACUCGGUGAAAGAGGUGGGUCAACAGAUUACUGGUUCAACCAGUAGGUGAGUGGUCCAACCUGUGGGUCACUAAAUAUACUUAAAUAUUAUGUCUUAUAAUUUUUUAUAUGGUUGAAAUUAUAAUAAACUAUGUCUUAGUAAAUGUUCAAUUAGUCUAAUUUAUUAUAGAAUCAUUAAUUCUUAUAAGAAUCAACAAAACUUAAAUUUGCCUUAUGGAAAUUUCAUUAUUUUUAACAAACUUUUGGUUUUAACUUUUGGAAAUAAACUAGAUAAUGUUAUUUUAUUAAAAUUUGCCUCAUGGAAUUUGGGAAAUAAAUAAAAUUUUAUUAAAAGAUUCCAAAUAAAUUUUGUUUUGAAGAAAUAAAAUAAGAAUAAAAGUCUAAUAUAUAAUAUAAGAAGUACCAAACAACUAACAAAUGGAUUGUUGGUCUAGUGGUGAUUGCACUACAUUCUUAUACUUGAGGUCCCAAGUUUGAACCAUCAAUGCAACAUUUUCUAAAAAAAUUUCGCACAGCAACUGAGUUCCUUAAAGUCAAUGGUUCUACUGUCCAAACGAUCUAAUUAGCAACCCGGUUCGGUUCUAUGGCCGGUUCACCGGGUUGAUCGGUUGAACCGCUGGACCGGACCGGGUUUAAUAACUAUGGUCUACACACCAGACAAAAGGAUCUUUUGGGUUAUUAUUGUCAACCAAAACAUCCUUUGGGUUAUUAUUGUCAACACAGUUUUUGUGACGGUCACCUAAUCACCAAAACAUCCUUCUUCAAGGCAGAUCCUAAUCACCAAAACAUCCUUUUUCAAGGCAGAUGAAAAAAGAUGCAGCUCAAGCAGAUGGGCAAAACCGUAAUCUGGAUCAAUGGACAUGCAAAAGGCUGUAGUACAGUGAGCAUGACAGUAGAGUUGUUAAGUCAAUCGAGUAGCUCAAAAGCUCGUUAGAGCUCGACUUGUUAAGGCUCGAGCUCGGCUCGUUAAUUUUGGUUAACGAGUCGAGCUCGAGCUCGAAACAUGCUCGUUUAGUUAAUGAGCCGAGUAAGCUCGGCUCGUUUGAUACUCGAGUAGCUUGUUAGAGCUCGUUAAUAAAGGGCAUAUUUGUCAUUUUAGAAAUCAGUAUUAUAAAAAUUAAAAAUUAUAUGUUUUUAUUAAGGUUAAUUUGCACGAGCUCGUAAAGCUCAACUCAUUUGUGAUAAACGAGUCGAGCUUGAGUUCGAGCUCGAACCACAUGUACAUUUAACGAGUCGAGUUCGAACACAUUUUAAAGCUCGUUUUCCUAACGAGCUCAAGUCGAGCUUGGUUCGAAUUAAACUCGAGUCGAGCUUGGCAGCCAAAUACUCGGCUCGAUUAACAGCUCUACAUGACAGGCAGCUUGAUGGUUGAUUAAAAUGACAAAAAUGCCAUAGAGGAGAGCAGAUGAAAUGCAAUGAACAUUAUCCCACAAAACGUCUUCUUAUUAUAUGUUGUAAAGAAAGAAAGAUACUAAUUAAUCCCCCAAAAAGCUAAGUCAUGGCCUCUAUUAAAGGGGCAGAAACCUGAGAGCCAUUGUAGGAGUUGGGAACAAACAACCGAAGUUUCCCUUCUCAUUUCCUCUCUUUUUGUUCUCUUCUUGUUGAAGUAAUUGUAUAAAAUAGCUAGUGAGACACAAGAAUUCACAAGUUAGUAGUCUUGAAUUCUUCGUCUUGUUUGUUGAAGUAAUUGUAUAAAAUAGCUGGUGAAACACGAGUUCAUACGCAAGUCUUGAAUUCUUCUUUUUUGUUUGUGUAAGUUAACAUGGCUAUGGAGGAUGGGAUUAGUGAUUAUACUCAAGAUGGAACAGUGGAUCUCAAAGGAAACCCUGUUCUGAGAUCAAAAAGAGGAAGAUGGAAAGCUUGUUCCUUCAUAGUCGGUACUCUUCUUUAUUCUUUUUCCUUGUCUCUUUAUCCAUUUCUUUCCUCACCCUUUCUUUUUUUCUUUUCCUGUUGGUUUUCAUCCAUGGCCAUUAGCAGAGGUAAUGUGAUAUCAUAACUCUUAAGUGGAUGUGGUACUGAGUUCAUUCAAUACAAAAAUUAGCGCAAUUUUUUCCAUACGUUUGUUUUCCAUGGGGUUUGGGUUGAGGGGAAAUGAUCCACAGAAAUAGUGUGUUAUUUUGCUGGGAGUUAAACCAUAAAGCUUCAAGUAAUCCAACUACCUCCAUACUUCUUUAUUAAAAAGAAACCAAGACUCAAUUAACUUUUGUUAACCAUACGACUUCUAUGCAUCAUUAGCAUUUGAUUCUAGCAAACUAACCAUAAAUUACUCCAUUUUUUCACUCCCUACUUUCAUCUUUCCACUAACCCUUUUCUAUCCUUUUCAAUUGUAUUGAAUUGAAAUUAGUAUGUGGUGAAACGACGUGUUAAUUAUCUUUUGGUAACUUCUUCUAUAAUUUUAAGCCAUUACCAAAAUGAGUUUUUUCAAAUCUUAUUUUCUUGAUAUUCUGAAAACCUUAAUAUAUAGAUACAUGGAGAUGCAUUAAAUUGCAGCCCAACACCAUAUAUAUCGGCAAAACUUGUUUUUUUGUAUCUAUGUAUGUAGAUGAUUAAUAACUGCACGUUGCCUACUCCAUGGAUGGACACUUUCUUGAUUUUCGGCUUGACAAUUUCACGCUUCUGUCAUAUUUCCACAUAGCCCCUAAACUUGAAGGAGCAGACAAAGAACAUAUUAUAGUUAGUAUUACCUUAUCAUGCAUAAAGAUUAUUUAGAAGGGAAUAAAAAAAAGCUGAUUUAGACUAAGAUUUUAUUUUUUUUUUUAUUUUUUGGAACCAUGAAAACUGAAAAGCUACAAUUCCUGAUAAGAUAAUGCAAAAACUGAGGAUUCUUCAUUUUGGGUAAACUUGUUAAGAUGUUUCCUUCAAUAUCCAUCACUUUCUGUGUACUAGCCUCCUAAAAGAUAUAUCCGUGACAAGAGUAAAAAUAAAGAAAUAGUAUUUCUUACGACUUGUGUCACUCACGACAAGGAGGUGUAAUUUGUUUGACCAUAAAUUAGUCAUAUUAUAUAUUUUCAUUUUUGUCUUUCAUCCAAUUCUUACGCUAAAACCAAUAAUAGAAGAUGAAAAAUCCAAAAGCUUCUGUGUCACUCGGUCCAUCAUGCUUAUUAUUUUUUUAAUUUUUUUGAGACCAUGAUUGUCAACUAUUAAAUAACCCACUGCCAACUCCCAAGAAAAAAAAUUAAAUCAAUCACUUAGAAUCAACUCUUUUUUUGGUGCAAAUAUAAAUUUCUACGUUGACCCUUUUCAAGGGUUGAUUUUAAUUAGAACUUUUUCUUUUCAUUUGUUCUUUUUUUUCUCUGAGCAGUGUAUGAAGUGUUCGAGAGGAUGGCAUAUUGUGGAAUCUCAGCAAAUCUCAUUCUGUAUCUGACCAAAAAACUGCAUCAAGGGACUGUGACAGCAUCCAAUAAUGUGACUUAUUGGAUUGGUACCAUAUGGCUGACUCCAAUCUUGGGUGCAUAUGUUGCUGAUGCUUAUCUUGGCAGAUAUUGGACGUUUGUGAUUGCUUGUGCAAUCUAUCUCUCGGUAUGCUUCUCUGCACUAGAUCAGUCCUGUCUUAACUCUUAAUCAGUGUACCAUUUCUUUAUCAUUGUUUUAGCCACUAAUUAAGUCAAAGUGGAUGACGAAGUCAAAAAUUGAUGACAUCUGCCAAUACUUAAGAAAAGUUCUUUAAUAUUUUCUAUGCUGUUAUUAUUAAAAUUUUUGAAAAUUUUGUCUUGCAUGUCGGAGGCACUAAUAUUUUGUAACACAAAUAAAAAAAAAAAAAGAAAGAUGUUAGUCAAAGUGUCGAUUUUUUAUUUUAUUGCAUUAUAUUAAAAGGGUAAACAAUUUUCAGCAUAUGCAGCUCUCUGAGACCUAGAAUGUAGUUGGUAUUACUAAAAUCAGAAUGAGAAAUGAUUACAAAAGCAUUCCAGCUUGAAAGUAUUUGCAAAAUGUCAAUGAAAUUUGGUCAAGUGAAAGAAAUGUAAUUGAAAUGGAAAUUAGAAAGCAACCAUGUCUUCUGUUCAAGCAUGAUUGCUGCACAAAUGAAAGUCCAAUAAAUCAUAUCCACUGAGAAGUGAGAAAAAACAAAAAAGAGAAGUGAGAAUAAAUUCAUAAUUUUGCUUUUAUGAAAACCCCACAAAGAUGCACGUAUGAUUUCAUGAUACAUACAUCAUGGCUUUUCAUAACUUGAAUAAUAAAGUACUUUCACUUGCUAGCUAGGUGUGAAGUGCAAGUAUGUGUACGUGUGUGCGUAUAUAUGUGUAUACACACACAUACACAUACACAUACACAAUAUCUUUAUAUAAUUAUAGAAUAAAUCUUAUAAACAUUGACAGUAUAUAAAUUUAUCACGAUUGGAUGCACGACACAUAUGUAAAAUUUGGAUUUCAAAUUUAAAUUUGAAUUAUGUAUUAUGUAUCCAAUGGUGAAAGUGUAUACACUGUCAGUUUAUAGAUGAUUAAUCCAUAACUAUAAGGUGGUAUGUAAUGAUUGAAUAGAUGUACUUUUAAUGAUUCUUUAGGCACAGUUACCAAAUCAAGAGGCAUCUUGUAAUAAACAAUCCAGGUCGCAUUUAAUUUGAUUCUUUCUUAAGGCUUAUCUGAACUAUAGAAUAUAUACAAGGCAUGGAUCAUAUAACAAGUAGAUCAUGGUAUACUUUUUGAGACCAUAUUUGGAAUCUUCAUCAAUGGAAAUUAGCAUCAAAUGUCUUGACUAGAAUAUGGAAAUUCUUGAUCUGCCUUGUUUAGGAAUAUUGUCACAUCAAGACUAAUGCACCCCCACAGAUGCUGUCUAACAACUGUCAGACUUAAACUCUGACAAUGUGUUUAUGAUAACUUAUAAAACUAAUGCCAAAUAAUUACAAUAUAUUAAAUUGCUUAGUUCACCUAUUAGUGCUUCGAUUGAUAUUGGACAUGUAAUUUAGUGUAUCUAACUUUUUAGAUAUUCAGCAUGAUUAAAUUAGGUGCUCAUCUUUUGUUACUAGUUCUUGAAUUUUGUUUAUCGUAUCUGUAUUUUAGACAAUUUUGAAAACUAAGAUAAGAAACAAGAGUCAUCUUUUCAAGAUAAUUUACAUAAAUCUUUAGCUUUGAUACAUCCAGAUUUCUUCACUAUGUCUGUCCCCUGUAAAUGUGAUGAAAUUGUUCUACUCAACUUGUUAAACUAAUUCUUGUUGUUUGAAUUGCUAUUUUCUGAAGUUUUUGUAGAAAAAUAUAUUACAGCGAUUUGAUGUCUACGAAAUAAAAAGGUAAUUAAAACAUACGUUCAAGAAAAACGUAAAAAAAAAAAAUUUUGAAAAAAAAUGACAAUCCAAACAAGGUUUCAGCAUGAAAGACUUAAAAGUUAGUGAAUGGAACAGCUAGAGAAAAAGUUUUUUUCUAGUUUUUUCUCGAGGUUGUGCAAUGCUUGAAGAAGGAAGGAAAGAAACUUUUCAUAAAGCAGGGAACUAUAUUUUGCUUUUUAAUAUAUCUAUUGUCUCCUAUUUUUCUUUUUUGGGUCUGAGGGAUAUAAUUGGGGAAUCAUUUAGAGAGCCAACCAUAGGAUUAUCGUAGACGAAGACCUAAGUCGAAUAUUGAAAUGCCAAAUGUGUCAGCUUUAUAUGAGAAUAAUAACUUUGUCAGAGUUUAUUCCAAAAAUGCAUAUAUCAAUACACGAAAAGAGAAGAAUUUGAUGCUGAUUAAAAUGCAUCUUCAGAUUGCUGAAAUAGCAUGCGGGUCCUUUCCUUUGCUAAUUAAUGACAGAUAGUUUAUCUAAAUCAAUUAAUAACCAGAAAGAUCAAUUUCCAAUCAUGCUGCACGUUCAUAUGUGAUCUUCUUUAAUCUCACUAAACACAAAAGUUAAGUAAGAAAAAACAUAUUCUUUACUGGCUAUGAUCAGAGGCAUCUGUCUUCUGAUAUUAAUAUAACGGGAUAAUUUUAGAAACCUCCCCUAAGGUUUUUAACUAUUUCACUUAGUUCCCUUGAAGUUUUAAAAAUUACACUUACCUCCCUUGAUUUGACACUUUGGUAACCAAACGUUAAAAUAAGGUAAAAAAAAAAUUUAAUAAAUACCCCAUAAUGCACUUAUCUUAUAAAGUUUAAUUCAUUCUUCCAAACAAUUGUAAAGUAAUUUGACACAGUUAUAAAAAAAAAAGAGUCUCAAGUUUUUUAUGCUAAUAUUUGUUAUUUAAUAAUCAACUAUAACAAUAAAUCAUUUGCCAUGAUAAGCUAUAUUUUAUAGUGCUUUAUUGGGAAUAUAGAUUCUUUUUAAGAUAGAGAAAAAAGUAUUACCUUGUGUUUUUUAAGUUUAUAGACUAUUUUUUAAAUAAAAGUAUAUGGACUAGUUUAGUGAUGGAACUACCAUAGUUUGGCAGUGAUUUUGGGCCAUUUGUUUUUAAUUAUUUUUUAUUUUGAUAUAAAAAAAAAGAGCUACAAAAAAAAUUGGAUGAUAUUAAAAGUCAUCAAAAAAAUUACUAGUUUAACAUUUGAUCUGGAUUAAUAUUAGCGACAACAUUGAUAGUUCUUCUAUACUUUCAAUGAAAUAUAAGAGAAAUGAAUAAGAAGGAAAUAUGAAAAAAUUAUAAAAUCCAUCCUUUGUAUAAACAUGGCAACAAGAGAGUUUUAUUAGAAUAUUAAGGUUAGUAUUGUCAUUUUAAAUGGGUAAGGGAGAUAGGUGUAAUUUUUGAAACCUUAAGGGAAGCACAUGAAAUUAUUAACAACCUCAGGGGAGGUUUCUGAAAUUUUAUCCCUAAUAUAAUAUAAUUAGUACAGAUUAGUUCCAUUAAUCUUUCGUGAGUUAGCUGGAUUUAGUAAGUGAAGUUUUUUUUUUUUUUUAAAGAGUUAAAACUGUAACUUCAUGACCCAAAAAAAAAAAAAAAAAACUUUUACUAUCUGUUUACUGCUAAGGUAAGAUUAUACAAAGGCAUUUAUGCAAAUCACAAGUGUCCAAGAUGACUAGUAGUAUACCUAGUUAGAGUUGUAAACAAAAUCUAGAGAGACCAUGCAUGCAAAUAAAGCAAAUUAUUCAUGUCCUAACUGAAAUUGUAUCUGAUUGCAGGGAAUGUGCUUGCUAACACUAGCAGUUUCAGUCCCGGGCUUUAGACCACCUCCCUGCCAUGCUGCAAAUGUAUCUGACUGUCCAAAGGCUACAACACUUGAAUUGGCAGUGUUUUAUACUGCACUUUACAUCUUAGCUGUUGGAACUGGUGGGACAAAGCCAAAUAUCUCCACCAUAGGUGCGGAUCAAUUCGAUGAUUUCGAUCCAAAGGAGAAGAUCCAAAAGCUUUCCUUCUUCAAUUGGUGGAUGUUUAGCAUAUUCUUUGGGAUACUUUUUGGCAACACAGUUCUCGUCUAUAUUCAAGACAAUGUGGGAUGGGCUCUUGGAUAUGGUAUCCCUACAGCUGGGCUUGCAUUGUCUAUUGCCAUUUUUCUGUUUGGUACUCCCUUCUAUAGGCACAAGAAGCCUGCUGGUAGUCCCUUCACAAAGAUGGCUAGAGUCAUAGUGGCUACUGUUAAGAAAUGGAGGGUACCUGUCCCUACUCAUCCCAAAGAACUGUAUGAACUUGAUGCUGAAGAAUACACCAAGAAGGGCAAAUUCAAAAUUGAAUCCACAACCACAUUAAGGUUAGCAUUUUUCCCAUAAUUAACUAUAACUGCUUCUCUAUUACAGAUUAAAUUUUUUUAAAAAUCUGAAUAACAUCUUGUUCCAUAGUUGUCUAACUGAAAUGCAUUAAUUUAGGUACCUGAACAAAGCAGCAGUGCAAACAGGUUCAACAAGUAUGUGGAUGUUAUGCUCAGUUACAGAAGUUGAGGAGACCAAACAGAUGCUGAAAAUGUUACCUAUAUUGAUGACCACAUUCCUUCCAAACGUAAUAGUUGCACAAAGCAAUACUCUUUUCAUUAAGCAAGGCACUACUCUGGACAGGGGCAUGGGUAAGCAUUUCAAAUUGCCACCAGCCAGCUUAGGUGCUUUUGUGACAGUAACCAUGCUGCUUACCGUGGUGCUGUAUGAUCGUGUCUUUGUCAAGAAUAUUAGCAAGUGGACCAAGAAUCCAAGAGGCAUCACUCUCCUUCAAAGACUGGGACUUGGAUUUGUGCUCCACAUUAUCAUUAUGAUCGUAGCCUCCCUGACAGAAAGGCACAGGCUUAAUGUGGCCAAGGAACAUGGUCUAGAUCAAACCGGAGGCCAACUCCCAUUGACCAUAUUUAUAUUGCUCCCACAAUUUAUCCUUACGGGAGUGGCUGAUGCAAUGACAGAGGUUGCAAGACUUGAGUUUUUCUACGAUCAGGCACCUGAGAGCAUGAAGAGUUUGGGGACUUCCUUUUCCAUGACUAGUGUGGCAGGUGGCAACUUCCUUAGCAGUUUCAUUCUUUCAGCAGUUUCUCGCAUCACAAGGGAGGGUGGUCACAAAGGAUGGAUCCAAAACAACCUUAAUACUUCUCGCCUCGAUUUGUAUUUUGCAUUUCUUGCAGUAGUAGGCUUUCUGAAUUUCCUUUUUUUCCUGGUUGUGACCAAGUUCUUUCACUACAAGGCUGAGAUUUCGGACUCAAUGGAAGUGUUAAAAGAAGAACUAGAGGGGUCAAGGAAAGAUGCUUACCAAGUAGAGCUGGCGGAUAACAAACGCUAAUCAAGAAUGUUCUCAAGAGGGCUAAAAUUCAUCUGCAUGGAAAGGAGCUUGAGACUCAACAGGAGCAUUAUUUUGUAAUAAGAAUUGCUAGCAUCACAAGCAUGGAUUGGUGCUUUCUCGCACAACUAAGAUGAAACUAGCUUUUCCUUAAGCUAAAAAAUGUACUGUUAUGUUUUAGAAGCAGAGAGGAGGAAUGAAAUAAAGCUGUCAGAAGGCCCGAACUGGCUUUCCUGCAUGGCCCUACAGCGUGUUGCAGCAAAUAUUUCAGCUCAGAUAUCUGAAAUCUUAAUUUGCAUCUUUCCUUAAGAGCCCUAUGAAUGUACUACAACAAAUAUUUUAAGUUAUCUGCUUGAAAUCUCUAUUUCUAGCAAUUCUCUCUUGGUAAUCCAGGACAGCAAAUUUGCAUCAACAUGCAGUACUAUGUUUUAGUUUUUCCUUUUUUUCCCCCCAUCUUUUGGAGCAUUCUAGGAUGCUUGAACGCAAAUUCAAAUUGAAAGGAAUACAUUCUUCCUUUAGUUCUUACUAUUUUGGUUUUUUCAUCGCUUAUAGUUUCUUCGCUAUUCCCAUUAAUUUCCCUUUCUAUUUAUUUCUCACUGUUUGUUGAUUUUGAUGGUCAAUUGACGGUCAGUAGCACAACUGUUUUCAGUAAAACUGUUACUUUUAGAUGGCCACUGUUCAGAAAAGCAGUCAACAAUAAUGCUUCGCAAUGCAAGGACUACAAGACUUUCCAUGUCUUUCUACGUGAAACUACCAAAAUAAUUCCUAUGAUGCUCCUUUCCCAACCAAUCUAGAUGGCCAUGAAAUUGAAGUUUGCAGGCCCGCCUGCCUGUUUAGUGCAUGUCAUGAGUUUAUCCAGAUUUAAACUCAACGAAUGUUAGAGACAAAAUUUGAUUUUGUUAGUAUAUAUGAUAGCUCUAUACUGAUACUUGAAAACAUCUUAUACCAAUAUAAUUGAGCAAACAUUUGAUACUGUGUAUAAGAUAAUGUCGAAAGCAGAGAUUACAUAUCAUACUAGCCUGUUUUUAGUAGUUGAUUUUGUGUCUACAUUCCUCAUGGAAUCUAAAUCCAGUGAAGUAAUUAUUAAAAAAAAAAACCACAAAAAUGCUAAGGAUUCUGUCCAUGACGGUCAAUGAUCUUUUUCUAUGUUUUGCAUCAUAAACCAAGCACAAAGGCCUGAAGAAAACUGGUGACUACAAAAAAAAUUCUCUCAGCCUAAUUAGUUUUGACGUCAACCUGAUUCAUGAUACCAUCAGCCUUCUUGUAUAUCGAAUUUACAAAUUGAAAUGAUCAAAGAACAGAAAAGAUCAGCAUCACUAAUAUUUGAGCCUUGGAAAGAAAUAAAAUAGUGUGAAGAUGACCUCUGCUGCUAAACCAAGAUGCAUGUUUUAACAGACAAAAGGUCACAUUUAACAAACACUGUAGACCCUAAAGUAAUCCAUUUUCCCCUCUCUGUUUAUAAAAAGAUCCUGAGACAGAACUUCAUGUAAACUUUCUCAAGGAAAUAUCAAUCAAACAUCGUCUUAAGGACUCUAUAUAUCAUUUCGGGACGUGAUUCAAAUCUCACCUUCCAUGUUCCCUUCUUGCUGCUUUCCUCCACCUUUUGGCUUUCCCACCCCACCAAAAAAGGUACCUAAUCUGAUAAAUCUUUUUUUUCCCUAACAAUUCUUCCUUUUUGGAGAAUUUGUAUCAAGUUCUCAUCAAAAGUGAUUGCUAGAAACCUAAAGCUGACUUUAAUUGUCAUUACCAUUCCAAUUUGUAAUUUUGCUUGAAAAUUUCAAGAACCCUUUUCGUAUAUAUUACCAAAGAGAUGAAAGAAGGCAUUAAAGAUUGGAUUUUGGAAAAAGCAAAAUAUAAAUCUUUUCACCUGGGAUGGGAUAGGAUUGGACUGUUUAAUUCAAUCCCUUUGUAAAGCGUAAUGGCAACAAUCCCUUUUCUAACAACGCCAUUUCGAUCUAUGUUCGAGAAAAGCGAGAGUUCUGAUCAGUUCUGGAGGGUUUUAUGACUGAACAUCACAAUAUCAUCAGGACAACAACACGCAAAGGCGUGGUCUCACACUCGUUGGUGGAAAUACGCCUUCUGAAAUCACUCUCAAAAGCCGCAGACUUUCUGAUCAUCUGGGGAAAAGUUAAACUCAACUCCUAUCAAAUCAAGAUUUGGCAUCCCAAAUUCAGCUAUCUAUAAUCACUUAUGAGGAAUGCAAUUAUCUGUUUAACAAAACGGACUGUUUAAAAUAGCUUUAAAAAAAACGUAAUUUUGAAGUUAGUAAUUAAGAGAAAAAUCAAAAUGGAAGUUAAUGCAGACUUAAUUAGAUUCAAGGAAAUGAAGAAAGAAAGAACUUUUAAUUUCAGAUUCUGAUAUCUCUUUUUGCUAAUAGCUUUUCAAAUUUUCAUUGCGAUUUGUAGAAAGUACAUUCUUAGUUGUUUAUAAAUAUGUUAAAAUCUCUUCUUCCAUUGAACGUACUUUCAGUUCUUGAGUAUGACCCAAUGGUUUGUAAACUACAAAGAUCAUAUUUACGUUGCAGUGACUUUGUAGAUUGUCUGAGAUAAAGUUGAAUUAGCCUUCCAUUUAGUUCUCUUUUAGCUUUGUGGUUUCUGUCUUGGAGAGCUCAGCUAUCUGGUUGCAGAUUUGAUAAAACUAAAGUUCAUUUCCAUCGAUGAUAAGGACGGUUUUAACUUUCUCAGUCAGAUGCUUUGAAAGUUUGGAUAGUGCAAAACUAUAAGAUCAUAUGCAAAUGCAUCUCAUGUGGCCUUGACUUAUGCUACUGCGGCAGAACUCCUAAAUUAUCCAUGUUAUAUGGUGCUCUGCGACUAUUGUUGUAUGAUAUGGAAAACAAGGAUUCUCACUCUGAACUCAUCAAAUAUGAAAGUGAGAAGAUGGGCUUGUCUGAAUUGAUAAUCUUCUUGAAUUCUUUUCUUGCAACCAGGGUAGAAACUUAUGCUAGACAAUUAUUUCCUGUGAAAACUUGAACUCCUGCAGUCAACAUCCCAUCCGAAGAUACAUGUCAAUAUCAGCAAGUCAGCAGCUGCAAGAGCUCUUCCAUCAUGAAACCAGCGUGUUUUGCUGAUGUCCUUGUGCUGAUAAAUUUGAUGGUCGAAAUCGGAUAGGAACCAGUUGAAGCUUCUUCUCCACAAGACUUGCUUCUAUUUUUGAACUAAUUCAUUUCCCAGGUGUAUUUCUGAUCAAUUAUGGCCCAUGCAGAGUGGAUGAUGCAAAAGAGAAAAACAUAUCCAUUUGAAAUGCUCAACCACAGUUAGUUGCUAAUGCUGCGUAGGUCUAUAAAAAAAGAAGACCAUGAUUAGUAUAAUGUUCUCUCAUCUCCAAAUAUAUCUUUGUACUAGUAUACAACAAUGAAUAAAUACAUCAUCUUUUUCCGUAAAAGUGUAUUUCCUGAACUCAGCAUUCAAAGAUCAUAUGAUCAUAUACCUGCCUCACACGCUCCUCAGUUAAGAUCAACCUUAGUGGCAGAAUCUCAUGUAAACUGGUAUUAUUUUCAUCCUCUUCUCUUUGCUAAUUGGAAUGACCUUUUUAGGAAGUCAUUAGCAGCUCGAUCAUUUCUGUGGCACAGUACCCUCAAAAUUGUAUUGGGAUCUGAUCUAUUCCAUCUUCCAGUUGUUGGUGGCAUAGGAAGCUUCUGCCCAGCACCAACUACACCUAUGCCACUGGCUUCACAGGCCACAAUACUGAAAUCUUCCAUCAAUUGUUCUGUAGAUUGGCCCAUUAAUGCCACUACACCAUCCACUGUCUCAGCUUCUAUGUUUACUGCAUCCUCUACGAUUAGACCUUCUCCACAUGUACAAAACAUCCGCUUCAGGUUCUCAAAAUCUUCCUCAAUCAUCUGAUGGUCUGACCGAAAAAAGAUUCUGGAGCUUCCCCCAGCAAGCAAAACCAUAAGGAAGGCCUCAAAGGAAGCUCUCAUUACCUCUUUUAGAGCUAGUGGUUGAGCUCUUUCAGUCACAAUUGCACAUAAUAGAGUAAGGUUCUGCUUAAGUGUUCUCAGAGCUGGCCUAAUACGUGCAUUUGCUACAUCACCUACAUAUAGACUUCCGUAGAAUACAGAGUUCGAAUCCAUGAAGAUUAGACGGUAAGCAGCAACUUCACAUACAUGCUGAGUAGCAACAUGAAUUGCCGAGCGAGCGUGAUCAAAGUAGGAGGAGGAAUCCCCAAGUUGUCUAUUCCUGUUGUUAAUGCGGCUAUGUGGUGAAGGAACAAUUUUUGACGACAGGGACAAUGUUUUAUCAAGAGAGUUGAGCUGUGAAUUGAGGAAAUGUAAGGUGUUAAGACGGAUGUACAAGCGUUGUGUUCCGCGACUUGUUGAAGGCCGCGGAUGGUUGCCUUCAUUUAGCAUAUUUUGGCCUGGGUCUUCUAUGCCAACACUGCAGGCAGCUCUUUUCCAGAGUUUAGAAAACUUUGUUUCUUGGCUACAUCGUGUUAAAGGGGGAAGUAUAGGGAGAUAACUUUGCUUUGAUCCUGAAGAGUGGAGCAAAAACCCAGUGAGUUACACAGUGAUCACAUAAUUUUGCUGAUUCCAAUGCAUAUUUUGAUCCAACUUUUAGUUGUCUACGUUAUCAUUUAUCAGCACAAAGAAGAAGACCAUGAGGCAAAAGAGGAAACUUAGAGUAAUACUGUCCAGCGGCUGCAACUUGCAUGAUUAGUGAAGCUAGACAUUCAAAAAGGGACAACCAGGUUGGUAUUUAGAGGAGAACAGGAUUUCAGAGUAUGAUAUGAACAUCCCUAUAUAUGCAAUUAUCUGUGUUCAGGAUGAUAUCUUUCAUUGACAACUACUUGGUGGAAAGAUUCAGUGCCAGUUCUUACCACAUGAUGCAACAAAGGUAAUGUAAUCUCUGAAGAGAUGCUCCAAUCCAUCAGUGAGAGUGUGGACCAGAUCCUCAGAUAAGUUCACUGGGGUAUGGAGGAAGCUGUCCAAAGAAUCCUUGAUAUGCUUCAUUAGCUCUACAGCAGAAUGUGCAUAUGGCUCGGUCUUGGACUUGGGAUUCCAUGUCUACAAUGCAAAAUUCUGUAUGUCAAGUUGUUGCUGCACACAUAUAAGGAGUCUCGGGUAUGUGUGUUACAUAUCAAUUCAUGUUAAUAGAUGUAAGAAUUCUGCCACUGUCAAAAGAUAUAAAUACAUGUUUUAUCAAACUUACUUCAGUUUCUUUCGCUCUAAGGAGUAAUUCUUUCCCCUUCUUUAGGAUUUCUUGAAUCCAUUGUUUCAUACGGUUCAGUAUGAUGGAAUCAACUUCAUAGGGCACCAUCUCCCUGACAAUUGCUUUGCCUCCAUCUUCACAUUCAACAGAGUCUUCAACCACCAUCUGAACCAAAACCUUUUCCAACUUCCCAGCUCUGUGCAGCAACGUAGUUGUCUCCUCUGUGAGUGCAGAAGUUGCUACCAAAUACUGCUUCAACAAAGUCCCGUAGCAAGUAUGUAGGGUUACCGCUGCAACCCCAGCUGCGACAGGGUGCCAUUUCUUGAGUACAGGACUAAAAAUCUCCUUCUCCAUUGCAGCCAAACGUUCAGUUUCAUUAGCCAAUUUAAUGAGCACUUCACUUGCUUCUUCCAUUUCAACAACAGCUCCAUCUAUGUUCCUAUCUUUCAGAAUCUACAAAGGUUUUUAAAAAAAAUAGAGAGAUAUAGUUCAAGUAUUUUCAGAAGUUGAAAAUAUCCAACAGAAAAGUAAAAGAGACGUCGAUUCAGGAUCAAACUAAUAUACAUACUACCCUGUACCUUUGCAAAUGCAUUCCUCAAUGAUGACCUCACAUAAUAAUCCACCCGAUUGCCAGAUGAAAUCUUUGUCAUUUCUUCGGUCUCCAAUUCUACUGCAAGAUAUCCUGGAACAUCUUCUUCCAAGAUCUUUGCAGCCGAAAAGACUAAUGGAACAAUACUCUCCAUUAGUCCAAUUGUGCCCUUAUGAAAAUUUUGAUGGUAAUCAAGCAAUCUCCUCUCUGCCCAUCUCUUCAUUGAAGUCAAGGCUGAUGCCAACAUCUUCACAUACAAAGGUUCUCUAUCAACUUUCUUAGCAUCAUUUGCGACUUCAGCUAACAUAGUCAGUGAUGCACCAAGAAGAUCUCCCUCAACUUGUCCGGUCACAAUAUAAUGCUCAAACAACACCCAAGUAAAACACAAGUUAUGGAUCGAUCUAUUAAUUCCCAAUGUAGACCAUGUCUUCUUCAUCAACUCAAGAAGCUCGUCAACUUCAUCAAGAACUAACGUUUCCUCCUUGAUAUCAAAAAUUGAGUACAGAAGAGCAAUAUAAAUGUGUACGUUAAUGGGAUAUCCAUCAGCCCAAUGGCAAAUAUCAGUAGGGGAACCAUCAGCACUUCUCCAAGACAAAGACACAACACAAUUGACUAGUGAUUUCAUGGUUUCUGAAUUCUUUCCGGUGUCUAUUGCUUUGUGUUCUGAAGCUUGGAUGAUUUCGCGAAGGCGAAUAGCAAAUUCAUUCGACUUCUCUAAUGGAAUCGAAGGGUGAAGAAGAAGUCCAACCUCGAAAAUUUUGAGCUGACGUUUUUGCCAAAAAUGAUACUCCUGAGGGUCAUUAAAUUCGGAUGGUUUUAGGUGGCGUAAAAGCUCCAACGGAAGAAUAAUCGUCUCUGCACGCCUGCCCAUCUGCUCGAAGAAUUGUAUCAACUUUACAUGUUCAAUCAGUCAGGUCAAAAAAAUUUAUCAACUCGAAGAAUAAGCAUUGUCAAUACAAGCAAUGCAAAGCUAUCAUGUCAAUAGAUAUAAACAGCUCAAGUAAAUUAUGUAUUUUCCUCGACAAACUCUAGUGUGUCAAAGGGACCAUUCCGCCAAUCUAUUCCAACUACCAAGAUAACGAAAAAAAUGUUGAAAACAUCAGGGAGUGUAAUUAACAUUUUCAGAUUCUAUCUUCGGUUUUUAUGGUCAAGCAUGAUAAACAUUCAUGUGUUGGCAACAAAUGAGUAUGCUAAUGCCCCAUUUGAAUAAAAUAUUUGCAUAAACAUUCUUGAAAUAAAAUUAUUUAGUUUUUUUAUCCUACGGUAUAUCAGCUUCUAGUUAGCUAUAAAUUCAUUCUACGUCCUUUCUAUAAUCCUCACUAAAUUCCAAUUUGCGUAUAAUAAGCCUAAAAAAAAAUUAUAUUGCUCUCUUAGUUAAUUCCGAGAUGAUACAGAUUAGAGGCACAUUAAAAAUGAAAAAGAGAAAAAAAUUGGAACUAAAACUUGCACAUUUACCUAUUUUGUUUUCUCAUUUUAUCGCUUCAUAAAUUAUUUCAUUUCACACGAUCGAAGAAUUAUUGUUCACUCACCAAAUUAACAUACAUUUUUAUGAAAUUUUAGUUAACUAAUUGUAUUUUAUAUUUUUUUUCCCAAUUUCCCAUUUCUAUCGACGAAAUAAUUCUAUAGACAUAUUAUCUACAUACUUGGCCAACAAGGGUCCUCAUGAGAGUUUUACGUAGCCUGUUAUCACUCUGCUCCGUCACCCUCAUUUGCUGCCGCAUGAUCUCAGCUGAUGUCAUCGGCCGGCGAGGCCUAGACGGCAACGACGAGAACGCGCUCCGAGGACUCGUCCCAGCCCCACCAUUCGGCGAAGACGGUGCUGCCCCAACAGAGCUAGCCCUCCUUGAUGGUGACUUUCUCAUCAUUUUCAAUCCUAAAGUCCUUUUCACCCUACUCGUUACUGCCAUCCCCACCCCCGGUGGCUUCACUGGAGAUCCAGGUUGUCCAAAACUUGACCCAGACCCGCUUCCAUCUUUCUCGUCCGACGGAUUAUAAUAUGUUAUUGCACUCCUACCUCCAAACCCCGGCGAUGACCGGCAAGCCGUGAAGAAUAUCUCAUAAGCAGCUUCACGAAAAUCAUCCCGGUCGAGGCCUUCGAGCUUUCCGAAAGGCCAUACAAGGUCCGAGAUGGCCUCUGCGGGAUCCGGAUCGGCUCGGGGAGAAGGCUGAAUGGAUGAACGGGUAAGUUGGCCCAUUUAGGUGGUUUUGGCCUAAUGAUGGGUGGUGGUGAUGCAGCAGAUUCCGGCCGUUUUCUUUAUUGCCAAGUUUCCGGCGGAAGCGGGACAGAGAAGGUGAUGAACAUUAUAGAACUGUUUUUUUCUGUUUUCGUGAGGACAGAAGAAGAAGAAAGAGAGAAAUGGGAUAAUAAUGGUUAGAAAUUAAAGCAGCAAGAGAGAGAAGAGGAGAGAGAUGGAUGGUUUUGGGGCGGUGUAGAUUUGCGAAGAAAACGAGAGAAGACAAAGGUGGUUGCAUGAGCAUUCCGGGUUUUGCUGAUAUAUACGAAUGUUGCCUCAUUUUGAAUAAAUGGCAAAUUUUGUUUAUAUAUCCUUUUUUUUUUUCAGGCUUGUUUAUAUCUCUUUUUUUGCCCUUCUUUUUAUUUUUUUUUAUUCUGCAAAUUUCAAUUUAAAAAUUAUUAUUUCCAAGGACAGGAACACGUAGAUUCAGAACGCCUUCAUCAUGCAUGCAAAUGCAUGGCUCCAUAUGGAGAUAAAGAAUAGCAGACUAUGUAACCGUCUGAAUAUUCCGGAGAUGUAUUGGAUUUCUUUAGUUCUUAUUCUUUUUUCUUUUUUUUUUGGGGGUACAAAGUAGUAUUACUUUAGCUAUUAAUAUAGUUCUAGAAAUGCCAAUAAAUAUAUAUAUAUUUGUCAUAUUUGUAAUACUCUCAUUAGAAGCAAGCAGAGACGAAAAGUAAACGUGCUUCUAUUAUGGCAGAUGUGGCGCAGUUGUUUACUUGUCUAAUUUUGUGACAUAUUAUUAUUUAUGCGACCAAUGUCUUUGGAUUCUUUUUACUUGUUGAAAGGGAAGUAAUAUACAGUCGAGAAGUUGUCGAGCAAGUUAUGUUUUUUGUCGAAUUUAUUCACUUGAUAGUGAUCUGGGAUAGUUUCAAAGAUGCCCUUUCUUUACUGAUCAGCUGCAUGUAUAUGAUUUCAGUAAAUGCUAUACAUAAUAUAAAUGCUUUUCGCAGCUAAAUUGUUCUUUUACCACAGACAGACAGGUCUUUCUCUGAAUAUUCUGAGAUAGAAUCAAGGUUAAACUUAGUGGUGAUUCAAUUCAGAACACACAAAUUGAUGCACUAUCAUGUAGCAUUUUCAAGACCAAUUUUUUGUUUCUUCCAUCAUUAUGUAGGAAAUGGACUCAGUUGAGUUGAUUUUGAGCAUUUGAUACGAGCUUGUGAAUUAUUCUAUUCAUGCAUUGAAACAUCUUGCAUCUCCGCCCCCCCCCCCCCAAAACAACAAAAAAAACCCUAUAGACAUCUCUAUGAAGAGAUCAACUUUGACAAAUUCCGAUCCAUCCGGUAAAAAGACUAAAAGAAAAUUGGACUUUAUCAUUUGAUAGAACUUGGUGCUUGCCGGGCGUUUAAGGUGGGCAAUUCUGCCGUAAUGAGCAUGUCAAUAUGUUAAUCAUUGCUCUACAUAUGUAAAAGAGUUGUUUCAAACAAAAUAUUAUGUUGAAAUCUUAUUCUUUUAAUUGUUUAACUAUGUGUAAAAAUUGGACUCUCACAUGGUUGAUAAUAAUUGGAAUCUGUAAUUAGACAAGUCUUAGUUGAACUCCGAGGGAUUGAACUCUUGCACAAAUGAUUUGUCCAACUUCUGUUGGUCUAACUCCACUUUGCAUCCUUAAACUGGCAGCACUUUUUCACUUAGCACCGUAAAUUUCAAUUUUGGACAUUUUGCACUCUAAACUCUUAAUUUUGGAUACUAUACACCCUAAACUCUUAAAUUUAUCCUAUUUAAAUCUAAUGAAUAAUUAUGUGCGCAAAAUUAACUAAUCACAAUGUUAUUUUAAUUCUAACUAUGAUCCAUCAAAUUUUUUGAUCACUUUCAUCACAUUGCCGCCGUUGUUUUAUGUAGCUUUAAUCACUAAUAUUGUUAGUAAACCUAACAAGAUUAAAGAUGAUACACAUUAAUGACAAUGUAUUAUUUUAUUUUUAUUACAACACUGUAGUACCUUUUGACUACUUUCGGUACAUUGUCAUUGAUUCCUUGGAUCCUCUACGCCAUUAAUUUUGCCAAAAUUAUCAUUGAUUAUAAUUAAAUGGGACAAACUUAAAAGUUGAGUGUAAAGUAUUCAAAUUUGAGAUUUUAGGGUGUAAAAUGUUCAACAUUGAAAUUUAGCAUACAAAGUGAAACAAGUUUAAGGGUGCGAAAUGAAGUUAGUCUAAAUGAGUUCGAUAAGCGGGUUAUAACUAAGACAAGAUUUUUCUGUUUUUCAUUUUUAGCAAGAAAGGCUCAGUGAACAUAGCAAAAACGCUCUCACAAAGGAGCAAAACCAAACUACUAAGACAUAAUCUCAAAUUGUCUGAGCCAGUUUAUGGAGAAAUCUCGCAGGAGUUUUGAUGAACCAAAAUUUUAUAGUAGGUAGUUCUAAUUGUAUGACUCGUACUCAUAGUAGUAUUACUUCUUCUUUUUUUCUGCUGGUCUUGUUUGUUAAUAUCACAAGUUGUACAAUUUACAGAUUACCCGUUUUGGCCUACUUGAAUGAGACAGCAAAUUUUUUUUUCAAGAGAAAGUUUCAUACACUAAUCAAAUCAAUCUGAACAAGCAAAAAAAGACAGUCUAUUCUUUUGUUCGAAGUAUUUGGCAUCAGAAUCCGGCAAUUUUCAGUUGGAGUGUUGGUCUCUAGCUGCCGACAAUUGUAAUUUAAUUAGUAGUUCACAAGCCAUUAUCUGUUUCUCUCUUCUUCAUUAUUCUUCCAACCUUGACACAAUUGUUUUUUAAUGGUUUUCUGAUAUUCUUCUAAGCAAUUCAGAAUUUGACGCCUUAUGCCCUACCACCACCUAAUCAUUCUCUUCUUUAUCUAUGAUUUUUUAUUUUUAUUUUUAUUUUUGUGGGACAAUAUCAUUUCAAAAGGUUUAAAGUUUGGACUAUUUAGGAACCCCAAAAAAAAAAAAAAAAUUGGACAGCAUUGUUUGUUUGUUAUACAAAAGAAUGAAAAUGAGGUUUGGCUAUUGUAGCAGCUCGUGAAUGCUACACGAGGUUCCCGGGGCGACUCCCGUUGUGAGCGCCAAGUUCAAAUAGCCCAGGGUCAGGCCUUACCCCGAGCAAGAGUCAGACUCUGCGGCCGGGCCGAAUCCGGAUUAGUUGGAACACUGGCUCCGGAUACCGGGUGGUCUGACCAAAAAAAAAAAAAAAAAGAAAAGAAAAUGAGGUUCGGCCAGUGGAUCCAGUGCUUAAUGAAAUCCAUUAACUUAGCUGCUGGCCCUGCUGGCUCAAUAGGCUCCCAAAACUUUUAGUGGGCCUUUUUAAGGGCCAGAAGGAUGACAGGCCGUAAGGAACCAAUGUUCUUGCUGAAAAUCCAGGCACUUGUACUUGGUUUUGUGAGCAGAAGCACAGCCGCAUCAAACCAAAGUAUCAAUUUUGUGUUGAGAAGAAAAAAAGGAAAAUUUAAAAUUUAUUGGUCCAUGUAUAUUCACAUUUUUUUUGACAAACAUCUAUAUUCACAGUUCAAAAUGUGUCUCUAUUUUACAACUUUUUAUGAUGCUUUUUUUUUCAUUUCCUUCUUGGGAACUAUAUAAAAAAUGAAAAGUUUCAGUGCAAUUUGAUGAAACCUAAUUAAUCAUCACUUACCAAAAAAUGGUGAAUAAUUCAAACUCAAAAUAAGAUUUGGAAAGAUACUUCUCACCCACCCAAGUUUGAUAGGCAAAGGUACAUACAUUAUGUCUUGUUGUCGUUUCAGAAAAAAUGAUAGGGAAAAUAAAUUAAAUUUAGAAUUUUGAAGUAGAAGGAGGAAGAAAGUCUUGGACAAUUAAUAUUUACUCAAUUUGAAAAAUGAGAUUAAUUAAGAAGCUAAAAAAUGUUAAGACUAGGAAUUCAUGGAAAAUUUGCGCAGAGUGCAUACUUUUUUGGCAUAAACCAUGCAGAACUGAUCAUUGGCAGUACAAAUCGACUAACUAAUUGCAUGAGCAUUAUAACUAGCACUUUAAACUAGAGACCGGAUCUAUGGUAUUGUUUACAAUGUCUAUUGCUGUUGCACAAAUUGUUUUACAUUAGUAAGAUAUGCAACAAAAUAGACUCCAUUGAUGUCAUCCAAAUAAGUAGACAUUUAUAUAGACUAAUACCACCAAAAUGCCUCUCUCGUAUAGUUAUCCCCCACUAAGAGAAUCAUCAGACUUCACUCUUAUCAUGUUUUUGUCUAAAUUCAACAUCCCAAAUUUAUUUUCAUUAAAAUUUUCCUCUCUUAUAUGGUAAAAUGGGACCUAAAUUUGUCAAAAAAAAAAAAAGAAAUAAUUCUUUUGUAUGGUAAAAUGGGACCUAAAAUUAUCACAACAGAAAAGAAAUAAUUUUUUUAAUUCAUCUUUUUUUUUAAGUGUAAGUUAAAGGUUUCGAAUCCAAGAUCUCUCACUUAUACUCCCUCUCCCCGUACCAUCCAACUCAACUCAUCCCUCCCUUCUUGAAUUCAUCUAUUAAAAUUUGCCAUAUCUAAAUGAAUAGCAUCAUAGAUUGACAAUAUAAUCAUGACCUGGAAAUAAAAUAUAUAUUUAUAUAUAUAUCCAAUUCAGAUAGAAAAAUCUCAUCUUUACUGAAUCAUCAUCAUCAAGUAAUACAACACAAUUAACCAAAACCAAAAAAUAUGAAAAAAAAAACCCAAAACAAAAUAUGAAAAAAAAAAUUCUAAAAAACAACUAAUCAAUAAAAAUUAAGAUAACAAAACGUAGAUAUGGAUAAGGGGCUUACGUGAAGGUGAUUGAAAUCUAAAAAUCGUUAAGAUGAGACGUCAGCAACCGGACUUUGAUUUCCCAAUUAUAAUAUUUUUCCAAAAAAAAAAAAGAUAAAAAGAAAACGUAUUAUGUAUAAAGAGUCUUUAUAAUUCCAACUAUCAGUGGCUUGAUUUCUAUUUUCACCUAAAGAUUUCAUGCAAUUACUGUUCACAAAGGUUUGCAAUUUUGCGUGCAUGCAUCAUUAAUUCCAAUAGUCGCAAUAAUCAAGGUAUGUGAUGUGCAUUUGUGCUAGCAAUUGUCCAUUCUCAUUAAUUUCUUAAAAAAUAUAUAUAAAAAUACAAAUUAAGAGACUAUUUGCAAUUAAAAGACUAAUAAUAAAAUUAAUCCAUAAUCCGAGAUGCUCGUAAUAACUUUCCAAAUACCUGUGUUCCCAAUAUUUGAUAUAGCUUAAUGAUGAUUUCUUCUUCUUUGGUAAAAUUUCACCGAUAUCAAUGAAAUAAUAAUGGAUUUGAUUAGCAAUUAGGAGUUUAAUAAGUUCAUCAUUUAUUUGAUGAUUAGUGUUUGUAUUAGUGUCAGUAUUAGUAUUUGAAUAGAAGAUGAGAGGCUAAUAAAGUUCAAAUUGUAAACAUUAGCAUGUAGGCAAAUUGUUUUAAUUGUACAUAAUACUUGAUUUUACAUUUAAGCUAAUAUUUAUAUAAUUUUGGGCAUAUUAGUCAAAUCAAAAGAGUAAGAAACACCUAUCGAUAAAUCAUUCAAAAUAUUUUUAUAUAUGAUAUAGAUACUAUCAAAGUAAAUAUGCAAUAUGUACUUAUUUCUAACUAAGUUGAGGCUUUAGUUUGAAGGGCAGAAGAGGAAUGAGUUCAGUGGUACAGAAGGAUAAAACGUAAGCAGGUCCGGAUUCAUAUCCUCUCAUUUACACUUCAAAAAAGUAAAAUAAAAUAAAAUAAGUUGAGGCUUUAGUUAUACUAUUAUCAUUUUUGGUUUUUCCCAAAUUGAAAACUUGAUUUUUGGGGUUGAUGCAGCCUUUAAUAUUGUAUUACUACUACCGUUGUGUGUGUCUCUCUCUAUUGACCAAAAAAUUCUACCCAUAAAGGGAAUAGCAAUUCAAGUCAGGGUAGCACCGUAGCAGGAAGCAAUACUGGAUCAAAAUAAAACACUGGAUCUCUUCCUUAUAUGCAAGCUUCUUUGAUUGAUCACUCCGCUGGUUCUAUAACUAUUUUGGUGGCCUGGCAAUGUUGUACAGCAAUCUACAGAAGUGUAUAUACAGCAGACAUGAUUCCAGAACGGUGAUUGAUCACCAAGAAUACUAAUGGGUAAAUAAUCCAACACGUUGCACUAUGGUGGCUGCAACAAAAUGUGCGGUUGUGAGCUCAACCACACCAUUCAAGGUUGACAAUAUGUUAUACAUGCCCCGAGAAAAACAUUGUCCUACAUAUUAUAUUUUCAACGGCAAAAUCCAAAAUGAUUUGUCCUCAAACCUACUCUUUUAGCAUGUUCUGUCCUGUUUUUGGGGUAUUUCAGAAGUUCCCUGGAGGUUUUUGGCAUUUCUCUUGAGGAUUUUGACUUGCAUUUAUCUCCCCUAUUUUAAGUUUUAAUGUGAAAAUGUCAUAUCAUAUAUAUACAUAAAGAAAAACUCGUAUGAACUGCUUACAAGUUGAUUUUCUUACUCAAAUUUGAGGAUCUACUUUAUCUCUAAGGACAAGGUGCAAAGCCGAAAUUUCCCAGGAUAAUCUAAAUCCCAUUUUCACAUGUGCUGUUAAAUCUUGCUAGAAGUGAAAAUGCUAGGUGCGCUCUACGAACUAUAAAGCCAAUUAAUUGCCUAAAUUUCUUGUAUUCCAUGUAAUUAGUACACUAAGUGUCUGUUUGAUAACAUAAAAAAGUGCUGAAACUGAAUUCAUUCAGACAUUCAGAUGUUUUGGGUAUUUGAUAAAUAAAAAUUUUUCUGCUGAACUUAUUAAGUGGUGCUGAAUUUGUAUGUAUUUUUUUCAGCACAAGAAUCGUAACUGAAUGCUUAAUUUGAUAAGAAUCAAGAAAUUUACUUCAACUACUUUUAUCUUAUCUACCAAAUCUAUUAUUGUUUGUUAAUUACAUUCAAAAUCCUUAUCUAAUUAAACAACUUAAUAUUCUCUAUCCAAAAUCCUUAUCUAAUUAAACAAUCUGACAUUCUCUGUCUAAUGGCUUUCUACUUCUAUUUUCUCCAUAUUUAAUGACUUUUUUACAAUUUUCCCAUGCUACUCACAUCUGUCUACUCCUUAUCUUUUUCCAUCUUUCUACUCUUUCAUAAUUUUGUCAUUUUUUUCCUCCCAAUUUUUUUUAUUGCUACCAUACUCACCUAUCUCAAAUUCAUUAUUUCCAAGGUAGCGUCAACAUUUUUCCAUUGAAGUAAUUAAAUUUCUAUAUAAUUUGGUGUGAAUUUAAAACUUGUUUAUUGCAGCUUCCUUUUGCUUAUAUUUGGACUUUUCUUAUCAAACUCUGAUUUAAAAAUAUAUUUGCACCGAUAUUUGGACUUUUCCAUAAUAUAUUUCUUCUUUUAUAUUACUUUGAUUAAAAAUAAAUAUUGUCAUUUUCAUACCUAACAAUUUUAAACUAAUUAAAUCAUAGUAUCUAUUUCCUUUUUGGAUUAAAAGAUAGAAGGGCAAAAUUGUACAAUUUAGCUUAUUAAGCAUUAAGUUAUAAAUGUUUAUCAAACAGUAUAAAUAUGUUCAGCAUUAAGAUUCAGAUAUUCAUAUAUCUCUUUUCAGUGCUUAAUAUUCAGCAAAUUAAUUGUUUCAGUAUUCAGAAUUCAGAAUUCAGUUUUAUAAAACGGAGCCUAAGGUUCCGUUUGAUAAAACUGAAUAUGAGUUCUGAAACCUGAAUAUGAAAUAAUUAAUUUGCUGAAUAUAUGAAUGUCUGAAUUUUAAUGCUGAACCUAUUUAUACUGUUUGAUAAACAUUUAUAACUGAAUGCUUAAUAAGUUAGAUUGUACAAUUUUGCCCUUCUAUCUUUUCAUCCAAAAAAGAAAUAGAACUUAUGAUUUAAUUAGUUUAAAAUUAUUAGGUAUGAAAAUGAUAAUAUUUAUUUUUAAAUCAAGUUAAUAUAAAAGAUGAAAUAUAUUAUAUGAGGAGUAUGGAGAAAAUGUGAAAGUCAUUAAAUGUGGAGAAAAUAGAAGUAGAAAACUGUUAGAUAGAGAAUAUCAGGUUGUUUACUUAGAUUAGGAUGUUGAAUAGAGAAUAUCAAGUUGUUUAAUUAGAUAAAAAUUUUGAACAUAAUUAACAAACAAAGAUAGAUUUGAUAGAUAAGAUAAGGUAGUUGAAGUAAUUCUAUUGAUUCUUAUCAGAAUUAAGCAUGCAAUUACUAUUUUUGUGCUGAAAAAGAUAGACAUAAAUUCAGCAUUAUUUAACAAGUUUAGCGGAUAAAUUUUUAUUUAUCAAACACUCAAAACAUCUGAAUGCCUGAAAAAGUUCAGUUUCAACACUUUUUUAUGCUAUCAAAUAGAACCUAAGUAAGCAUAAAAUUUUGAGCAAAUAAGCCAUAGACGUUACACUUUCAAGUCAUACUAUUAUCAUUUACCCUCAACGUAAAUAUAUACCAUAAUUAUUCAUCACUAAGCGUCUGAAGGUUUGGUUAUAAUUAUUUUUUCUUGUUCUGCGAGUGCUAAAUAUGGGGAGGCAAUAUUUGAUUACCAUCUUAACACGAAAAGUAUCUUUAGCCUCAUUGGAUUUCCAUAUUCUCCAAAAUUUCUAGCAACAAGAUAAUAACAAUUCAAAGCAUGGUAAGAGGAAUCCGUUAUUGCAUUCAAGUACAAGGACUUGGCAUUGAUGCUCUUUUGUUUUUGGCAAUUCGAUUUGAUUGCGCACAUGUUUAAAUUCUUGGAUGUACAAUUAUAUUAUAUUAUUAUAUGAAGCGAAUAUGAAGUAUUUUAUUUAUGUACACUAUUUGUGUCAUGAGUUUACUAAUAGUAUAUAAUUAUGGAUCUGUCUACCUGAGAACUCGUUAAGAUAUAUUUCAGUUGCAAUAUUUUUUAAAAUGUAAAAUUAAUUGGGAAAAGAAAAUAAAUACAAGAAAAGAUGUGUAUUAUUAAAUAAAAAAAUAUAUAAGUACAAGAGACGGUAAUGAUUGUUUAAUGUGUACGUAUAUAUUAGAUUAGAUGAAUAUUAGAUUUAUCAAUGAGUACACUAUAGAUACCGUUAGAAAGAUGUGUUAAUAAAUGCACUAUAAAUACUGUUAGAAAAAGCCUAUAAUUAUACAUCAAAUAAUGUAAUAAGUACAACCAUAUAAUGAUGUAAUAAUACGUAAUUAUGCACCGAAGUCAGCAGCAUCAGCUGAUUCUGGGAACUGGAACGGUAUACAGCUGCCAAAAAUCCACAUGGGCUUAUCUAAAAUCUCUAUAACAACCUGAAAUUCAAAUGGGUUAUCUACAAUCUCUCCUUCCCUUCCCUUUCCAUCAAUAAAUACUUCCGUUUGUUCUUCCAAUACCAAUUUUCAUCCUCUGGAUUCUGACAAAAUAUUCAUUGUAUCUUUCCACCACUCAGACUAAAGAAUAGAAACAAAUAAGAGUAGCCGCUUCUUUUGAGCACUGUUGAGCCUUGCUGCCUUCAACGGCAACACCAGAAGUCCUCUUUCUCUUCGCUUUCUCCUCUCUGCUCUCUCCUCACUCCACUCUAUCUGGAAUACAAGGUAACUUCAACACGAAAACUCCCUCUUCUCUCCCAUUUCCAUAGCAAAAGACGUGCAUGCAAAUUCUUAAAGUUAAAAUUGUUCAAGAAAAUGUUGAAUGCUGUUCUUGUCCAAUGCUAUCAAGAGAACAAAGUCUUCCAACCCUUCAAGGAUUCCUAACUUUUUAUUUCUCUUUUAUUAUCCUACACAUUUAUUUGUUUGUGUAGAUUCCAAUUUACCACUUGCAGAUCAUAUAAUUAGCAGAUUAACUAGUCGAAGUCGUGGCUAGAAGCUAAAUUUCAUAGGCAUCUUUUACAAAAGUGCAUAUAAGCAAAGGUUGGAUUAUAUCAUGAGGCUUUCUCAAGUGGUGAAUUUUUUGUCAAUGCAGUUGAUUUUGGGAGUGAAUUUGGUGGUAUCAAAUAUUUAUAAGCAUGUCUAAGAUGAGAGUGGCAGUGGUGGGUGCUGGGAUUAGUGGGCUGGUUGCAGCUCAUGUUUUGGCCAAGGAAGGUGUCGAUGUGGUAAUAUACGAGAAAGAGGAUUACUUAGGCGGCCAUGCUAAGACUGUUACUAUGGAUGGCAUUGAUCUUGACCUUGGCUUCAUGGUCUUUAAUCGUGUAAGACAAAGCAAUUUUAUGUUCCUUUUGUCAGUGCAUUUUGUUGAUUCUUAUGAACUUUGGGUGCAUCUUUUCCCCAUAAAUAGUCUAGGAAUCAUUCUUAAUGCUCCAUUCUCUUCACAUCUAAGUUUUCAACUUUUCAAGAAUUUCACAAGAAGAAAAAAAUACCAAAAGCAUUGUUUACAAUUCCAAUAGUACUUGAGAAAAAUAAUUACUCUUUCAGCUUCAUAACAAACCAUAAUUAUUUAGCCUAGCAAUAUUUCUUGUUAUUCGACUAGUGCAGAGCGAAUACUCCUCAUUUUAGAACUCAACUUCCAAUUUCGGAUGAUGCAUCCCGGUUAGAGAUCCUUUUCUCAGUUAAAAUACGAGGACUUGUCAAAGUAAAAUAAGGAAAAACUGCUUGAGUUAGGUGUUGUAAAAUUACAAGAACCUAAGUGAAAAUUUUUUCUCGACAUGAAUAUGGAUAGAAAGGGAUGGAUGUAGUUAUAGGCAAUAAUUCCUGAUUCUGAUUGUGCCACGACCUCAGCAGAGCUUGACCACAUUCACUAACUAACGGGACAGGGGUGAACGGUUGUCAGGAAAAUCGUUCGGGCAUCUUUUGUGCAAAAUGUAUAAAAUGUAAUUUUGUAUGUACAUAAUAUAAUUUACUUUCAAUAACGUGUAAUUAUAAAAUAAAAUUUUGUGAGUCUCACACAUGAUAUGAAAAACGAUGUACCAGAUACAAUUUGAACUUUAUAUUUUUUUUUGCCAAAUCUUGACCAUGAACCUUUAGAAACUGUUGCAACCGUUGCAUCUGCAACCGUUCCUGCCCCUCCUCCUCCUUCUCUAACAUCAUAACAUAUGAGUCAACUCUGUUCUAAUGAAUAAAGCAUUAUCAGGACUAGUAAUAAGGGCAGACUCGAUGUGUGUGCGCAUGCAAUUUAAGAAAAAUCACUUUUUGCAUGAAAGAAGUCAAUAUAAAAUUUUUAUAAAUAAAAAAAAACUUUGAUCUUUCAAAAGUUUUUUUGAAUAAAAUUUUAAUGAACUUGGUGGUUAUAAUGUUUGUGGGUGGUUAUGAUUAAAUUAAAAAAAAGAACUUUGAUCUUUCAAAAAAAAUUUAAUAAAAUUUUAAUGAACUUGGUGGUUACAAAUUGUGGGUGGUUAUAUUGGUUGGCAAUAUAGGUAACAUGUAAUCAGAUAACAGAGGUAUAAUCAAGUGAUUGUGAGAGUAAAAUUGAAAAUCUAAAAAAUGAUAAUAAAAAAAAGUUUACACCAGACUCAAUAUCUCCGAGAAGGGUUGGGUUGGAUUAGAGGUGGCAAAUCAACCCACUUAAUUAAAUUUACCCAUACCCGCCUAUGAAUAGAUGGGUAUGGAUAUCUUAAAUUUUUGUAUAUGGGUAUAAAUGGGUUACCCAAUAAUACCCAUUUAAUAAAUGGGUAUUAUUGGGUAACCCAUCAAACCCAAUUAACCCAUUUAGAAUUCUCUUCCUCCCAAGUCUCUUCUUUUUCCCCACCCAUUUUUUUUUUCAAAUUUUUCAUUUUGUCAUGAUGUUAACUACUUUUUUUUCAUUAUUAUUAUUAUUAUUAUUAUUUGUUGGUUUUAUCUUAUUAUUUUAUUUUAUCUUAGUUUGUUAACUUGCUCAUUUUUCAGCAUUACUCAUUUAUGAUAAAUUUUAGCCUAUUUUCUUAUCUUUCUAAAAUGAAAUUUUAAAUUUAUAUAUGAAAAAAAUGUUAGGGGUUCAAAAUUUUUGGAUUAAGUUUUUAUAUUAAUUUUUAUAGUACUUAGUUCAAAUUUUUAUAUUCUUAUUAUUCAAUUAUUAAAUAAUAGGUAAUUUUGUGACAUAGAGUAUAAAUGAAAAAAAAUUGGUAAUUAAGUUUAUUGAACAUUAUAAAUAAAUAUUUAAAACUAAUGAUGGGUACAAAGAGUGGUAUAAAUUGAUAACUUAGUUUGCAAAAAUGAAUUUAAAUGAGUUUACAAAAAGUUAAAAUAAAUGGGUUAUAAAUGGGUAAUUGGGUUACCCAAUUCAUUUUUUGACUUACCCAUUUAUACCCAUCUAAUUAAAUGGGUAUAAAUGAGUUGACUCACCUAUACCCAUUACCCAUUUUAUCCAACCCAAACCCGUCCAAGUCACCCAUUUUGACACCUCUAGGUUGGAUGGUGAGAUGGGAGUAAUUAUAAAUAAAACUUAACGCUCUUCUAUUAUAUACAGUAUAGAUAUUAAUACCAUAAUAUUCAUUUAUAGAAGCCGAAAAUGGUACUUAACUCACAUCAUAUACUUAUCAGCAUGGCAUGAUUCUUUUCCAACGCAUAUAGAUGCAUAUGAUCAGUUGGUGGUCUUUUUCAUGAAAUUUUAAUUUUUUCGAGAUAUGAUAAUUAAAUUUUGGGGGUAUCUACUUAUGUUCUUGUCUUAGCAUCUAUCCUAGCAUUUUGUUGAUCACAUAUGAAGAUAGAAACAAACAUCUUUAAACAAAAGUAUAAUAUGUUAGAGAAAAUGUGAUGGCUCAAGAACUUCAAAAAAAAAAAAAAAAAAAGGGAGACGGACAGUUCUUUUUAUUCUCCUUUUAUGCGAGUAGCUAUCUAACAAUUGCUAGGGUUCUGUUUUUUUUUUAAAAAAAUGUGCCUAUUGUCAAUACACAUAAUGUAAAUUUAAUUGAUUAAUUAAAUGCUCACACUUACAUUUUGACUCUUUCCCAAUAAAAUUUCACUUAUUAAGCAAACUAACAUUAAGAAGUUCAAACCAAUGAAAGUUCUAUUUAUUAGAGGAAAAAAAAAACAAAUGCUAGAAGAAACAAAAAUGUGGCAAAAUUUUGUUCUUGAAAAAGCGUAAAAAUGAUGCAUGCAUCUUUACGUAUUUUUAGAUUGUCAUGGCUCUGUUUUAUGGUUUUAAAUUUAGUUACUUAUAUUAUUCUAAAAGUAUUUGCCAAAAUUAUAGUCUAGCAGCUGAAUAUUUUCUUAAUCUUCUCUUUAGCGACUGACUGCCGUCGUAAUCAAGAAAGGAUUUUUUUUUUUUUUUCCUUUACAAGGAAUUUUAGAAGUGAAAAUGUGACCAUAGAAGUCAAUUACAGAAGCUACUUUCAUCUCAAUUAAGCCAAGAUUGGUCCUAAUAUUACAUCAAUGCACGUUUUGUCUCUAUGCUUCAAUGAACUAAGGCCUAUCGCUGUGUUUGGAUAUGGCUAAACGUUGUUAGAUAUUUCUCACCCUAAUUCUACUUUGCACUCUUGAACUAUUCGAUUCUCACUUUGGUCGGUAAAUUUUAAGUUUAGAACACUUUUGCUCCAUAAAUUUUAAACUCGACAAUGGUUAACAAAAUGCACAAAAACCAACUGAAUACCUUUGCUAAUCUUGAUUACUUCAUUGCUAAAACUAAAAUAUUCUGUUAGUUUUGUAUAUUCCAUUAACAAUUGGAUUAAGGUGGGACAAGUUUAGAUUUUGGACAGUAACAUAUACCAAACUUUAGUUCAGCAACCAAAAUAUGAACUGUAGUAGAGUUUUAAAGAUGUAAAAUUGAAUUAACCCGUAUUUUUGAAGUUUAACCUUAGAUAUUUGUUAAUAAAUGGUUUUUGAUAAGGGACCAUCUCUGUUGUUAUCUUCCAAAAUCCUAACUCCUAAAGUGUCAGUGAUGGUAUUUUGUAGUACACCUUGCUGUUGAUAAGAUUUUGGGACAUGGGAUUUUUUGGAGGGUUGUGGUGUGGGUGGGUUGGGGGGGGAGGGGGGCAGGGACCAUUAGCAAAUAUCUCUUCUUCAUGAAGGCUUUUACAGAAAAGAAAUGGUACUAAAAUGAUAAAAUCUGCCAAGUAGAAUUCUAAGAACACUUUUAUGCAUUACACACAGAAAAAGAAAAAAAAGAAUAUAUGGAGCAUUACUACCUUGCGAAAUUGCCAUUAUUUAUUGGUUAUUGGAAUAUGAAGCAUACAAAAUUUGAAUGCAUUCUAAACCUGAAUCUGGUUAUAAAUUUUGGUAGUUAAAAAAGGGCAUGAAGAAAUUCCAGAAAAAAUAGGGAACCCUUAAUCAUAUUGAACAAGCAGCUGCUCAAGCCACAAGGAUGCAGGUCUGCUAAUUCAAAUGCUUUGUUCUUUGUCGUAAAUUUUCAGGACUGUUUGCAUGGAUCAAAAUGUAGUUAGUACGAGACAUUAGCAAUGCAUGACACAAACAUUAUGUAGGAAAUAGUUGAUGAAACUGUUUUAAGCGCAAAUUGAUUUGUUUUUUCGGUUACGAUCUAAGUAGAAAAGCAAAGGUGGAAUUAAGUCAAAGAUGAUACUUAUAGCAAGACUGCUGAAUAUUCUGAAAAAUCUUUAGUUUUUAACAAGAGCAGCAACAAAAGUGGAAAGAAAUGACUGCAUGCUAUGCUAAUUUUUACUUGAGGAAAUUUGGGACUGUUUAACUAAUGGUGUGUUGGGUAAUUGGCCAGGUGACUUAUCCAAAUAUGAUGGAACUCUUUGAGAAUCUUGGAGUAGAUAUGGAGCUUUCUGAUAUGUCAUUCUCAGUGAGCCUAGACAAGGGCAAAGGCUGUGAAUGGGGGAGCAGAAAUGGAUUGUCAAGUUUGUUUGCACAGAAGAAGAAUGUACUUAAUCCAAAAUUUUGGCAAAUGAUUCGAGAAAUUGUCAAGUUUAAGGCUGAUGUCAUAAGGUAGGUUUCCUCGUCCUUUUUAGUGUUUUGAUUGAAGUAAGAAUUCCUUAAAGAAAUGUUUUUCCAUUACAUCUCAGAAGCCAAAUGAAAUGAAGCGACUGCAGAAUUCUACAUGGUGUCAAGAUUAGGAAAAAAUAGUUUUUGGUGCUAAUCAUUCAAUUCUUACCUGAAUUCCCUGGGAGCAACUAGAGGAUUUGCAUAUGCGAUCGACUUCUCCAGUUAAAUAUGCAUCUAAUGAAGGAUGAACUAACCAAAAGUUCUAUACUUAAUGCAGUUAUGUAGAAGAGCUAGAGAAAAAUCCGGACUUAGAUCGGAAUGAAACACUUGGGCAUUUCAUCAGAUCACGUGGAUACUCAGAGUUAUUUCAGAAGGCCUAUCUUGUGAGGCUCCUACAGAUGCUUUAGUUGAUGGCAAUGAUUUUCUUUUGACCAAUGUAUUAAAUGAGCUUGCUUUCACAAUAAUACCAUAAGCAUAUAUCUCUGCUUUUUGACAGGUUCCAAUAUGUGCUUCUAUCUGGUCAUGCUCUUCAGAAGGAGUAUUGAACUUUUCUGCGUAUUCUAUUCUUUCCUUUUGUCGCAACCACCACCUUCUUCAGGUAAUGUGCCUUGCAGGCACCAUUGAGAAUUUGAGAUGAACUGCACUUUUUGAAAUAAUAUGUGAUGUGGCUGCUGUUUCCCUUUGCCAUUUAGCUCUUUGGUCGCCCUCAGUGGCUCACAGUAAGAUGGCGUUCCCAGACUUACAUCUCCAAGGUAAUUAAUUUAAAUUCCUUUUGUUGUAUACCCCUGAAAAUUCCCCUGAUUGAAUGCAUAAGAGGACUGUAUAUUCUGUUAUUGUUUUGCACAAACCAGGUUAAAGAUGAUCUGGAAAGAAGAGGCUGUCAAAUAAGAAAUGGUUGUGAAGUACGCGCUGUUUCAACUAAGGAUGAGGGUAUCAACUCGUACAUUAUGCUCAAACAUUGUAGAUUUCAAAUUGGAUGGUGUUCUUUUGUUCAAGUAAAAACCAGACCAAUUAAAGCUGGAACUGGAACCAGAAUAUUGAUAUGUCAUCGUAGGACAGUUUAAAGUACAACACAACAAUUGCUUCAGAGAAACAAAUGGUUGCCUUCUACAUGAGGAAAUAGUGAAGACGCAAUCUUUAUAUACUAGCUGGUUGUAAACCAAGCAGGAUCCUUCCUAGUGUCUUCUAAAAUCUCUCUGUUUUGAGUACUUUCUACGAGUGUUUUAUUGUCUAUUCUUUUUCCUUAGUUGAGAAUUUUGGAUGUCAUGCUUAGUUUCAUGCCAAAAGACAGUACAUAACACAAUUUCCAAACUCAGAAACCAAAAUAUAGCAGUCUUGACUGUAGAGAUAUAAUUUGCUCAAUUGUUAGGUUGUGUGCUAUUGAUUAUGUUGAUACUCCCAUUCAUAAUGAAGAAGAAAUUUGUACAGGUUGUGUUGUUACAUGUGAAGAUGGUUCUCUUGAAGUAUAUAACUCGUGCAUAGUGGCUGCGCAUGCUCCAGAUGCUCUUAAGAUGUUGGGAGAGCAGGCAACAUAUGAUGAAUCAAGAAUACUUGGUGCUUUCCAAUAUGCCUACAGGUAUCUUACUUUUUAAUGUUGGCUCUUAGUUUGCUGAUUUCUUAACCUUGAUACAAAUUGUUGCUUGUCUCCUCUAGUCGUCUCCAUUCUAAAUUUUUAUCAGAAAUUGCAAAUUGUCUCCUCUAGUCGUCUCAGUUCUAAAUUUUAUCAGAAAUGCAAAGUUUGCGGUGAAUUUUUCUCUUCUCCUUUUCUUACGUCAACAUGUUUUGGGAGGUCGUAUUUGGUUUGGAGAUUUUCUUUUCGCCAAUACUUCGCUUCUGUUUCUUGUUGUAGAAGGUCUGGUUUCAAUUUUAAUAAAUAUGCUGGGUCAUGGAACCAGUUCAAAAUGCACAUUCAUUGUUUACCGCUUUAUGGCAGUGAUAUUUUCCUUCAUCGUGACAAAAACUUCAUGCCUCAAAAUCCAGCAGCAUGGAGCGCAUGGAAUUUUCUUGGAACUGUGGAUAAUAAAGUAGGUGUAACAUAUUGGCUCAACAUCCUCCAGGUUGGUGAGAUGUGUUCCCAAUAUAUUUGAUCAUUAGUUGUAUUGCUCUCAGAAUCCAUCAUAACGAACAAUUUCACAAAAAGCAUUUGAGAAUUCUGUGCAAUUGGCUUGAUCACAUUGCUAUGUAUGAGCUUUUAACUUAAAUAAUAAGUACUAGCCCUCAAAGAAAUACUGGGAACUUCCAAAAGAUGUAUCAGUAACCUCAGAAAUCAAUGUGCACGCUCAAGAUAUCAAAUAAGCUCAAUUUCUUAUUUCCAGCUUCCAGCAACUUCAUUUUCAUGUUGCUGCAUUAAUGGAAUUUAUGCAAUGUGCUUCUUCUGUCAUUAAUAUCUUCAGCAUGAAUAACAAUAUUUAGUGUACAGAAUCUAGGAGAAACUGGACUGCCUUACCUGGUAACUCUCAAUCCGCCUCAUACACCUGAGAAUACAUUACUCAGGUGGUCAACUGGGCAUCCAGUUCCAUCAGUUGCUGCCUCAAAAGCUUCUACUCGACUUAAUGACAUCCAGGGGAAGAGAGGAAUAUGGUUCUGUGGAGCAUAUCAAGGUGACCACUUCGCUUUGAAGAUCUUACAUGUCACCUUCUAAUGCACAAAAACAUUCAUUAUAAAACCAGUGCACCCAAUGUUGAAUUUUUAUGUGAGAGUUCACUUUUGCAUCUGACACUGUACUUUUUUCAGGUUAUGGUUUCCAUGAAGAUGGACUUAAGGUACUCUCCAUUUUGACAUCAUAUUGACAUAAUUAGAGUAAUUGAGUGUAGAAAAUCUUGUAGAUUGAUCAAAAGAAUGAAACCCAAGAUUAAGAAGCUGGAAAGAAAUGUUUCUAGUGAAGUAUAUUUUCUAAUGUUUGGCUUGGUUCCAGAAGUGCUUAUUAACUAUAUAGGUAAGUUAUUGGUUGCAAUUAAGCAUCUUAUCUUCUUUUCAGGCUGGUACAGUUGCUGCUCAGAGCCUGCUCAGAAAAAGUUGUACUAUCCUGAGUAACCCCAAACACAUGGUACCUUCCUGGACAGAGACUGGGGCACGCCUUCUCGUUACUAAAUUCCUCAAUGGUUUUAUUGCUACUGGCUCAUUAAUGUGAGUCAAUUCUGAGAGUAAACUAAUUCUCAUUUGCAUGCUAUAUAUUUUCACAAAGAAGACUUAGAACAAAGGCAUACUAUACCUAUUUAUUGAACUUAUCUGUCUAUCGAAUUUGUAUCCCUGUUUAUCGAACUUAUAUCUGUCUAUCGUUUACAUUCUAAUACUGCAGUGGUUUGUCUAUGUUACCAUUUACAUUCUUUUUCUCUCAAAUCCAAAUUCUGUUUGACUGUUUUGUCAUUAAUUAAUUCCUAAACUUUAACCGGAUUUAUCAUUGGUUCUUCAGUAGACCUGCUCACGUAUGCCAAAUUUGCUUGUUAUUGAAUAUUAGCUCCCGAUGUGAUUAAAUAAGCAUGUUUUUUCUUAGUUUUUUGAUGUUUAAAAGUUGUUUUUAAGAGUCCAAUCUAUAGGCCUAAAGCUCCAAAGUUACAUGCAUUAUCUGUGUUUUCUGUUUUAACAGGUUACUGGAAGAAGGUGGCACAAUGUUUACCUUUGAAGGAACAACAAAGAAAAGCUUCCUGAAAGUUUCUAUUAAAGUUCACAGCCCACAGUUUUAUUGGAAGGCACAGUAUUUCUUUGGUUGAUGUUUAAAGCAUUUGAACAUAGUCUCCAGUUGCAUACGCUUUGAGUUUGCCUUCAUUCCAUGUCAAUGUUGUAUUGCCAGGUUGCUACUCAAGCCGACUUAGGCCUUGCAGAUGCCUAUAUAAACGGGGACAUUUCUUUCGUGGAUAAAAAUGAAGGUUUGCUUAAUCUUUUCAUGGUAAGUAAAUGAACACCAAACAACUGUCAAGCUUUUUCAUCAACAUCCCUUUUCUGAAUUCUUCAUUUCAGGUUUAUGUUGCCAACAGAGAUCUUAAAGCUUCUGCUACAAGUUCUAGCUACCAAAGGUAAAAGGAUUUUCAGUUAGAUGUGUUUAGAUGUUAGUGAGUAGUUUAUCCAGAGAUCCAGAGUCCCGCCAUUUCCUUAGUUUUGGUACGCAUGCAUUUAACCUUUUUGGCAGAGGCUGGUGGACACCACUGCUUCUGACGGCUGGACUAGCAUCUGCAAAGUACUUCUUUCAGCAUGUUUCAAGACAAAAUACUCUAACACAGGCUCGCCGAAACAUCUCUCGGCAUUAUGAUCUGGUGAGUCAUUUAUCAAUGAACAGUUCAGCAAGAACACACUUAAAUAUGACAUUGCUAGGAUAUUCUUCCUGUUGACUUAGCGAGGGAAUUGAUACUGUCUUCCAUUUUUCAGAUUAGAACUGUUUCCUAAGAGAUUCUCACAAUCUCCAAUCCUUUUCUUUUCUUUCUUUAAUUAUGAAACAAUUUCCUUUUUUGGAAUAAGAAUACAGUACUUGUUGUAUUUGGCUUUACGUUGGCAAAUUGUAAUUUCUUUCUGAUGAAAGUUAUUGGCCUAACUAUUGAGCAGAAAGUUAAUCAAGACUUCUUUCCUUGUAAUGUCUCCAGAGCAAUGAACUAUUUUCUCUGUUUUUGGAUGAAACAAUGACGUAUUCAUGUGCAAUAUUUAAGGUAAGAAUUUAAGCCUUGCUGUAGUAUAGUAGUCUUUUCAAAGCUGAAUUACAGCGAAACUUAUUUUUUGUCUUGACAUCUGAAAGCUAUCCCUUUUUGUGUACUUGUCAUAGUCUGAAGAUGAGGACUUGAAAAUUGCACAAUUGAGAAAAAUUUCCCUAUUGAUUGAAAGGGUAAGCAUUCUACUUUUUGUAAGUCCCUCAAAUUCCUAAGCUGGUUUGUAAUCAAAGCCAUGUCUGUUCAUACUUACCUACUGCAAAUCGACUUUUAGGCCAGAAUCAGUAAGGACCACCAUGUCCUGGAGAUUGGCUGCGGUUGGGGAAGUCUAGCUAUUGAAGUUGUCAAAAGAACUGGAUGUCAAUACACUGGAAUCACCCUUUCUGAGAAGCAACUUACAUAUGCAGAACAGAAAGUGAGGGAAGUUGGGAUGCAGGUAUCAAAAUCAAUGGCUCUGGAACUUUACAAAACCGAAUUGGACAUCAAAACUCAAUUUAGAUGAACUUAAAAAGUGUAGUUCUUGUAAUGUCUGAAUGUGAAGAUCAUGUUUAAUCCGAAUAAUCACAAUCCACAAUCUGGUUGCCAUCUAUCUUAUUAUGCAGUUACCAACAGUAACUAUGAACAUUGAUUUCAUAAUGGAUCAUUUCGUGUUUGUCUGCUACUCUUCAAAAAUUGAAUGUUUGGGGAUGGUAGGUAGGGUGUCUGUACAAGACCUAUUAUUGGUGCACCACACAAAUACUACGCACCACUUUGGAUGCAUGGUUGGGUAAAUGAUUUUGCACAAGACUGUUUACCAUUUGAUAAGUAGUUUAUGUCCAUAUUGCAUUAAAAGUGUUCUCUGUAUCUAUGCUUGUGAUCCUUCUAGCCAAUUUCAGAUGAUCUAUUUGUUAUCAUUUUAGACUGAUUUAGUGCUAUCUAAAUUGAACUGUUUCCAUAAACUUCCUCACUUAUUUUGCUACGUUUCAUUUCCUAGGAUCACAUAAAAUUUCUUCUUUGUGACUAUCGUCAAUUGCCAGAAACCUAUAAAUAUGACAGAAUCAUAUCUUGGUAAGUUCUUUCAUUAUUAUUUUUGCAUUUUAUUUUUUGACAUCAUACAUCACUAGGCCAAUGAGUAUAUAACAGAAUUGAUGAUAAAUUGCAGUGAGAUGUUGGAAGCUGUUGGUCAUGAAUAUAUGGAGAAGUAUUUCAGUUCUUGCAACUCAGUAUUGGCAGAAGAUGGGAUUCUGGUCCUACAGGUAAUUGGACUAGAAAUUAAAUGAAGUCAAUCGAUCUUUUUCAACUCUUCUGGGUUCCUUGAUCAGGCUACGUGUUUUAGCUUGUGAGAAUCCUUCAAUGAAAUGCUCGAUCUGGCAUAAUGCUUGUUUUCCGUGUUUGCUUUUGGUGUCUUUUUCUUCCAAUGAGACUUAUUUUUACAAUUACAUCUUGUUUGCUUCUUGAAACUCUCUUAAAAAUAAUGGUCUAGUACUUGUAGAGUUCCUUAUCCAGCCUGAUCAUCAUUUUAGUAUUUUGUUUUGGCUGUCAAUAUACAAGAAAAAGAAAAAAUCAGUCUAAUCUGCUCAUGGUUGAAAACAAUGAUCUUAACUCUAUUUUUCAAUGGCCAAAAGCCCAGAACUAAUUGAUAAAUGUGACUUGUGAAUGAAAGAUGAUGAUCACUGACUGAUGCGGACAUCAAAGUUUCUGCUAAACAGAUUAAGGAGCCUUUUCAAACUUCCACAGUAACUUAAUCUUCUUUCUCGAUUUAAGCCAACGUCUUCCAAACUUCUUGCCUGAACCUCCUUGCAUUCGAAUUAAAUAAAUGGAAGUUUGAAAGGGCUCCUUAAUCCAUUUAGCACAAUCUUUGAUGUCUGCAUCACUCACUAUAGCCAGUUAGUUGAAAGGUUCAUGUGACCUUAAGACUUGCUGAUCUCCAUGGAUGCAUGAUCUUUGCUCCUCAGUUUAUAUCAAUACCAGAUGAGAGGUAUGAAGAAUACAGACAAAGCUCAGACUUCAUAAGAGAGUACAUCUUUCCAGGUGGUUGCCUACCUUCACUUAGCCGAGUAACAUCAGCGAUGGCUGCAGCAUCCGGACUGUGGUAAAGUUACACUGCUGUGUGAAAUGUGUUUGAAGCUUUCUCUAUAUAGGAAACUCAUAAAAGUACCUCAAAUGCAGCGUGGAGCACCUGGAAAACUUUGGAAUCCAUUACUAUCAUACCCUUAGGCGUUGGAGGACAAACUUCCUGUCAAAACAAAGGUAUCUGUAAUAUAAUCAGCACUAUGUUCAUUCCCGUUAGUUUCAGCCACCUGAGGCGAUAAUAAAGAAUAUAUGGUUCUUCUUUCAGAGUUUUAGUGAACAAAAUUCCAAAUUUUGGUUUUAGUUUGAAGUCCUUUGACCUGAAAGCUCGUUCCAAGCUUAUAAGAACUGAUGUUCUGCAAGGAAUAAGCACCAGCAUAAAUGUCUUGGCAUUCUAUACAGAAUAAAGCAAGGCUGUGCUUGGAUCGAGGAAUUUGACAAAAGAUUUGAAAUUCUCUCAAUUCCCUAGAGGUUUGAAUUGCUUGGGAUGCAUUUGAGUUUGUAAUCCACACCAGUUACAAACCCAAAUCCAACCUAGAAGGGUUUUAGGAACUUUACACCUUUCGUUAGUUAAAUCCCUCGAUCCAAACGUAGCCCAAGAGAAUUGUGCUACCUUUCUUCUGGUGCCACUUAUAGUUCUUUCAUUCAUAGUAAACCAUAUAUAGUUCUAGCUUUUGUGACUUGGAAACUGAUUGGCGCGUUAAUGCCUUUGUCCUCAGUGAAAUCCUGGAAUUGGGUUUCGAUGAAAAGUUCAUCCGGACGUGGGAAUACUAUUUUGAUUAUUGUGCUGCUGGAUUCAAAACAUGCACACUUGGAAACUACCAGGUACAAACCAUGAAAAACUAUUCUGCUCAUCAUUUUUCAUGUUUCUGAGUUUAAUCCAACACGAUUGUCUGAAUGAUGUCAUCGUAGGUUGUAUUUUCCCGGCCUGGCAAUGUUGUAUCCUUUGGCAAUCUACAGAAAGGUGUACCUUCAGCCUAUUGAUUGUUCAUCCUAUGAAGAGGAAAUGAUCUCCAUCUCAAGAGAAACAACAGAAGAAUUCAAUCCUAGAUAGAUGACCAAUAGCAUAAACGCCUUACCAUUUUAGUCUUUUAAGCUCCAAUAUUGAUUUCUGCUCAAGAUUUCAUUUGGUUAGUCCUUCACUGCUUCCCAAAGAAGCAUGAAAAACAAAACAAGAAAUAAAGGUAAAAGAACCAAAAGUAGAGAAACAAACGUGCAAAGUUGAUUCACAACUAGCUUCACAAUGUUGCAAGUGUCUUUGUCGAAGGCAUAGAAACAGAUCACCAAGAAUUGCUUGUGGAACGAAGAUUGGUUAAAACCUUGAAUUUGCAUUCAACUGUAGUCGUGAUUUGCAGUCAAAAUCUAAAUGUGACUGGGAUUACACCAUAAGAUAUGGUUGUAUUUGAACUCUUAUCGUAGAUUGGAAACCUUAACCACGAUAAAUAUAGUUAGACACCAAUUUUAAUAGAACUCAAAAGUAAUGCCAUUGAAUACAACACAAUCCAGUUUAACUUCUCAGGCUUCUGCGAGUCCAAUACCACUAAAAUCCCUUCCCACCAUGAUGCACCGGCAACUAUUGCUUGACUGUGACUCGAGGGUUAAACCCUAUCCUAGCAGGCAUCCUGCAAUGCAACAAAGUCACAGUAUGUUUCCUUUAUCACAUGCCAGAUAGAAGGCCAAUAUUGAACACAUAGUGGCCUCCUGCAUCAAUCCAGUAGCAUAGCCGACAACAUACCACUACAUUUCUGCUCUCCAAUAUGGUCCAAUACUUCACCCAAAAACAUUCUAACCAUAUCCCUCCAAGUCAAAAGAGCAACAGAUUUUUAGACCAUGUGAUCAAAUGAUAAAAGAGGAAGACAGUUCACUAGCAGCAUACAGCCAAAAUACAUCAGAGCUUACAACCGAAGUAGCCUCUACAACUAAUACGAUGUCUCGAUGCAACGUCCAUGCAUCAUGUUUUGAUGUUUGAAACAAAACACUGGUGAUUAAUAUCUAGCAAGAUCAAAAUCAAACAGUCAAGUUGCCAAGCUCCAGGCUUUUAUCAAGAUUAAUGAGAGUCAAAUCACCUAUAUAAAUCCAAAAUAUUCAAUCAUUUAUUACCAUAAAAAACUUUUCUUAGACAGCAGACCAAAAUUGUUGCUAUUGUAACUAAUCAUUCAACUUCUGCUAGCCAUGAUAAUGCCAUAGAGCCUACAACUACUAUGUCACCAGUAUAUUAAGUGGUGAUGAUUUCUCCAUCUGCAUUAGACAACAUACCACAUGUUGUCAGGUAAUGAAUCUUCCACCCAUCUCAAAUUGUAUGAAGAUCGAGACAUCCAAAUUCUUUAACAGCAGCAUGGCCUGCUUCAACAUGACAAUUUCAGGGUAAAGCACCAAAUCAACCCAGCCAAACUUCAUUUUCCUGUAACAUCCCACACCAAACACUCAGCAAAAAGUUGUGAUUAGCCCCUGUGAAGGAACUUCAAUUCACCCAGUUUAUGACUUGAGCCUCUCCUCCUGUACAACACAAGGGCAAAUACAGGAGGAAAUGAUUAUGCCAUUCUCAAAAUCAAGCUACCGCUAAGAUUAUCGCUAUCCAUUAGGAAUUGAUCUACCCAAACCGGCUACAGCUGCAGUCUAAAGAAGCUUAACUAAUCUCAUUGUUCCUAUUGCAUCAUACCAAAGAACUCUGGUCACCAAACAACGUAGAAGAGCUAAGUAAUGAGAAACUACUACCAUCACGGAUGGCAAUGACAUAAAUUUCUGGCUCAUCUAUAUCCAGAUAAAGGACAAACUUAAAAUUUAACUAAAUAACCAUUACCAUAAUACUCACCGCAAUUAACACAAACUUAAACAAAGCUACUAUAUGUUAAACACUACAAAUAGACAAAAACUCCAGAUCAGCUAGUGACCAUAGCUAUAAGCACACCAAAAUUAAAACUACAUUUGAGAGCAGAUAAUUAAAGAAGAUGUAACUCUACUCCUCGCAAAUACUACUUAUUAUAAACUAGCAAAAUAGGUAACAGCAAGCUACUCAGAUACAAGCAAUCCAACCAGUCCUAGGUUGAUUGGUAAAAUCUUGCAACAGCCAGCCAACCUGCACCAAUCUGAAAGCAUUGUGUGUAUAGAUUCCAAUAUAUGACGCAGUUUAAGUCUCCAUCAAGGGUUACAGUUACUGCUGCUGAGCUUGCCGAGUUGGUGCACCACCAUAGCCUCCACCAUACCCAGCUUGGCCUCCAUAAUUGCCAGAAGCUUGUGAGGGGUCCGACCUCCAUCCUGCAUACCCAGCAUUCCCAGAUGUAUCACCAUAGCCACCUCCCAUAUAACCCCCAGCACCAGCUUGUAGAUCUCCAGCACCAUUUCCAGCUGAGGAAUUACUAUUUGGAGUACCCCCUGCACGCCCGCCACCACCAUAAGUAGCCGGGUUACCAUAAGCCCCAUCAUUUGUACCAUAUCCUCCAUAACCGUAACCUUGAUUUCCAUAUCCCGCAGCUCCACUGGGAGAAUGUCCAGCAGCAGCUCCAGCACCACCUAGGCCACCACCACUAGUGUUAGAAGCACCCCAGGGAGCAUUUCCAUAGCCUACAUUUCCAUAUCCAGAGGAUCCCUGAGAGUUCCACGUGUUCCUUGGUGCACCUGGUGGACCACUUCCAUAACCAGCAUUAGGCACAUUUGGGUUUCCAUAAGCAGCAGCAGCAGCGGGGCCACCAUAUCCAGGAUUAGCACCUCCAAAAUUUCCAUAGCCUCCAUAACCCAUACCAUUAUUGGUAGGACCAUAUCCAUAACCAGUAGUAUUAUAUCCAGAAGAUCCGUAAGGUGGAUAUCCCCCUCCUGUGUUUUGAGAUUGCAUGUACCUGUUGGAAUCCAUUCGGCUCUCAUAAGAAUUUGAAUUACCACCGGAUGCACCAUAUCCCUGGUAACCUCCACCACCGCCACCCAUGGCACGGCCACUCCCACCAGGAUUAGCAUCCUUUGGAAGAGCGCGCUUCACUUCCACUUGCUUACCAUUUAAAUCAUGAAAUGUCUUGUGCAAGACCCUAUCAACAGCUUCCUCAGAGUCAAAAGAAAUAAAUCCAAAUCCACGGGGUCGGUUCGUUUGCUGGUCAAACAUGAUUACCACAUCAGUAACAUCACCAUAAGAUUCAAAAUACUGACGAAAAGCCUCAUCAGUUAAAGUCGGAGGUAAUCCUCCAACAAAUAUCUUCUUUGUCCUAGUAUUUCCACCACCACCACCACCAAAGCUCCUCCCAGUAUUAGCGUUUCCAACUUUAGAGAUCUGUUGUUCCUCUCUUGAUAAAGCUCUCUUAGCCUCAACCUGGAUAUUUCGAACUCAGGGUUAUGCAAGAGAGUAAUAGACAUAACUAGCACAUAAAGCUAUUAGAGACACUGAUAUUGCUAUAGCAGCACACAGGCAAAUACAUAUUCACACACACACAUGCUAAUUAUACCCAAGAACAUAAAACAUUAAUCUCUGCUGCUAAGUUCAAUGCUCUCGAGGAACGGUCUGAGAACAAAUUCUCUUUUCAUAGCUCAAUGGCAAAAUCCAGGUUUGAACUCCCAAGCUAGUAGCCUAAUGGUCAUUGCAGAUAUCAUCACAGAUAAGCCACACAAGUACAUACACAUGCAAUGACCUAUCAAAAACCACAAUAACUUUAAAAAUGGUGCACCUUCAUUGGUAAAAAGCCCAAGUUAAUGGACCAAAUAUAAGCUUUGUACUAGUGCCAACCAACCAAAAUAACAGCCCAUCAAGCCCAAAAAAAAAAGCAAAAUCAUGACACAUGGGCUAGAUUGGGCUUGACUUCACACGUCAUAUGAAAGAGCACAACACUGAAAAAUUAAAUCAUCAGAAUAACAAAAAAUGCACGCAAUAAAAAACAUAAAGGCAGAUUUCAAAAAGCCAAAACCAUAUCCUAAACUUGAAAUCUAACCAGUAUUCAUUCAAACCCACAUCCACAACCACCAUAUGUACAAUAUUUAAAAUAAACCAUGUCCGCUCAACCCUAAAUAGAAACCUACAAGUACAACAAAUGCAAAACCCCAAUUUACACUAGCAAAGGCAAAAAGCUUUUUUUUCUAGCUAAAAACAAAUAAAGAAUCAACUUAACGCCACCAGUGUAUACUAAGCAAUCAACUCCUAAAAUACUAGCAAUCUACAGGAAAAUUUCCAGGGAUCAUAAUGAAAAAAAUUCAGCACAAAUACAGCUGAAAUUUUAGCCUUUUCUGAAUUCAAAAAACAAAUAAAAGGAACUUAAAUCAUCCAACGUAUAAUACAACAACUUCACCUAGCUAAAACCAAUGCCCAGAAGAGGAAUAAAACUGCAGGCAUAUGCACAAAACAAAACAACUAUGCCAAACUUACUAAAACGCAUCACGACCCAUCAAAGAUUGAAUUAAGAUACGAAAAACCUACAUCCCAAAACAAAGAAAACACUCAAAAAUCAAACUAAAACUAAUCUCAGGAAAAAAAAUGGGGAAAAAAAACACACACACACACAUACAAAGACAGUAAUAGUUAAAAGCAAAACCGAAAAAUUUUAAAUGGAAAAAAAAAGAGAAAACAAGGGGCUAAUAUUGUCUUACAGUGCGGCCAUCAAUGACAUGCCUAUCUUGAAGAACCCCAUCAAGAACAUUGGGAUCUGCAAAAACCACAAACCCAAAUCCUCUGGGCUUGCCAGAAACUUUAUCCCGCAUCACUACAGUCUGCAAUACGUCACCGUAUUUGCCAAAAUAGUCCUUCAAUUUCUCCUCUGAUGUUUCCCAUGAAAUCCCUCCUAUAAAUAGCUUCCCCUGAUCUGAAUCCAUCACCAAAAUUGUUGCUUUUUCUUAACCCAGUAAAAAUAAAGACUGAAAUUUUGGUGGGCUUUGAAAUUUAAAAGAAAAAAAGAAGUAAUCUUAAUCGAGCUGGGAAGAAGGGGUUAGAGGGGGGAAAGGAGGAAAGACGGCUGCUGGAUUUCAGAGAAGGGGAGAAAGAAAGAGAAGUGAGGAGAGGGCAAGAGUGGGUAUAAGAAAUGGAGGGUGGAGAUUUGUUGGGAUGAACGGUGGAGAUUUGAGUUCUGGAGAUAGGGGGAGGAGGGUCAAGGUUUUGUAGGUUUACAAGAGAGAUAUUUUUGGAACGACAUACGAUUCUUUGUCCUAAACAUGAUGGUUAUUUUAUUUCUUUAUUACUACCAUAAAAAAAAACUAAAAAAAAGACAAUAAUUUAUGAGAGGAAUUAUAUAUUGUAGAACAAGAAUUUAUAUAAAUUAAAUUUACUUUUUGUAAAAGGAAGAAAUUGUUAGAUGCAGCACUUUACAAAUUAUUUGGCUAGAAUCAUGCCGUUUAAAUAAUUUAAAGAAUUUAAAGAAUCUUUCCACACUACAAUGUAGAGGAUGAAUAUAGUACAUCUUUAGUUGGACGUGUUUGCAUGUUACUUAAUUUGGAAAAAAAAUAGUUAAAAUGAUAUAAUAAUAAUUUUGUAAUGCGAUAUCUGUGAAAUAAAAAAAUAAUUAUAUUAAUGUAAAAUUAGUGUGUUUGGAUACAAAAUUUAUCCCAAAUAAUAUUUCGCUUGCAUCAUAAACAUAUUUUUCAACCCACCUUUUUAUAUUCCCAACCACCUUUUUAUCUCAUAUACAUCACAUCACAAAAAGUGCUACAGUAAUUAUUCCAAAUAAUAUUUCAAAUAAUACCCUAUCCAAACAAACCUAUAUGGUUUUUCAUUUUUAAUCACGUAGAGAUGUACUAAUAUAGCAAUACAAUGUUGAAUGCUAUGCCCAGCAUAAAUGUCGCAACUUAUUAAACCAGAAUCUAAGGCCAUGCUUGGAUUGCUUGUUUCCGUCGGAAAAUAUUAUCGUUUUCCGUGAUCACAUUUCCCUAUCACCUUUUUCCCUCACAUAUAUCAAAUCGCUACAGUAAUUUUUCCAUGAAAAAUGACGGAAAAUGCAAUCCAAACACAACCUAAUACUACAAUUUGUUAUAACUUUAUAAGUCUAAUUGUAACUAUUUGCAGUCAACAUAUCUUACAGAUAUUUUUGCCACUUUUGUUACCAAUAUCUUAAGCUUUUAGCAUGGUUUCAACACCCCAAAAUUUCAAAAGUAAUAUGGAGGCACAAUUAGUAUAUUAUAAUUUAUAACUGCUAAUUACCAAAACUAGUUUCCUUUGUGUAAUAGAUUACUAGUUAUGGUAAUUGGAUUACUCUUUUGAUUAGGGAAGAAGCCAUCUCUUCCUUAUCCAGCGAAACCAAAAUCCCUCUUGGAAAAGCAUGGUCACAUGAUAUAAAAUUUACUCCACAACUUGGGGACUUUUUUUUACUAUUAUUUGAGCAAUCUAUUGUUGGAUUGUUAUUUUUAAAAAUUUUUAUAAAAAAAAAGUACUGUAGUGAUUUGAUGUAUAUAUGAUAAAAAGAUAAUUAAAAAAUAUGUUUGCAAAAAACGUAAAAAAUUUUCUACGAAAAAUCACAAUCUCCAAUUCUUCAACUUACGAAUUUGGCUUCUUCAUUUUCACCUCAAGCAGUUUUGCAUUAGUUGAUUGUAUCUUGUUUGGAACCCAAGUUUUUGCCAAGUUUGUCUGCUACAAGUUUUUUUAAAAUUUUAGCUACAGUAAUUUCAAAAAAUUUCUCAAAGUUUUUAAAAAAUACAUUUUAAAAUAUUCAAAAAUCUACACAUUUCAAAAAUUUUUUAAAAAACUUCUACAGUAAAAUACAGUAAAGUUUUAGACAAACUCUCAAAAAACUUACCUUUCAAACAAGGUGGUGGAAGAAAGAAUUUACUCUUGUGUAGUACAGGCUACAUGAACGAAUGACAGGAGGAGACUACUAGCUAAUGUUUUGUUUUAUAUCAAGAAGUGAAUGAUUAGUCCUAAAACAAACUACAAACAUACACUCUAAUUCCUAUUAGAGUAGAUGAGCUUGUUGACUAAUGACCACUUUUCAGUAGUUUAAAUCUCCUAUAUGUUUGUAUUAUUGUUGCCACUUUCUUGUGGUACAAAUAGUUGUGCAAGAUGAAUCUUGGAAAACGAAGACUGCAUAAUGUACUUUAAUCUAAGGACAAUAAAGUCCUCUUCAUCUUAUCUUGUGGGUACUAUGAUUUCGUUUUUUUCUUGAGCAGUCUUACUUUUAGGUUUGAAUGAGUGUGAUUUGUGUGGAAUAAUAGCUAAUAUGUCAUGGUCCACAAACCAGAAACUCAGACUUGAUGGUCAUAGGAACUGGUCAUGCAUGAGUUCAUGUGACAAGGAUUAAUGAUCAAUUUGAUUAAAUUUUCUUUAAAAAAUACACUUUUUGUCCCCUAUUGUUUGGCAGUUGGACCAAUUUGGUCCCUGUUAUGUUAUUUCAGUGAAAACACAUUUUAUCUCUCAGGUCUUAAUUUUUUUUUUUAAUGAAUUUAUGACAAUUGACGUUUAAUCGUCCAAUUCGGACUAAAAUUGAAGUUUAAAAAACUUAAUUUGGACGGAAUGAAAUAAGUGAGAAAUAUGCAUCAUUAAUAAUAAAAAAAAAAGGACUUAGGGAAACAAAAUUUAUGAAACCCUCAAAAUUAAUCAGAUAAAAUUCUUCAAAUUUUGAAAAUAAUGUGGGUAAAAGUGCUGAAUGAUUGGAAAAGAAUCACAGGAAACUUGAAAUGGAUCAAGUUCGAUAAAAUUUUGUACCUCCCAAGUCUUUUUACUAAUUUUAUGCACCCUAGCUUCACACAUUUUACUCUGUUCAAGUUUUAAUUGUCAAUCAUCAAUUUCUACCAAAUUGAGUGAUGAAACAUCAAUUCUCAUUAAUUGGUCAAGAACCAAAACUUAAGGGAUGAAAUAUGUCCUUUUUUUUUUUUAAAUAAUAGAGACCACAAUUGGUCCAAUCCCCAAACAAUGGGGAUGAAAAAGGUGCAUUUUUCCCUUAAAUUUGACAGAAAGGUUGGCCAUAUUUCCUUCUUUUCAUGCCCCAUAAAUGGUUGAUUAUUGAAUGCUAGCAAGCUUGCAACCGUUGAGCUCUAGAUCCCAGAAUGGAUAUUAAUAAAAAGUGUACAAAACCCGAAAGAAAUGCUGCAAUGCCAGAGUGGAGUGGAGCCACCAUGGUACAGGUGUUGUUGAGUUACAAAGACAAAGCUGGUUUUUGUCUUAGUCUAACUCUAUAUAUUUGGCCUUUUACUGAGCUCGUGUACCCACCUCUGUACUCAUUAUUACUUGCUCCUUUUCUCAACGUUCCUAUUUUCAAAAUGCCAUUGGAGGCAACUCUUUGAAAUGUUGCCCUCAUCGGUCUGAUAAUUUAUUAAUAAUACCCUGUGUGUGCUUAUAAAAUCCCUCAAGACAGACAACCCACAUUCUUCUUCUUCUUCUUCUUCUUCCUGCCUGAUUUGCAGGGAAGCGUGGAAAUCUAGCAUACUUCUUCAAUGGGGUGCUUUCUUGCUUGUUUUGGGUUCACCAAGAAAAGGAGAAGGACAAAGGGUAGGAGCAAAAAUGCAUCUGGAGACCAAGUAAGACAAAUCUCGACUUUUAUCUUUUCUGUUUCUUUUAUUUUGGUAAGAGAAUUCUUUGCUUUUGAGGAUACACAAAACUUGCAUCAAUUCAAUAUCUUGAAUUUACUGUGGGAAAUUGCCUUGUUUUUGUUAAAGAGUUAUGGAAGGUAUGUACCUCUGGACUGUGAUGUUACGGUCAAACUUGAAUGUGAUGAGAUGCAGAAGGCCUCAGCAACUGAGCUUAGGUGAGUUAAAGAGUUGUAUUCGGUUUUAGGUGUACAUCUAAUCGUGGGAAUGAAGGAUUGCUUUUCAUGCUUGUGUUCUGCUUUUGGUUGCAGAGAUAAGCCUAAAGAAUCGUCGUCCGCGAAAAUAAAGAAAAAAGUGAGCUUCAAUUUGAAUGUCAAGACUUAUGAGCCACUUCCUAAUGAUGAGCUUAGUAAUUGCAAUCUUUCUGAGGGUGAGGAGAAGACAAUGUGGGAAUAUAAUCAAGAAGAAACAGCUGGAGCAAGCAUGAAAUAUUUCAAUUAUGAAGACAAUUUGAUGGCAUCAAAGAUUGGAUCAUUCCCUUCGAAUUAUAGAUAUCAAAAUUGCAGAGAUAGCUAUGAUGAAGAGGAUGAGAUGGAACUAGAGGAUAGCGAUCUAGAUGAUGAGGAUGAACUUGACUUUGAUGAAGAUGAUAUUGGUGAAAGCUAUGAUUUCAGAAGUCAAAAACUAUGCCAAGCAUCAGUGGAAGAAGAGGGAAAAGUUACAACCGAUCAAUUGGCAGAAAAAGGAAGCAAUCUUAUGCAGCCUCAAGUUCUGCAGCAUCAAGAACAUAACAAAACUGAAUCAAACCAAAAUGCUCGAAACAGGAGUCACAAUGUCUUUUCUGUGCUUGCUCCAGUUGAAAAUCUCACUCAAUGGAAAGAGGUUAAAGCUAAAACUAGACAGCAAUUGAAGCAUCAGAAGGAAAACAUAGUGUUAGAGCAAGAGCAGCAUAUGCCCUUAUGUACGAAGAAGAGCUCCGAACCUUUAGCUUUGAACUCAUCAGUGGAUUUGAAUCAAUUCAAGCCUCAGAGUCAUGAAAUUGCAGUUGAUGCUAGCCUUUCAAACUGGUUGGUUUCUUUCAAUGGCAAGGACAGCAAUGCUGCAAUAGCAAACACCCAUCAAAAAAGAUCAAGGUGGAUGCAUCAGACUCGUUCCGCAGAUGAGAUAGAACUACUCUAAGCACCAAGGAAAAGCUGUCGGCUUCACCACCAAAAUACCAUACAUUCUCAAAACUGUUUCUGGAUUUGUGCAGAAUAGAACAGACAUUGCAUUUUCUCUCAUAAUAGAACAGACAUUGCAUUUUCUUGGAAAGCUCCACCCUGCCCAGGUGUUGAAUUGUUUUCUGAAUAAGACAAGGCAAGGGCGUCUUGUUACAUUUGUCUUUAUCUUGUACUUUUCAGCUUGAUUGCUUUUAUAUCUUUAGUGAUAAUGGGAAAUUGCUGUGAAUCUGUAAUACAUUGUAUUCUUUUUUCAAUGCAAAUGAAGUAAACAAUACCUAAAGAAGGAACUCUGAUGUACAUGGAUCAAAUUUAUCUUGCUUGUGUAGCAUUAGACAGAAAAUCCAUUUAGUUUAUCUUUGCCAAGAAAAUCUGGGAAGCAUCGUUUAUCUUUAAUGUUAACCAGUCCCCAAUCUCGAAUUGUACUCGAUGAAAAUCUAAUCAACUGGGUUCGGAAGUUACAGACAAUAAUCAGCAGUUGCACAAGGAAAUCUUUAUUUAGGAAAUAGAAGAAAGAAAUUGACAAAAAAGUAGAGCAAUUAUUGCUGCAUUAUCAAACAAAUAUCACUAGUAUGAGAAUCCACCAGAGAACAAAUUCUGGUCUCUCCUAUUUUUUUCUUUUUUCUGUUUUCGUCUGCAAUCUAUCAAGUCAAUUACACUGGAAGCUUGUAAUCUCCGGCAGAUGACCAGGACACAGGGAUGGGGUGAUAAGGCUAUUAUAGGUCAUACGGAAGCCAAAUCAUGAACUUCUUAAUCUACUCUCUAUCUAACAGACGAAUAUUGCUAGUUGCUGCACACCUCCAGCAGGUGAAACCAAUUUGCUACAUGGUAAAGACCAUCAUUUUCAUGAAAUCCAAUAGUCUGAAGCUUCAAUGAUGUUGAAAUCAUUUCACACUCGGCUCCAUGUGAAUUGAAUUGUCAGCACUCUACCCAAAUUUCACAAUCUGAGUCGGGCGCAAUCCAUGAUUGUCCAGCAAAAUCUCACGAAGAUACUACAUUAUCCUACAGAAGCAGGUAUCUGACUCAUCAUCAUCAGACUCACUCACAUCACUGUAAGAAAAACAAGAAAUUACAUCAGAACAACUUCAGUUUAUUAAGUAAUAUAGCCACCGUCUGUUGAACAAGUCUGGAAACCAAUUCACAGGGAAUUGUCAAAUGCCAACAUGCAUUCCUCAGUACGGUAAAUCUAUCUCAAUAUGGAAAGAGGUGCAAACUUUUUUUGGGUGAAAUCAAGGUUACACACGUGUAUUCCGGUUGCUAUUUUCAGUAAGGGUAGAGUGCCAAAGUUUAUUAUGCACUAAAUAAAGCAAUGAUUCGUUACACUUGUUUAUGUCAAGACAUAAAGGUUGCCUAGAUGUUCAAUGGGCUCAUGAUUAAGUGCAUAUCCUGCUGUAAGGCAUUGAAAACAUGGCAACCCCAACAAAUUUAAGUGCAAAAUAUGUGAUGUAACUUGUGCCAGAACCAUGGAUGUCAGAACCCAUAACACUGAAGAUUCCUAUAAAGCAACUUGGUGCCUGGAAAGCUAUUCUCCUACACUAAAAGUUAGUGCUGAUGGGCACCCACAGUCAUGCCAAAAGAAAUUUCUUAGCAGCAGCCGUCACAUUCAUGUCCCAGGAAAAAGUUAAUUCCAGGCAAGGUCCCCGAACUAGAUUGGCUAAAUAAAACAAUUCUCCAGCACAUUUACUUGUGAAACUUAAAUCUUCAAGGCUAAGCAUCCCUCUCAAAAUCCCCUGCUUGUCCAAAAAUUUUCCAGAUUCCCCUUUCCUUUCAUUCUCUCAUAAUCCAACUUGGAAAAGUAAAAUCUGAAAGCCAGUUAAAGAAGAAGAAAAGGAUCCCAAGGACCAAGGAAUUAAGAUAUAACAGCAAUCUCCUGUAGAAGUAUUAUAGAUACGAUACAAUGGAGGACAUAUUCCUUGAUCUUGCAAGCAUAAUGUCAAUCUAAGAUUCUCAGAGGAAGGGACAAUAUAUUGAUAAAGAAUGCAAAACAAAAUGAGACAAUUACGGGAUGCCUAUUCAGAAGAUAGUACUGUUGGAAUGAUGACAAGAUCAUACUUGAUUUUGAAAUGCCAAUGCUAAACAACCAGUGUGUCUCCACAAUACACUGACAAUCUGAAUGACAUUAUGCAGAUGCAUCAACUCAUCUAAUGGCAAGUCAACUCUUACAAUUUAGAUCCUAUAGAAUGCAACUAGAUCACCUAAAUAAGGCAAGUAUUGGCAUUUGAAAGCACGAUAUAGUAGGCAAGAAGUUGGCUGCAAUCACUUGAAUGUAAUUCAAUCAACUAAAUUGCCAUUGAGAGUCAUGGACAUUCACUCACUACGUAUGUCAUAUUUUAGCAUCUCACAGUUUUUGUCUCUACCAGAUUUAGAGAGCAUUGGUGUCCGCUUUUGUCUCCACCAGACAAUGGUGCUCCAAAUAUAUCACUACUUCUGCAGAAAACAUGCAGUCAGAAUGACAUCAACCUCCUAAUGCCCAUCAUAUCUGACGAAGGCUACCAGCUUUAUGUUCCCAAUACAGAUAAACCAUUACAAGGACAAAUUUGAUAUUUAAGAAUAUAGCUCCAAUGAAUAAUUUCCUGAUCCUAGUCGUUUUUGUUUUCCAUGAAGCAGAGAAUUGGUUGUUUUGUUAGGGAAGGAAUUGUCAGGGCCUAUGUCAACGAAAAAAGCACAGGAAACACAUUGUAGAGUAAACCAGAUCUUGGGAUUUCACUGCAAAAGAAAAAAAUCAAGCUUGGUAUUGGGACCGGUCCAAAAAAGUUAACAAGAUUCGCCCUAUUUAGUCACUUAUCUCCAAACAGAAUUCAAGCAUCAACACAGAGCUCAUAACCAGGAAUCAACCAUCACGAGAAUUGGAAAUGUAACACGAUUUAUAUGGCACAUAUUAAACCAAUCUAUCAGGAUCUCCUCGGCAUAUAUAACUGACACCAUUCUGCAACACACAUCUCAGUUCAUCCCACUGUUAUUUGCAAUUUAACAAUCCAAUAUCCAGUUAUGAUCCUAAAUAUGUUACCUCAUAGAUCUUCCUAAAGCAAUCACUUAAUGGAUCACCCAUCAAAAUCUCAAUGACAUGGAUCCUCUAAACGCGACUAACUAAAUUAUGAUAAAAUUCAGUAUCAAUGUAUCAAGCAGAAACCAACUAAUAAGAUAGAUAAUCAAACCAAAGCUCACAGUUAGAAAAUCAAUUAUCCACUUCACCUGAAUCCUUUAAUGCAACUGAAACUACAAAUUCCAGACUUUGACCACAAUUUGAGCAUCUAUAACUCAAAAAAAUCGAAAACAAGUAAUAUUACCUUGGUUGAAAUUCCAGGACUUCUGCAAGCUUAUUUCCAUUUUUAUCAUUCCACUGAACUUUCCUCCUGGGCUUCCCCGACUUCUUAGACAAUCCACCUUCAUUAUUUGGAGGCAACAACAGCUGUGAUUCCUCUUGCUCAUCUUUUCCUCCAUUCAGUGCAAGAUUCUGAGAAUCUACACCAUUUAAACACUCCUUUUUAUCACUCUUACCAUUCUUAUCCAUUGCUAUGAGCUUCACUAUCCUAGUAUUUACAACUCAACCCACCAAUCCAAAACCACAACAAACAAGAAGAACACUUGAUUGUUAAUCUUUAAUCAAGAAAACCCAUCUCAACCCAAUCAUCAAUAUCAAUAAAUUAUCAUCCUAAACCAUAAAGAUGCAAUCUUGACAACUAAACUACGGAAAUUCAAUACAAUCGGCAUGACCCGAUAAAGUCAAUGCACAUUUCUAACGAAUAAAGGAAUGAAUUUUCAGCUCAUGAAAGAUUCAAGCAAUCAGAUUCAGAAACAUGAAGGAAGGUUCUUGCAAACCCCAAAAAAGAGAUCAUAUAAAAUUGGAAGACAUUCUUUUUCCAGCUCAAAAGAUUGCCCGGAUUUACUACAAUGAUUAAGAAGAAUUUCUGGGUUUUUUUUUUCUUUCAAAAAUAUAAUAGAUAUUGAUAAGGAUUGUUCAAUAGAUUUCCCGAACCCUGAAUCUGAAGGACCAAAAUUGAAAGAAAGUGUUUGUUUUCUCAAUGGGGAUUUUGUGCGUCGACUUUUGUUAGUGUUGAAACUUGGAAGAUUUUAAAACGGUGCUACAUACAUUUGAUACAACUGUGUGAAAGGAAUAGGACACACAAAAAGGGGUCCAUUUUGUUGGGGCAAUGGGGCCAGCAACAUUAAUGUAAUCUAAAUUGAGAUCUUUUGAGCAAUGCCUUGAAUUAAAUGAGAACACCUAUAAAAAGAGGGAAAGAUGAAGCAAAAUGAACUUUUAGUCACACCUGUUUUAUGAUUGGUUAGUUAAUUUAAUUUGGAACUGUCUCAUAGGUUAGCCGAUUGGUCAAGUAUUCACUUCUGACUAUAUUGAGAUUGUGACCGUUUCCAUCUCAUAUUCAUUCACGAGUAUCUUGUUAACCUUAUCUCAAUCAAUUUUGGGACAUUCAAGAAUAAUUUCGUACAAAAUUUACAAUAAAUAUAUUAUCUUAUCAGAGUAAUACGUUCCUGAUGGUUAUUAUUAUUUGGUCUAAGACAAUCUGGUGCAUGUGUUUACUUGAGCACAGAAGCAACUGAGGCAGGUGCACCCGAAGGAGGGAAAAAAUGAGAAGAAAAAUAGAAAACUACUUGGUCAAUAUCUGCAUGGCAUGAAAUUUUCAAGAUUUUUGGUAACCCAAAACGACAUCAGCCUGAACUUAUCCUAGGAUAAAUUUAUUUGCUACAAUAGGCAACAGGAGCAAAAUCCAAAAGAAUGGUAAUAUGAGUUUGUUUGGAAAGAAGAUUAUUUGAAUUUUUUUUUUAAAAAGUAAUAUUAUAAUUUUUUUUUUUUGUUAUAUGAUGUAUAUGAGAUGAAAAUAUGAUUAAAAAAUAAAAAAAAAAUUAAAAGUAUAUUUAUUAUGCAACCAAAAAAAAUAGAUUUUCUUAAACAAACUCAAAAUAAACGAUGGGCCAGGAGAAGUAAGGUCAACCGAAAAACAUUAGAUUAUUGCUGUUUCUCAUCAUUGUCUUCACAAAACCAGAACCACAAGAUAAGCCUGGCUGGCAAGGAUGCCCGAUACUACAAGUUCAGAGUGGACUUGUUUUUUCUUUUUUUUGUCCACCUUUCAUUUAUGUACUCUAACAAGGAGUAUUAUCUGUGAAAAGUUCACUAUUACUUGAUAUCAAGGAUUAGAUAAGGGAUAAUUGACCACCAUUUAUUGAGAUAUAUCGUUUUUGCCUUGUCAUUUGCAAUGUAAGCAACAAAUUUGCUAGUAAUACAAUUCAUGCAAUCACUUUUUGGUGAGUUUGAAUAGCUUUCUAUAUGGAGAGCCAAAACCCUUCAUCUAUGGAAUGGCAGAGGUCAAUCAUGAAUGGCAAUCGGCAAAGCUCUUAUGAAAGAAAGAGUGUCACGCAAACUCAAUACAAAACAAAAGCAAAUGAUUACCCACACCAAAUAUUCUCCAUUUGUCUGUUUUUGUAGUCUAUUUUAGUUAAUUCAAUGUAAUUAACUAUGAAAGGAUGAACCCAUCUGUUUUAUGUAAAACACAUGUUUAUACCUUUGUUCUUAAGAGUGGAAGUCUAUACUAUCAUAGUUUUUUUUUUUAUUGUAAGCGGGAGAGUUCGAAUCCGAAAUCUCUUACUAAUUAGAGUACAAGUGCCAUGUUUAUCUUAAAAAAAGGAACAAGAAAAAUAAAAGAACACGAGUACAUGUCAAAAUUAGAUAAUCGUUUCAGAUUCCACUUAGUGGAGUCUUUUGUUCUUUCAAUCAAAUGGCCCAAUGGCAAUUCAUUUUGAGGAAGUCAAAUCAUAGUAGUAGUGUCAUAUCAACCACGAUUCAUGAAUGCAAAAAGAUGAAUGAAAAGAAUUUAUGCAAAUGCCGAGUUGUUGACCAAAGUAGAACGAGCUCUCAAUUUGGAAUGGUACUCUAAUUGGUUUGGAAGGGUUAUUUCGCUGUCACAUUUACGAGUCAUCGAAUCAUGCGUCUAACAAUUGCGGGAGGGAAGGAUAUGGAGGUAUCAAGAAAUCUUAGGAUUAAGUGUGUAGUAUUUGUUAAUUAUGUGCUUGCCCACUUGGAAUCAGCAAAUACAAAGCAUCCAUGUCCAAAAAUUGGCUCAAAAGUCAAAAAAACACGAUGCUUUCAAUAAAAUCAAAGUGCUUCUAGAUAAUGCAGGUUAGACGACUAUGUUGGUGUCCCUUAGUUGUCAACUUCUACUUAAAUGUUUUCGGGAAAUUUCUCUGUUUACUUGCAUUAUAUCCUUGUGUAGUUGGCCGAUGAUUAUAAUCAUAGAUUUCAUCAAUUAGACUCAAAAGUUAUGUCAGACUUCUUGGAUUUUUGUUUUUCAAGUUGAAAACUAAAAAGAACCAAAACCAAUUGGUUUCCAAUAGAUCAAACUCAAAUGAAAACAAAAGUGAGCUACAUUCUGAAAUUUGUAUGAAUUUUAUUACCUACAAGAUAUGCUAAGUUAAUAUAAAAAAAAGGAGAAAGAAAUCUAGACUUUCUACCAAUAAUCGACAUAAGCUAACCACAAAAGAGCUUUCUUUUGCCUUCUAAGUUAGGUAAUUGUUCAGUUGUAACCACAUAUUCACAUGCCUAAGUAGGUAAUAUGUUCCUUCAAAGUUUAACCAAAUCAAGUUGCCUUCUUAGCUUAGUCUUCCAACACAUUAUGGUUAAUCAGUGUCGGUAGAAGCUAGAAAAAAACAAAAAAUUAUGCUACUUGGGUAGCUAUGCCCAAAUUUUCACUUGUCCAAUCAGCAUAAAGAGACAAGAUUGCUAGUAAGUACUAAUUAUUGGUGCCUGAGGAGUAAAAAUUCUCAGCUAUCAUAUGUGCAUCGAGACCUUGGUUAAAGAAUUCAAGAUAAGUUACAAGAAGUUAUACAAUAACUUUUGGCACCAUUGCCUCCUGUUAAGCCCACAGUCCAUUCUUUAAUUUUUGUUGUAGUAGAAAGAAAUGAAAAGAUAAGGUAAAUUAUACACUUGUUUGCAGAAGCAUUGCAGCUUACAUUAUAUGAUCUAACCAUAAUUUAUUUGGAUCCAACGACUAAUAUGUGAAGAUUCUCACAUGGGGUGCACAAAAUGCAGCUUAAAUAGUGCAAAUUUAGGAGGAUCAUUCAUUGGAUGAAGAGUACAAUUCAGACACUGAUUGGUUUGAUGUUUCUUUGACAGGAAGCAUUUGAUUUGUUGUACGUGUCUGGGAGGGAAGUGAAAGAUAGGCUAAAGUAUAUUGCUUCACAGGUUGCUAAGCAUGAUUGCAACAGAAGACUUGAGUUUUACUCAAAAAGUGCUCAUGCACCGUUCAGGUGUAGAAGUAAAUAUGUUGUAGACUUCUGUUGAACUUCAAACCUAAAACAAUGUCUAGACACAGACAAAAACAUAAUAUGGCAUGCUUUCAAAGGGAAUCACCAGCAUUGAAGGAGAUUCUGCUCAGAUUAUACAGGUCAGGGAAACUUCAAUGCUUCUCUGCCUCUGACUAUGCUGUUCUGCCAAGAAUUGCUGAAAUUACUUAGCAUGCUUCUACUACAUUUUUUAGAUAUUAUUGUCGGAAACUGAAAGCAAUGCAGAGGUCAACAGUCCACUUAGUUCAAUAUGCAAUUUAACUCAUUAAAUGAGUUGAGCUUUUCUUAAUCUUCUGUUGCAAAAGUUUUAAAGUUCUUAUUCAUGAUAAGCGGUCAUAUUUGGUUUGAGGCAGAGCUGAAAAGCCCUUGGAGUUUGAUCACCACUUGUAUGAAUUUGGAUCAGUGGAAUAUCAUGUUCAGGUACAGUUAAUGAACAGUCUUCAGGUUUCUUCAGUUUCAGUGUCUAUUGACCUGUGAAAGUUUGAUGCAUUUUAUUAGUUUCAUCUAAAGCAUGUGAAGACUUUGAUUACUAAAGAUACAUCAUGAGUAAAAAAUUCAUAAGAGUCAUCCUAGUAGUGUUGUAUAUUGUCCUUAUCUUCUACCAAUAAUGUCCACAAGUUCAGUUCUUGUAGGUCAUUGGUGGUUUUCCAGAUAUAUGGCAUUGUUGUAAUAUUCUUUACCUAAUGCUGUUCUAGAUUACCUUGCUUUCCCUCUUCUCGUAAACAUUUCCCUUCCUUUUCAGCCUAUCCCCUUCCUACAGUUCUUUUUAAUAUCAUCUUCGGACCUUUAAAGCACUUAGGGUUUAGUCUCAAACCUAUAUUAUGAUAUGCUAAAAUGAAAUAUUAAACCUUUCAUAGGCAGGCUAACGUGUAACUUUUGCAUGAUCAUGUACACAUUAUUGCAUCUCAGAAUAAAAAUUCUUACAGUUGUUUGAUGUUAUUUAGGCUUCUGCAUCAAUUCCAGAUAACACCUAUUUGUCUAUAGCAACGCCACUCCUGUAUCAAGACUUCAUUCUCUCAUCUGGGCUACCACGUUAUACAUUAGAGAUGGUGAAGGGAAUCAGCCCUGAUGUCAUUGAGAUAAUUGAACCUCCAAAAGAAGGAUAUAAGUUGACAUUGAGACUCAAGUACUCAAGGAUUCCACGCAAUAAAGGUCAGUAAUUUGUCUCCAAAACCAGCAGUUUGCACUUUGCACAGAAGGCCUAUCCUCUUGUGCUGAAACCGUUGCCAAUGCUUAUACAGUUCAACCAUGUCAUUGGUGCCAUUUGUUUCUAACCUGUUUAUUCAUCAUGAAGACAUAAAAAAGUUCCCUAAGCGGUUGCCUAAAAGAGGAUACAAACAAUAGUUACAUGAUUGAACAAGACUUUCUACUGCCCCUAAUUUCAUGCCAGGAAUACUUCGACAACAGCAAACAAUCUGUGCAGAGCUGCUACUAAGACAAGUGAUAUGUGCAAACGCUAAGUGAAAACUCAAAAAUAUAGGAGGUGGAAAUAUAUAAAAUGUUGGAAUAAGUAAUUUUGAUGUACGUGCUAUUAGAUUAGUCGUGCAGAAUUUCUAGGAUUUCUGCUAAUUAAUAGGAUUACCAUAUAUCCAACUUAUUGUUCUGUUUCAACUAAAACAAAGAUAGAGCAUGAGGAAGUAUGUAGCUACCUUCAAGAUGUUGAUUUGUGAACACUUAGUGAACAAACAUUUGGAUAAGGAAUGAAACUGUAAGACAAGUUGACCACAUAGAAUGAUAUUGUACUGGAAAUGAGGGGGAAAAGGAGAAGGUUACCCCUCUCUUGGUUAGGUUUUCCACCUAGCCGAAACCAUUCAUUUACUUCUAUCGGAUUCAGACAUUUUUAAGUCUAGAGGAGAUUUGGCUAGUCACAAUCAAGAAUACAUCUUACAGCUUCUACUCUCAGUUAGUGGUGAGGUGCUCAGUAGCCUAAAGACUCACCUGAGGAUACAACCAACCAUCCAAUAGGUGACCGCUGCAAUCAGUUCAUUAGGAAAACAUGCGCCUUACUCAAAAGAAAGGGGGAAAAAAUGCACCUCACGGGCUAUUAAAACAUCUACCUCUUAUGAUGUAGGUACAUGAUUUAACCCUCUUUUCACUUCUAGCCAGUGCUACGCAUGUGAUAAAGUUAUUGACAUUCAUUCUAUGAAUAAAAGUAAAUGCGCUCAUCAAAUUUGCAUGACAUAUGCUUUUCAGGUGGGGUGAAAAUGAUUGCAAGCAUUUCCUCUGUACAAGGUGUCAUCCUAAGCUCUCAGCUCAAAGAUAUGUUAAUGAAUGUCAAUUCACUAGAAGUCUCUCAAGGGAUGUACAGACCAGUCAAACUCAUUUAUCACCCAAGGGAACCUUUCUUUGUCAUCAAACAGGUAAAUUCAUAAGUUCUACUGAUUAUUGUAUGAAUUUAACACCAAAGACAUCUAAAGCAGAAGCAAAAAAUAGACUAUCAAAUGCAAUUGAACAUGACGGAGAAUUGGAAAAUUAAAGACCAUAUUCCAUAUUCAAUUUUAAAAAUGAAUACUUCUAUAGCUCAUGUAUACAUCCUCACCAUUGUUUCUUUUAACAGCCAGAAAAAAUCACUGCAGUAUUCCCUAUGCGCUUUAAAGAAGAUACAGAUGUAAUCAUAGCAACAGCUUUCUUUCAGGUAAAACCAAAAACUUUUAUCAAUGAUGGAAUAAUAUUCUUCUUGAAACCAUGUUUUGUAAACAAUAUUUGAAGAAGCUUGAAACAUUAACCACAGGAACUCAUGGAUAUUGGAAGCUCAAAAGCAUUUGUCAAAGCACCUCAUUGCAUCUGGUCUCCAAUCCCACCAGCUGAGUUGAGAGGAGAGCCCAUUGAAGAUCUGAGCACCAAUGGAGGAUUUGUCUCUUUUGGUAUUAGCUACACACCUUGUACUUCUUUUAUUCUGCGACAAGAAUACUAGUACAUGAUCUUACUUGAUUACAUCACAGAUAUCACUGGGCGUCAUGUUGAAGGCAAGAGGCUUGACAAAACUGUUUGGAACCUACUUAACUUUUAUGCAUUUGUGAAAUAUCAUGUAAAGGUAAGAACAAGAUUAUGUUCUUUAGCUAGAUUACUGAACUUCUCUCACCUGCUGAGGCUAAAACAAAGUUCGAACAGAGCACUCGAGGCUUCAUUCAAAGAAGGAUGAGAACACGAUUAGAGAGCUUAGUUGAGGUAACUUGAAUUGCACCUACAAGCCUCUUUACAAAGUCCAGAAUGAUGUCUAACAUCAUUUUCUUAUCUCACCAUAUACAAUCUGGUUUCUGAAGCUCAUUGAAACCUUAAAUUCGUAAGAAAAACAAGGACAUCUAAUGAGUCCUCUAUUCCUGACAACUCGCAGGUAUUGUACAAUGCUGGAAUAAAAGAUGAACAUCAUAUUAAGAAGAAGAAUCGAGGUAUGGUUGGCUAGUAUAGAACUAGAGAAAAUCAUCAUUUAAAUAGAAAGCUGUAGUUUGCCAUAAUAUAAGCCAUGAAAUCAAGAGUCAUGAAGAGUUCUGCAAUGUUACACUGCACUACUUGUAUAACAACCAACAGCACAUGGGUUUAGCCCUGUCAUCUGGGCCUUUUAGGCUAAUGAUGGGCCCAUAUAAAAAGUCACAGCUUUUAGUCUGGGCAACUGCCCAUUUGGGCUAAAAAUAUCAAGGCACAAGAAUGACCCUAUAAGUAUAUUAGGCUUGUAGGCUCAACAUCCCCUGGUCCAGACUCAUGGUUUUCGUUCUUCUUGUUCUUUAAAAGAAAUGUUUUACUAACAAAUGGUAUUAGUAGUGAAUUAUAAAUCAUAAUUUUAAGUAUUGAAAACAAGAAUAAUUCUAACUAAUAUCACAAGAAUUUUAACUAAUAGAAACCAUCUUUUUUAUAAAGAUUUAAGGUGGGUAAAAUAAUCAUAAAUUUACAUUUCAUAGCUAGGAGAUAUCAGGUCUUUAUUGGGUCAAGCGCAUCAUUCAAUGGCCACAACAUUACCCAUUUUAAAUUGCAUUUAAUACUCAAGCCCAAACCUCACCUAGCCUAAUUUCAUGUGAAAUUUGGCCCUAUUUUUGGUGGCUGAAUGAACCAUUUACUCGUUGUCCUAUAUGGUUUUUCUGGCAGUCUUGCUUAGUUUUUGCCCAUCAAUGUCUUCUAUCUAUUAUAUUCACUUUUCAAAUUAACCUUCUUGAUGAAUAUUAUUUUUUAAUGCAGGACCUAAAGGAGUUAGGAAAUUGCUAAACUUCUCCAAAUCCAAGCUACUCAAGAAAAGAUACAAUUUCAUCAAUAAGAUCAAAAGAAUUCGAUCUAGAAUUAAAAUUCAUUGGUUCAGUCGUUUCCGCAAGCGAUGGUUGAAUUUUUCCAGAUUUUCUUCUGUAACAAGAUAUGAAAAACUAAACUAGUAUAAGUGCAACUUCACAAUAGCAAUAAUUGUACUUCAAUAACUUCUCCUACAACAUAUUGUUGAGGGUAAAUGUACUUGGACAAAAGGUGCCUGGUCUGUGUAUCUUUUUCCUUUUCUUUUACAAACUUUGUACUCAUCAAAACAGCAUUGGUGAGCAGAUUAUUUCAUUUGUCGACUCAUGAAAUGCUAGUAAUGCAGAAGGCAUAAAACAGUUUAGACUUCACCAUUGUCACAGCUAGUUAGUCAUUUCACUGUAAUUAGAGCCCACAUGGAGAAAGAACUUGAAUACCAAUUUUCUUGUGGAUUAGUGAAUUGUAAUUUCACUAUUGACAAAAGGUCUGAUGAUUUGUGAACUAAGCAUCCAGCAUUCCUAUAUGUGUCAAAAGAUGUGCAAAAAAAAAAAAGGAAGAGAAUGUAUUUUACAUUUAUCAUGUUCAAGAUCUUUAUCUGGUACUUGGCAAAAUAAAAAACUUGCAUAAGUCUUUGCACGAAUAUACCAGUCAGAGGCCAUGUUUUUGACAGAUAAACUGAAAUGCAGCGGUAAAGUUGAGAAAGAUUCUGGAGCCAUGAAGUUUCAGCAGUUGCAUGUUUCAAUUCCUGAAGGAGAUAUAAGCUGAAUGCAGACAUAAAAGUACAAAAACAAGAAGCUUGGUGGAUGGACCAGUUUAAUGUGUGACUUAAUCUUGAAAGAAUAGAAAAGAGGUGCCUACUGCCACUAACAACUGAAAUGAUCUGGUUUAAGAAUUUAAGAGAUAAAUUACCUCAAAAAUUAUCUGAUGCCGGAGAGCCAUUAUUGAGCUACUCAUGGAUGACCCCCAGAAAUUGACAUUGUAAAUGUCCUGAUUUAAGUAUGUAAUGGAAACUAGUAUUGCAGAUAGUCUGAUACCUAAUUCUUCAGAAUCCUCAAGUCACUCACCAAGUAGGCGAAUAAAAUCCAAUUUUCUGAUUCUCAGACUGAAAGAGAUAUCGAGUUCAAGAGUCUCUUUUCUCCUCCCCCCCCCCCCUCCUCUCUCUCUCCCAGUAAUCACAUAGUUACUUCUGCAGACCAUUUUGUAGAAAAGUUACAACCAUUGCUGUAUCCCAAUUUAUCCAAUUUAUUGGAUACAAGCUUUUGGAAGGUUAUGUAAACAAUCUAAAAGAGGCAGGCAUGGAACACUUGAAAUUCAUUGCAAGAGUUAAGAACAAGAAACAAAAUGUUGUUCAGUUAAGUUUCAGUUCAAAGAACCAUUGCAGUAUCCUAGGGACUAUCGUGUUAUCUAUGUCCCACUAAGUUAGAGUUACUUUGAGGAAUGAAUAUUAAGCAACUAGAUCUCAAAAUUACUUUUAGACAAAUAGAUUCUUUAUCAUCUUUACAGUGUUAUUCUAAUAUCACCACUGAUAAAAGAUCAUAAUUUCAGUUUUUCUUUUAAAUUUUUUCUAGCAAGGGAGGGGUGGGAUUUAAGAAACAGGGAGGGGGACAUGGGGAUUAGAAACCAGGACCUCUAACUCCUGAGGUAUCAACCUUAACCACUCAUAAAAGAUCAUAAUUUCAUAAAAGAUCAUAAUUUCAGUUUCUUUAAGAUAUAAUCAACCUUAAUGAAUUUCAAAUCCAUGAACGUCAGUCUAGUUUUAUUUUGGCACUCCACUAAGCUUUGAUCAUUGAUCCAAGAACUAUUUCUCAUUUCAUGCUUUGGCCUGCAACAUAUUGCUCUUUGUGGAUUAUGUUUGUACAACUGUGAACUGUGGAAUAAGAAAGGCAGACAGUUUCAUCCCAACAUAUCACAAGAGAGGUACAUACUGAUUCCAGAAAACUUUCUAAGUCUGACAACGAAUACAGGUGAAUAAUUGGUUUUAUCUAGUAGUCCACCAUUCCAGUUGAGCUAUUCAAUUCAAUAACCAAACGUAAGAAUUUCUGCAUGUUUUCCACCAUGAAGGCAUGAAACAGAGAAUUCUAAUCAAAGUAAAGAGUAAGCAGGAUCAAAUAUCAAAUUACUAGACCUCUUUUUUCUGGGUACAGUACAAAUUUCUGUCAUCUACAGGAGUUUCGCGUAAAGCCUUGCGCAGGUAUAAGUUAAAGACGUCCCUUUUGUUCUCUAUUGAUACAAUAGAAGUAAGUUGCUCAGUUGGCAGUUGAUUUUUAACAAGACUGACUAUCCUUUAUGUUAAUUCUUUUAUCUUAACAUCUUUUUACAUACUGAAACAUGCAUAAAACAGAGGUAACGAAAAAGAUGAGAGCAAAAGUACUCUCAUGAAAGCAGUAGUGUAUCAAAAGCAGUAAGGAUUUUUUGCACUUUGCCCUGUUCAAAGUGGCAACUGGUUAGAAGUUAUAGAGUCCUAAUUAUACAAAAUUGUGCUCAUUAUCUACUAGUAACUUUUUUAUAGAGUACAUUGCGAAAAUACACAAUUGCGGAGAUGUAAGCAUAAUACAUGGUUAAAUAUCCAAUCAAUCUUUAGCCAAAUUUUCAAAAGUAAUUUAUAUACUGAUGACUAUGAGAUAUAUUCAAAAACGUAUACACAUACAUGAGUAUAUAAACAUGAAACCAAUGACAAUAAAGAACACUGACAACUCAUUUCAUUGAAGCAUAAGUCAAGUACAAAAUUCUGUAUAGCAGCAAUGUUUGCUGAGAAAAAUGUCAAAGUAUACCUGUCUGUAGAGAACAAGGAAUAAUUUUUUGCCAGAUUUUCAACUCAAAGUUCCUACCUAAACUUGUUUACCAGUAAAAUCCUCAUUCUAUCUCAAAUAUAGGGAGUGGAUUCAUCACAAUACCCUCUGAUGAUCCAAUCUGAGAUAGCAAUGGUCCCGUUACCUCCCGAGACCUGUUACUCCUAUGUCGAUGCAACAAUCCAAGCAAUGAGAAGCUCAUGAACAAAACCAGUGCGGUAUGCACAACGAACAGCAAAUUUGUCAAUGCCACACCCCUCAACUUGUCCUCUUCAAGCUCACACUUAACAUCAAUCUCCCUAUUUCCCCGACUCACUGCCAUCUUCUCACACCCUUUUAGACUAAAUGCAUCAGUAUACAAAGACAUUCCCACUUGCAGAACCCAAACAGCCUUCAGAACAAGCCCAGACGACAGCAAAAAAUCAGCGAAAAAUGCCGAUGGGCUGAUGGACAAAUACAAGCAACAAGCAGCACAAACAAGUGCUAAUCCACCUAAAAGCUCAUAAGCAACUCCACCAAGUCCCAAAAUCCCUUGCCCGUUCAUGUAAUACUCAAUCACAAAAGCAAUGCCACAAAGUAUAAACACAAAACUCUCAGGAAUUACAUAAAGAUCCAAACUUUCUUUCAAACUUAUAAGAACUAAGAGGGCCCAGAAGAUGAAGAUCAACAAAGAUUGUGCCAAGAAUGAGAAUCUGUAAUUGGGGUGGCCUGAAAUUGCAAAAAAUAAAUAAAUGUGGGAAAAUGAGGCAAUUGGGAGGGCUAAAAGAAGAGCGUACAUGUCCCCAUUUUUCCACUUGGGUCCUGAAAAAUACCAUGCUUUUGAUGUAAAUUGAGAUGGGUUUUGGAGAUACAGUGACAGUGAGAAUAUAAGACGGCGAAUGCCGACUGGGAAAAGGAAAAGGAACGCCAGAAAAUGGGUUGCAAACAAUACCAUUCUUGAUUCUUGCAGAGUAAUAGGACUGAUUUCUUGUUUUUGUGUUUUUUCAAGGAUUUCUUUGAGAAUUUUGUGGAUUGAAUUUGUAGAAUCUGCAAACGAAAUUAAAUCAAAUAGGGAAGAAUUAUGUAAGCUACCUUGAUGAUGGAGAGGUGUGGCUUGACAAUGGAUGGAGAGCUUGGUCAGCAACGGAAGAGGGAGAGCAGCAGAGUCAAAACUCAAGAGUAGACCUUCAAGUUUCAAUAUUUAAUUUGACCCCAUCAUUUUUUUUUCAAUUCAUCUCUAUCCCAUGAAACUUUUGAGUUCUUGCACAUGGCCUUCAAGGUGAUUCACUCGCUAGAACUAAUACAGUAUAUAUUUCAUCUGUGUUGUCAUUUUGUCAUUUGUGUGUUUUGCAUUUUUUUUUUUUUGACUUGUUUUCAAUUUUUGUGACGUGUGUGACCAUGUAGCCUUAAGCAUAUCUCCAACUUGGACUAAUUCAUCAGAGUUAAAGAUAAAUAUUUUUGUUUUUUGGAGUCAAAAUUUGUGUGCAUAUUGAACUCAAAUCAAUGCUUAAGUGGAGAUUUUACCCUAAACUUCUUUGUGAAAACAUUUUGUCUCUAACUGAGCACCUUUUUAACCAAUAAUAAUGACAAAGCUUUCAUGGAUGCAGAUUCAAAGAAUGAAAUGAAAGGGAGAUUACAAGAAUGGCACCCCAGUGACUGUAACUAAGCCAAGCUUUCAUGGAUUGGAGAUUCCAAGAAUGGCAUCCAGUGACUGUAACCAAAUAGUUCCAACAUUUUAAAAACAAAUGCAUUCUUUUACCAGUUGAAAGAAUUUUCCAAAACAAAUUCAAAUGCUCUCUUAUUUCUUCAAGUAAUUAAAAGGGAAUGCAGUUCGUUUUUACUUUAUCCCAAGCUAGGACUUGAUGGUUACCUUAGCAACUUUUCUGUGGAUAAAGACUUGAUCCGAGAUUAAUUAGUAACAAAAGAGUGUAAUUGUUACAAACUUGUUUAAUUACUUGAAAUCUAAUGUUAAACGAGGGAAAAAAUUUAUUGAGGAAUCUUUUGUUUUGCCUGGAUGAUAAAGAGAAGAAGAACAUGAACGCUUGAUGAAUAUGAGCAUUGUAGUCUAAUCAUCUCAAUCGUCAAUUGUAAACAAAGUCAUUUCCUUCCCCUUUUUUUUUGUUUUCUUCUGUUCGAUGAGCUUUUGAAUUCAAUUAAGUUCGAUGAGCUUUUGAACCUCAAAUAUUAAAUUCUAGUUCGAUUCGUUAAAUAAUUCAGACGGCUCGAACUUGAUCUCAAAUUCGAUCAACAUGAGUUUGAGUUCGAAUUUUAAUUGAAUAAGAUUAUAAACUACUCGAUUAAACUCGAUUCGUUUACACCUCAACUAAAACAACCAAACAAAAUAUGAAAAAGAACUUCAGGACUUGAAUCACAUUAUAUUGAAUUCCCCUCUUCAUCUAUUCCUUUCCUUCCAAGUUCCAGGCUUCCAGCCAGUAAACCAAAACAAAUGGUCUCCAUACGAAACACAAACAACAGUCUACUCUUUUUUCAUGCUGCAACUCAAUGUCCAUGAAUUUGAAAAGUUUUGGUCAAGUUUGACCUUUAAAUUCAUGAAUCUUGAUGUCCUCAUUAUUGUACCAAACGAGCAAGAAGACACGUUUCAACGAUACAAAUAUGAAAACUAUUUCAAUCAAAGUUUACUUCGUAUCUUGUUUUCCUACCACACUUUGAACUUUCAAAAUCAUUGUUUACAACCAAAGUUAUGAAUCUUCUGGUUGCCAAGCACUUUCUUCCGACAUAAACAUUUACGGCCAGAAAUUGAUUCAAAGCCACUAAAUUUGUGGUUAGCCGACCCACACUUAGCGGCUUAGGCUGCCAUGAGCAAAAAUAAUGUUCACAUUCAUGAAGAAAAAAAAGAAAGAAAAUACGCAAGUUUGAGAAUAGCAUUUUUUUGUGAACACGACAACAAUCCUGUACGUUGAUUUAUAAAUUGUUUCUUGUAAUUUUCCAUAGUUAAUCAGGUCCUAAUAAAUGGGAUUUCCUUCUUCUUCUUCUUUUUUUUUUCAAUUCCCUUUUGCAGUUCUUGAUAAAUGGAUCCUUUUCUUCUUCGAAUACAUUUUUUUCCUAUAGUUUCUGAAGCUUUUGAGAAAUUCACCUGACGAAUAAAAGUGCCAAUUAAAUACUACCAGGUGAAACUUUGUCUCUUGACAGCAUCAUAAAACCGCAUAAAAUUUGUGUUGGUAAUAUAGAAAAUGAAGCAAAGGAAAUGAAAAAUUUUGAAAAUGAAGAACUCACCCAAAAAAUUUUGUUCCCAUUUUUCAUAUAUUUCAUUAUUUGCUUCCGAGUUAUGGUCAUGGACUUCAAAAAAAUUAUGGAGGGCUCCACAAGAAUGGGAAAGAACCACAGAAAUAGCAGAAAAAGAUCCUCGAGCUCGAGGGGAAAGGAUUCUAUUCAAGUAAAAAUACAGGCAAAAAUCCAAGCCACCUGCCACCAGCAUGCAUGCGUGGCUCUUAAUAUCUCCUCACAUUUCUCCAACUCUUCUAUCCAAUAAAAACCACAGGCUCUCAUACUUACACCUCUUCAUCAUCACAUCUUCUCACGACAACAGGACAGCAUCAAAACUUCCGAAGACCGCAACGUAGAUUAAAAGAAAAGUAAAACAAGAAAACCUCUGUGCUUAGAUUUCUUAAUUAAGAGGAAAUCUUUCAAGUUAGGUCUACUUGUGAUUUUUCAAUGGCUGCAGCAGUUUGUGCGACUGGGUUUAAAGGGGGUUUAUCAUCUUCUUUUCAUGGAAGUUGGGGAAAAUCAGUGGGUGGGGAAGAUUAUCCCAUGCUAGCCAAGACUGUUCCUAGCCAUGUUCGAGUGGGGAAGCCGGUCAGAUUACAGCCGAUGAUGGGAAAUAUUAAUGAAGGAAAGGGACUGUUUGCUCCUCUUGUUAUUGUUGCACGUAACAUAAUUGGCAAAAAGCGAUUCAAUCAGUUCAGGGGAAAGGCCAUUUCUUUACACUCACAGGUACCAAGCUGAGCCACCUCCAAUAUUAAUUUUUCUUAGUGAUUUUCUUUGCUAAUUGACAUAUUUCUUCCAUGAGAAACAAUUAUUGGAGUUUGAACAUAAUAUUUCCAUGAGAAACAAUAGUUGGAUGAUUAUUUUAGGUUUUUAAAACUUGCAAGAUAUUAUGUAGGGUGGUUUCUUGUGAAAGUUUUUAGCUUUAUUUAAGGGAUUUUAAGUGACAUUUUAAUUGAAAAAUAUUGCCUGGCCACAAAAAAGGCUGGUACUAGCAUUUUAGCCUUUCUUGUUUUUAUACAUACAACCUUGGACGGAUGAUGCAAUUGUGUUAUCUUCAAUAUUUUCUGCCGAUGAACUUGUUAUGUUCUCCGAGCAAUUUUCCUCUUUCUCUGCUUUUGGAUUUCAAGUUCGUUCAACAAAUUUCUGUUAAUUAUUAUUGAAUCAAAUAUUCUAAAAUGAAUCCUGAGUAAUUUAGAUAAUUUUUUGAAAAAAAUACUUAAUACUUUUUUGAUGUGAUGUAUAUAAUAAAAUUAAAAAAUGUGUUUGUGAGGCAAAUGAAUAAAAUUUGGCGAACAAUUACUAUCCAUACGAACCCAUCUCGAUAUCCUUGAUAUUAUCUAGGUAACUAGAAUAACUAGAUGUAAAAGAAUGCCUCUACUAUUCUUUUGUUUGGAUAUGAAUUUUUUUCAAAUAUUAUUUAACUUAUAUCAUAAACACAUUUUCAACAACUUUUUAUACUCUUAAUUACCUUUUUAUCUCACAUACAUCAUAUAAAAAAAUAUUAUAAUAUUAAUCCCAAUAAUUUUCUAUCCAAAGCAUUUCAUACUGAGACUACUAUUAUGUGCCAGUUUUCGCUUAUGUAACUUAUGAGUAACAGGACUCGCAAUUUCAGGUAAUAAAUGAAUUCUGCAAACAAAUAGGAGCAGAUUCAAAACAAAGGCAAGGGCUGAUUCGAUUAGCCAAGAAGAAUGGAGAAAAACUUGGAUUCCUUGCUUGAUAUGGUACAUUCUCCUCACCACCAUGGACACAGGAUUAUCAAUGCUUGAGAGAUUGUGUAAACUGCCACUGCAAUAUCUGAUGUUCUUCUGAUACCCAGAACAUAAUUCACAUUGUCAUCUCAUUUAUAGUACACAUCUUCACAAAGGCUCCACGGUUAACCACAAAGUGUACGCAGGCAUAUAGGUUGCUUAGAUUGCAUUUUCUGAAGUGUUUUUGAUAAAGAAAUUACUGUAACACUUUUAGAACAUAAUGUAUGUAAAAUGAAAAAAUGAUCGAUAAAUGUUUAAAAUAAAUGUUCACAGAAAAUGAAACAAAAUUUUUGACAAAAAUAGAAAUCCAAACAGUACCAAAAAGCAAUCCGGAAUUCUAGUAACUGUUUAUAAGUACGGAGAAUUCCAAUAUCCAGUCAAAACUCAGUCAAAUUGCGUAAAACCCCUUUGCUUGAAGACAAUUAGCAACUCACACAAAGGGAAGAAAGGCAACAAUCUCAGUAUUACUAGAAUCAAAACUGGCAUCUGACAACGUUACAUUGAAACAAUAUAUAUUUUUUUUAAAAAACACCUAGAUUGCAAAGGUCAAAACUGGCGCAUGAUAAUGUUACAUCAAAAUUAAAGCGCAAAGCAAUAUCUUCUACAUCAAUUUGCAGUGACACAAGUGGUGGGGUGUUCCUGAUUGUCGUCAUUAACCGCAUCUCUACUUAAAUGCCACACACACAUAAUUUUGAGUAUAAUCAGGUGCCUGUUAACACUGUCGAUUUCAAGUGCAUAUUCACACACUAUAUCGAUUUUUUGCUGAUCUUUCCCUUUUAGAAUCAUCCUGCCAUAUACAAAACGAGCUUGAGAAAGAAAAAAAUAUAUAUCAUGACAUGAGAAACUUAAUAACCCAAAUAAAACUUACAUGAAAACUGUAAGAGAUCUUAUCUGUGACGUCAAGGAUUUCCUUCCAUUUCCUUCCAAUGCUCAUCUGGAUCACAAAAACCAGGCCUAAAUUAUUAUUCUUCUUAAUGAGCAGACAGAAGAAAUCAAGAAGUUCCAAUGAGACGCUUAGGGAAAUAUUCAAUUUGUAACUUAUGAGUAACAACAGGAGUCGCAAUUUUCAGGUAAUAAAUGAAUUCUGCAAACAAAUAGGAGCAGAUUCAAAACAAAGGCAAGGGCUGAUUCGAUUAGCCAAGAAGAAUGGAGAAAAACUUGGAUUCCUUGCUUGAUAUGGUACAUUCUCCUCACCACCAUGGACACAGGAUUUUCAAUGUUUGAGAGAUUGUGUCAACUGCCACUGCAAUAUCUGAUGCUCUUCUGAUACUCACAACAUAAUUCACAUUGUCAUCUCAUUUAUAGUGCACAUCUUCACAAAGGCUCCAUGGUUAACCACAAAGUGUACGCAUGCAUAUUGGUUGCUUAGAUUGCAUUUUCUGAAGUGUUUUUGAUAAAGAAAUUACUGUAACACUUUUAGUAUGUAAAAUGAAAAAAUGAUCGAUAAAUGUUUAAAAUAAAUGUUCACAGAAAAUGAAACAAAAUUUUUGACAAAAAUAGAAAUCCAAACAGUACCUUUAAAGCAAUCCGGAAUUCUAGUAACUGUUUCUAAGUACGGAGAAUUCCUAUAUCCAGCCACAACUCAGUCAAAUUGCGUAAAACCCCUUUGGUUGAAGACAAUUAGCAACUCACAGUAAGGGAAGAAAGGCAACAAUCUCAGUAUUACUAGAAUCAAAACUGGCAUCUGACAACGUUACAUUGAAACAAUAUAUAUUUUUUUAAAAAAAAAAAACACCUAGAUUGCAAAGGUCAAAACUGGCGCAUGAUAAUGUUACAUCAAAAUUAAAGCGCAAAGCAAUAUCUUCUACAUCAAUUUGCAGUGGCACAAGUGGUGGGGUGUUCCUGAUUGUCGUCAUUAACCGCAUCUCUACUUCAAAUGCAACACACACAUAAUUUUGAGUAUAAUCAGGUGCCUGUUAACACUGUCGAUUUCAAGUGCAUAUUCACACACUAUAUCGAUUUUUUGCUGAUCUUUCCCUUUUAGAAUCAUCCUGCCACACACAAAACGAGCUUGAGAAAGAAACAAAAAUUUAUCAUGACAUGAGAAACUUAAUAACCCAAAUAAAACUUACAUGAAAACUGUAAGAGAUCUUAUCUGUGACGUCAAGGAUUUCCUUCCAUUUCCUUCCAAUGCUCAUCUG